ACUGUUCCUUUAUGGGGAUUCUCAUCUAUCCGUGGAAGAAGGCCAGAGAUGGAAGAUGCUGUAGUGGCUCUGCCACGGUUUUUUAAAAUUCCUCGUCAGAUGCUAAUGGAUGGUCCUGUUUCUAAUGCAUUGAAUCAAUGUUUGUCAGCUGACUUGUUUGGAGUUUAUGAUGGACAUGGAGGCAGCCAGGUAAUUUUUGUGCCUUAGUUGUUUUUGUUGUCAACUGCUAUCGUCCCCCCUCCUAUUCUACCGAGGGUUAAGUUUUUUGUAGGUGUCAAAGUAUUAUGUGGUUCUCUGAUUAUAGUCUACUCAUGUUAACCAUCUUCUUGUAGGUUGCCGAUUAUUGCCGCGACCGCCUCCAUUUAGCUUUAGCUGAGGUGCUGAAUAUUGAAAGGGAGGACUUGCUUACUGGAAAUGGUGCAUGUAAUUGGAAGGAGCGAUGGGAGAGAGUUUUAUUGAGCUGUUUCCAUAAAGUUGAUAAUGAGGUGGGAGGUAUGGGAACUUCUGGUGCUAAUGAUCCUAGUCUUGUACCUAUUGCUCCUGAAGCUGUUGGGUCUACGGCUGUGGUUGGCAUUAUUUGUCCCUCACAUAUUAUUGUCGCAAAUUGUGGUGAUUCAAGGGCAGUCUUGUGCCGUGCAAAAGUAGCUGUGCCAUUGUCUAUAGAUCACAAAGUAAGGCCUUUGAUGUAGAACAUCUUUUUGUUUCUUUGUUUUGUCUUUCCUGUAGUCGUUCUACCUUGCUUUGGGUUUGACAUCUCUAAACAUUAAACUUCAGCCAAAUAGAGAAGAUGAAUAUGAAAGGAUAGAAGCUGCAGGGGCAGGGUCAUAGACUGGGGUGGAUAUCGUGUUUCUGGCGUGCUUGGAUGUCAAGGUCCAUUGGUACGUCUCUCUUUAAUGUACUUGAGAGUUUUGUUCUGUUCCAUUUGCAUGUCACGCUGAGCUGAUUUGGUACCGAACCACUGAACCACUGAUCCUAAUGGACUUGAGAGAUUGCUAACGUGUAUAGUUUCGCCAAAAUGUAAAUUUUCCAAGUUGGAUAAGCACCAACAAUUUGAAGAAUGCAAACUAUGAUAGUAAAAUUCUUAAAUUUCACUUUCCACAAUAAUUAAUAGACCUUCUGUACCAAUAGAUGCCAAAAUGCCGAAUAAAUUACCCUCAAAAGAAUAGAAUCCGUUGAAUUUGUUAUGACUAUAGUGACUGCCUGCCUGAAGGGCCUUGAUAUCUUAACUCCUGGGUGAGCUUUGUGAGACUGUUGUACAGAUCGAGUUUUUGUCCAUAUAAAUUCUUUUAGUCGACCACCAAUUGCGGUAUUAGUCCGAAGUCAGUAGGACGACUUCCAUUGCUCAGCAUUUGAGCAAUUCCGCCAACUAAGGCUGGAACGUUUGGACUCGCAUUGGCUUGAUUUGGCCGCCUUUAGUUCAUCAAACUUCGACUUUUACACACAUUUUUCAUUUGUGAGACUUUGCAGGUGAUAGAUACUUGAGGCCCUCUGUAAUUGCAGAUCCAGAAAUGACGUUUGUGCCCCGGUCAAGAGAAGACGAAUGCCUCAUUUUAGCUAGUGAUGGUCUAUGGGAUGUUAUGACAAAUGAAGAGGUCUGUGAGGUGGCGCGAAGGCGAAUCCUCCUCUGGCACAAAAAGAAUGGUGCUAGCCACCCAUGAGCGGGGUGAGCGAAUUGAUCCUGCUGCUCAAGAUGCAGCAGACUAUCUCUCACGACUUGCUCUCCAAAGGGGAAGCAAGGACAACAUCUCCGUGAUUGUUGUGGAUCUGAAACCCGUAAGAAAGUUCAAGAAGAAGACCACCUAGUACUGCCUAAUAAUAAUAAGCUACCUCUGUAACUGUUUGCGUAAAUUGUAUCUAGUACCGGAAACCUCAUCUAAUUGAUUGGUAACGUUGAUGAGACGGAGGGUAUCAUUGAAAUAUAGCUUUCUUCUUCUUCGUCGUGCAGCUAGCUUGCAAAUAUACAGCUGCGAACAUCUUAGGGAUUCCCAAAUUAUGAUGCGAUUCUUAUAAUAUGUGGACAAAAAUGAUGCUUUGUGAUAUUUUUUGUGUUCCUGUGGUCUCAAAUCGUUGAUUCCGAAUCUUUUGUACUACAAGUAUAAUACAGCUGCCAAAAAAGUAUUUCUUGCGAGAUUUUUGGGCGAUGUUUCGUUUGCAUCUGUGUCACGACUACACAACAAUCCCAGUAAUUUCAUGCCUUUGUACGCUCUCUGGUGGAAGCCUCGUUGAAGAACCCUACUCCACAUGAUUCAGGUCGGCAAAAGCUAAACCAAUCUUUGGAUGUUUUUUUUGAUCUGGUUGCAUGUUGAAAACUUUUUACUCACAGACGGCUCAGGCUGUAAAGCCACGAUGGACCAAAACGCACGAAAGUGGCAGAAGCGAAUGCGUGGCUAAAGCAAUCCAAACAAACAUGAAUAUAUAAGUCCCUUCAGAUCACAGGAAGAAUUCGUUAGCACAAAGUUGGGACCUGCUCUUUGAUACACGCUGCUUCGAGUUAUCAGAGAAAUGGACGAAAUUGUGAUAACAACGAAGCCCAAAAUGGCUUUCUACUCGUAAUCAUAUCUUGAGUUACACUUUUGUGUCUGGGUCGGCAGAUGUUACUGUAAUAACGUACUAGUAAUUUUUACAAGGGGCAUAACGGCCGCCGUAGGAAUCGUCCGGCUCAUUUUCGGCAACACCUUAAGCCAUCGAAUUAAUGAGUAUCCUCAUAGAUUCAGCUCACAAGUAUUACGAACAAAACAGAGCCAUUUCCGUCUUUCAAUGCAUACAUGCAGAGGUAAAUAUUUGAGCUUGAUACAUGAUGAAUAGGUGGGGAAUGAUGUACUGCUAUUAUCCUGCAUUUUGUGCUCAAGCAAAUUGUAUUUCAAUAUAAUAGAGUUUACAAACACUAGACGUCAACCCAACUUCCAAACCCUGAAUAUGAUAGCUCUGGAAGUCAUUUCUUCCAGCCACAUUCUCUGCCUGCCUGCCAGUCAACAAUUACUGGAGAUUUCAUCCGAAAUUCAGCUAGAUCCCCAAGGAUAGAUUCUCAAGGUGUCCGAAUUAGGCUAGCUCAAUAUCAAAAGCAGCAAAUACAAGAAGGCACAGGCUGCCAAAUGUCCCAAAUUUAGAGUUCUGUUAGUUCCAGUGGAAGAUGAGAUCAAUGAAUCACCCAAGAACAUUAUCAUAACACUGACAACCAUAAAAUUGCACACGAGCCUGCAGGCUUGAAAGGUAAUGAAGCAAUUUACUUCCAGAAACUCUCUUACCGUCAAGAAGGAAGAAUAAGAAGCAGAUUUCAGAUUUAUUAAGAUUAAAGCUCAUAAUUGCCAAGGGAAGCAUGAACAAGGGUUAAACAUUUGGUAUUAAAGUUCAAGACCAUUGAACAAAUUCCGAAAUCAAUUGGCACUGAAAAGACCAAGAGGAAAAAGGAGGAAAUGACACAUGAAUUCCAUCAAUUUUGGCAUUACAGGACACAACGUUAAUGACACUGCAAGGUCUAGUAACAAGGUAAACCAGUUUUACUUGUGCAUGCAAAAAGAGUGUGUGUUUCAACAUUCAAGUGAAAAAUCAUCUCCUCCCAUGCCCACGACAUCUUCAACAGACAAUUAAAAUGACAAGUACAGAUGGCAAUAUUAAUCAGCUCUCCAUUGUUUUCAAUUAAGGCUGUCUAGAUCAGACUCCAUUUUUUUUAGUAUCAGCUGGGGUGGGGAAACAGUGCAUAUUUCCUUAUAGGUUUCGAACAUGUAGAAAAGAUGAACAUACCAAGAAUGAUUACAAUGUUGCAAGUGGUGACCGGCACUGGUAAAGUAAGGAGCAAGAUCAAUAUCCAGAUCUCCAAAUUUACUUAGGAAGGGGUGCGUCUGAAUUCAGCAAGAGAAACUUAGCCAUCAUGUGUUAAUGGAAUAUAAUUUUGAAGAAAAAAUUGUAAAUACUACCCAUACCAUGAGUUCAUUUGCUGACAGCCUAUCUUUUGGAUCUUUCUGUAUACUGAAAGAAGAGAGCACAGAUUCCAUACUUGUGUGUUUAAAACAUUAUAUGUAUGUUAUGUCCUAUAGCAUAUAAAAUGAAAUACAGUUGAUUAUCUCAAAUGUAAAACUCCAUGAACGUGCAAAAUUGACACAGCCAACUCAAAUGUGAUGGACAGAAGUCAGAUUAGAAAGAAGAUAUGAAAUCUUAAGGGCAGGUAAUUGUAGACAACUAGGUAUAACCUGUAGCAUGUUUGAUCCCAAAAUAAUUUCUUUUCUCAGAUGUAGUAGUAGUAGUAUAUUGGAGUAAAUAUGCAUUGCAUAUGACAACAAAGGAACCACGGCUUGCUCCAGAAAGACCAGAGAGUAAAGAUGCAUAGAAGAUAAUUGACUGUUUCCAGCUCAUCAACAACCAAUUUUGUUAAAGGACGAUUGACUGAUAAAAAGUGCAAUCUUUACCAUGCAGAGAUAAAUGAACAGAAUUCUGGAGAAAAUAGAUCAGAAGGUGCACGAGGGCAGGGUGGUCAACAAUGGUUUCCAUCAGCUCGUACACAUUAAUCCAUCCUUCCCCAGGCUGUGGGGGGAAUAAGGGAACUGGCCUGUUGCACACUCAAGCAAAACCAAACCCAGACUCCAGAUGUCACUUCUGUAGCCAUAGUGCUCCCAACGAUCCUCUCGGGCUACAGCACAAGAAUGAAUAUAAGCAACAAAAACAACAAAAAUCCAUUAAGAGAAACCAAGAAAUUCAUCUGGCGAUCCUGUUUGACUAAAGAACACAUUUGACUACAAUCACUUAGAAGCCAAAUCCAAUGCAGCAGGAUAAUGAAAUAAUACUCUUAUCUUACCAGAUAAGUCUAUUUGGUAGCACAGAAGGAAGCUAGUCAGCAAUAUAUGUUUAGCAAAGUGAGACAAGUACUCACAGACAUAUAAUUGUAUGUGCCAACAAAUGUAUUAGCCAGUCCUGAUGUGCUUGCUAGUAUUGCACUGACACCAAAAUCAGUGAUCUUGACUUCACCUCUGUGAUUUACUAGCAAAUUGGAAGGUUUUAAGUCCCUGUGUAUAAUGUGCUUUUCAUGGUGAAGAUACCACAAGCCCUUCAGCACCUAAAUUGGUGGAAAAGAUUGACAUUAGAGGUACUAAAGAAAAUAUCUCAUGUUCAGAACACAAGUUAUGUGUAUAUCCUACCUGCUUGCAGAUUGCAGCAAGAUAUGGCUCCGGAAUGGUUCUGACUUUCUUUAGAAAGUCUGCCAGAGAUCCUCCAUCCAUAUACUCCAAGAUUAUGGAUAUAGCACCAUUAUCAUAGAAAGACUGGUAACACACAACAACAUAGGGACAUUGAGAUGACUGGUUGAUUUUCAAUUCCUGUGCAAUGUGCCUGCGAGCAGACUCUUCAAUAUUCAUUUGAAUAACCUGAAUGUAAAGAUACUAUUAGAACUCUCUCUCAAACAACAAAAGCAAGCGAAAGUCAAUAAAGUAACGAAAACACAGAGCAAUGAGAAAAUACAUGUUUCAUAAGUCAGAGGGUACUGACAUGGUAAUCAGAUACUCAUAUGCAUGGUUUUAGCAUGAAUGGUGUGCAAGCACACAGGAAAAAAGUGACAAAGCACAAAUGUAUCCAUCAUGGUGAGGUUCAAGAACACUGCCAUGAGUUUCUAAACAGAUUCGCAAGUUGUAGGCAACUCAUGAACUUCUUCUUGAUGGUGGCAUUUCUUUUUUCUAGAAAAGGAAUAAAAGAAUUCACAAAUUUCAGUCCCAAGUUGUACAGUACCUUUAGGGCAAAAAAUUGCCCUGUCCAUUUAUGUUGGACCAGGCGCACAAUGCCACCAUUCCCUUUCCCGAUGACUUUAACUGCAUCAAAAUCUGCUAAGCUCAACUGGUUAUCUGACGGCCGUAUAAGAGAUGGCUGGGGAAGAAGAAUAAAGAACAUCAAAAAAAUAUUUCAACAGAUGCUGCAGUUGCAAGCAGUUAGGUUAAGAAUUAAAAAACAUAUAUAUACUCUCAACAACACAAGCCAAGAACAUAUUAAUUCAAUAAGGCAUACCUAAGAUCUUAUAUGCAUAGAAACCAGACAUAAUAAAAAGUAAAAAAGAAAAAAUUCAGCUCAAACAUCCACGCCAUUUUUCUGUUUCUGCUGAAAAGGAAAGCUUUAAAGUUAAUAACUAUAAAGACGUAAAAGAUUAUUCUACCCAUCAUUAUUUAGUUUCUAGUUGAGAUCCCCAGCAUGUUCAUAAAUGAGUAAUGAGUUUUGGAUUUCAAUAGGCUUUACCCAAUUAAAUUGGGCCAUGGGCAGAGCAACGUAGAGCACAUUGCAAUUCAUCUCAACUAAAGAAAAGCCCCACCUACUCCAAGAAUGAAGCUAACAGGAAUGGAGCUGCAGGAAAUGCCUACUCUAAAGAGCAAAAUUCUUAUUUGCCUAAAAGAAAAGGAUUGUACCUGGUCUAGGGUGACACUGCUGACAAUGGUGGUUACAAAGCAUAAUGCAUUACGAAAAAAGAGCAAAUCUUUAAAAAUAUAUGGAAAUGAUGUGCUGCUCCACAUGUUAUGAACUGGUUUUGAGUUGGAUCCGCAUAAACUCCAUUAAACUACUUGUAUUAGCAAAACCUCUUUCCCACACAAAUAUGCAAUAAGCAUACGGAUGUGUGAGGAAUAUUUAAAAUGCAAGAGGUGAAGGUGUCUAGCUAAUUUCUUUAGGAUAUACCACUGUGGGAUGGUGGAAGUUAGUUUGCAAAAACUGAUUCGACUAGUUGAUCAAAUAGGAAUCUUAUACCCGUUUUAGAAUCUGGUACCUGAGUAAAUGGAAAAGUUACUUUUACUAGUCACCUUCUAACCGAAUCUUACUUGUUCUAAAAGGCGUUUGCACACCAUGUAUAUACCAUAAAGCAUACUCCCUCAGGCCUCAACGUUCAUUUAAAAUAAAUUUAAAAAAAUAAUGUUUGAACAAAUUUUAUAUUUCUAUGUGCAUGUAAAGUUUUGAAAUAGACAUCCCUAAGAUAUAAUUUUGUCAUUGGAAGGUAUCUGCGCUCAACAAAGGGGGGAUUAAGUAGCAUGUAGCGAAGAAGAAACGUAAACUGGACAAAGGAGAAAAUGAGAAGAAAUUUUUUCAGAACCGACUCCUGCAUCCAUGACUACCAAUGUUUUCAAAUUUACGAUAAAAAUAUCAAUAAUAUUACCGUAACAAACGUACGAGCCGAACAAACCAAACCAGCAAGGAAAAUAUGAGAGCAAUUUUUCAUUCACCCCAAUUUUUUAAAAAAAAAAAAAGAAAAGAAAGAACGAAAGAAAGGAAAAGGUUAAAAGAGGAAAUCAGAAAAAGCUUACAGCUUCAACUUGAUUCUGAGAAACAACUCUAACCCCAUCUCUGUUGACCAAGAGAUCACCAUCCUUGAAGGUCCCCGAUUCAGUCCUACCCAAAACAAACCAACCCUGACAUCAGAUCAGACAAAGAGCACUAAAUUUAAUCACAUCACCACCACCUGUUCGGGUGAGUUCACUUUGUACGAAUAUAAAAAGAAGAGAUGAGAGAUUGAGGAGGAGGAGAAGGACAAGUACAAGAAUUUAGAAAGAGCAACUUCAUCAGGAGGAGGAGGGACAGCUUGAGAUUAGGCGCUAAAUUCCCCUUCUUCAUUCCUUCUCUCUCAGAAUCUCUCUCUCUCUCUCUCUCUCUCCUCUCUAUUUUAUUGUGGUUUCUUUUUGCGUCCCAAGGCAACAGGAUUACUAACCACUUCAGUACUAAUGCUGCUAAAAAGUAAAAUCCCCCUCCACCAGUCUCCACCUCCAGACACAAAGUAGCACUGCUACCGUGGAAGUAAUUAGUAACAGCUGAUGCUACUGGCUUAUAUUGAUUUGGGAUUCGUUCAAACAAAUUUGUAGCAGUAAAAAUACUACUAGUAUUAGAAUUCAACCAACAGACAAAAAAAAAAAAAAGGAAGGGGGUGGACCUGGGGGAAUCAAUCAUCAAUGGAGGGAGGAGUCUCAAGGAAUUACUGCUUGUAUUAUAUGGAAACCGGGGUUAAAACUUUUACUGCUUGUAUUAUAUGGAAACCGGGGUUGAAACUUUUUUAAGUCAAAGUCUAGUCUUCUUUGUCGUGCUUUAUUAUGCGAUCCAGAGUCGUUCGCAGACUCGUCGUAUUUUUAUCGGUUGUUGGUCAGCUAGAACGCUUGAAAGUGGGCGUCAAAAACCCAAAAUGACCACCAACCCAUUUCCAUCUUCAUUGUUACACCUUUUCCUCCACUUUCGUUUUUGACAAUCAAGCGGCGCCCUCUUGCAGACUUUUCCAAUUAAUCAACCUCUAAUUUUACUCGGAGUAGGCUCAACUUUUACUAAUCUAUUUUGCGUUUCUGACAACAAACUUUUACCUGUUGACUUGACAAACGAACAUAGAGAUCCCGCACCUUCCGGUCGUACUUCCUGGUACAUUUUUUUUUUUUUUUAAUCUCUGAUGUAGCAGGAUAAUUUCUCCAGACAUAUUAUAAUAACAAACUAGGAGGCAUGAACCGGGCGGUAAGCCCUGUGAUAAUUUAUCAUGCAUGCCCAUAAAACAUAUGUAGUGGGUAUAUAUAAUUUUGAAGCAAUUGUUUUUUGAGUAUGAUUGUGAAUUCACCUUACUUUUCGGGUAUGUGUGAUUAAUAUUUGUUGAAAAGGUAUAUAUAAUUUUGAAAAUAAAAAGGACAUUGACUUUAUUAUUAGAUGUAGUAAGUGGGAAUAACAAAAGUAACAGCUAGGACAGAAGGAAUGUUUGUUGCUUAAAAAACUCCAAAGGCUAAAGAACUAUACAAAGAUCUUAGGUUUUAGAUACGCAGAAACAAAACAAAGUCUAGUAAUUGUCCAGUGAAUGAAUUGUCUAAAGUAACAAACAUGUGGUCUACAGUCUACAUAUCACUAUUCCAAAUACUACUGCUGCCUAAGAACUCAGCCCAAGAAGAAAGGCUCUGAGCUGGCAGCAUAACAGAGCAUCCCAAAUCAAAUUUUUUAAAAAGAACAGAACCACUAAAUACUACUAUUAGUAUCAACAGCAUAUAAGCCUCAAAACUAAUACCGACGCCGCUACAAGCUCAAAGAAGUUCACGAGCUGACAAAAUUUGCACAAGAAAUAAGCAUCCAAAAACAACCUCUCUAAACUGGUAGCAAGCAACAACAGCGUAUUUAGUGCACGUCACUUUGUUGAUCACAUCGGAUGAACGCUUAAAAUAGCAUAGGAGCCUGGUUCGUUCAAUUCGACAAGCCACACGAUGGUACAACUUAAAGGUCUGCAAAAAGGUUGAAUCGAAAUAAAGUGGCAAUUCAAGAAUCCAUGUAGACAAUUCAGACCAUUAAAAUUGCAUAAAAGAAAGUUCAUUAAUGACAAAUCCAAAUGACCUGGCUACACAUAGCCUCAUCGUCAGCUCAGGUAUCUAUGCAAAUCUCCAAGUUCAGGUAUCUAUGCAUGAGAAUAGAGCAACACAUAGCCUCAUCGUCAGCAGCCUCAAACAUGUCAAGCGCGCUUACACCAAUUAGCUUCUCAGCUUCGACACCUAAUGCAAUAACGUUUACACACCCAGUAUCAUCAUGAAAAGUGACCCAGACCCAUGCUCUAUAACAAAAAUAACAUUAACCACCAAAAAAAAAGGAAACCAAGGAAUACAUAGGUUUUUUAAAAACUAGUAACUAAUAACAAAUCCACGAUGCACCUAGGGAAAUCAUACAUUCCCUGACCUCAAGCAAGGUAUAGAAUUCCAAGGGUGGCAGAAAAAUCAUAUAGCUCAUAACAAUGAGGACAGGCCAUAUGCCAAAAAGUGAACAAUGGCCAAGCAACUUCUACACGACCCUUAAUCCAUGCAGUUUCCCAAUCAUGAUAUCCAAACAAAAGCAUUAUCAAACAAGAACAAAUAUAAACAAAGGCAGUACCUGAAAAAAUAAAGUAUACCAAAGCAUCAAGAAAUAGCAAAGGCACUAACAAACGCAUCAUAGGACAAAACAUAAUAGAUGGAGUAAUAGUCGAAUCAUGAACAGGGGGGUGCAAGACAGCAGGGUUUGCAUAUGCACACCCCUCAAAAACCAAACGAACCAACUUAGAGACAUUAUCAUUACACCUAAAUCAGAAAAGAAAGCGAGAAUAUAUGCAUCAAGACGAGACAACGGCGCAAUGGAGGAAAAUUAACAAAAGAAACAUCACUAACCAACUAUCAAGGAGGUUUGCCUCAACAUCAGGAGAAACAAGCACAAUAGAUGAGAGAUGGAUCGACAGGGAGAGAUCACGUGGGAGGCAAUACCAACACCCGAAGGAGUAGCAGUAGCCAUUCCUACCGAACAAAAAAACACAGGUUAAACUGCCAGGGGCCAACAACCAAGGUGACCUUUGGAGAAAAAAAAGGUCAUAAACAGACCGUUGCUAAGAAAGGCAGAAAAGACAGCCCAAACCAAAACUCUUUAGUACAAUAUAAAAGCUUAAAAUUGCAAAUCAACUAAACAAAUCCUAAACUGAAAAACCUUAAAUUAAGCAAAUCAACAAAGAGCAUGAAAAACCUCCGAAGGUGAUUCCAAAAGAAGGGAAAAAACACAAAACGAACCUUUGCUAUAGAUUCCAAAGCCGAAUGCACAAGGCUAGGAUGAAAACCAGUAAAAUAACCUAAAUCAUAAAAACGCCAAGAACAACAUCAACAAAGUACAGUAUGUAAGAGAACAUAUAACAAAGAAAAAGCAAAGGAAAGGAAAAGUCACAGGAGAAAACCUACAGCAUUUAAUUCACCAUAGUUGAAGACAUACUUAAGAACAACUAAGGUACCAUAUAUUUCCUUUUUUCAAUGAAUAGGCAGCAACAAACAUACGGAGUUAUAAAAAAUCAAGCACACCUCAUACAAAAGAGAAAUGAAAGAGAAAAGAAUUCUUUCACAUCUUGAUAAAUACUUCAAAUGUAUACUAAUCCUAUGAACAACAUUUGCAAAGCAGGCAUCUUUAAUGGGUUUUAAGUGGCUUUCAAAUAGAGCCAUGAAAAAUCAGUGCUAUAAAAUUUAAGACCAUAAUUACUCAAAAUUCAAAGGAGCAACAAUACCACAAGUUUUGAAGCUUUAACAAAACCAAUGACUUUUCAUGGCCUUCAUAGUCAGUCCCAUGAACAGCAAAUUCUACUUUUGCAAGACGAUUCCAAGAUUUGUAAUAGCCAUGAGAAAAUCAUAUAACACAAAACAAAAUCUAAACCUAAUCAAAGAUUCCAAGUUAGUUCCUUUACAUUUCUUAUCAUUUUCUUUAAGCUUCACCAAUCAUUUUCCCAUUUCGCAAACAGAACACGAAAAUAAAGAUCAAUCUGCAAAUGCCUUAUAUAGUGCAUUUCCUAAAAUAUUAAAAAAUUAAAAAGGACAAUUUUUUUCAAGUGAAUCACGGUGAUAUACCUUGACGGAGAUUUUUCGGUCGCUCUGGGGUUGCUUGAACUUCUUGACCCUUUUCUUCACUGUCUUCUUCAAAAGCAAAGGCACCGCCAUCGCUGCUGAUUCUUCUUACGUUUUCCCUCCUUAACCUGCACAUUUCACACACAAAUCACAAUCAGCUAUCCAUCUACAAGCGUCUGUAAAGAAUAGCGCAGCACGGAGAAGAAGAAGAAAAAGAAAGCUGCGGCGCAGCUGAAGGUUUGAGAGCUUACUGUGGAUUAGGGUUCUGCGGAGCCGCCCAGAUUUGGAAUGGAAAAGGUUGUUUGAGACCACAUUUAAGAGAAAAUGAGAAAUUCGGUGGCCUUCACAAGCCAACGAGAAAAGCAAAAUCAAAGGAAAAAAGGAUACGCAGCAAAUACGCAGAGGAAAAAUGCACCAGUAAAAGAAACUCGGGGAGACCGAGCUUAAAACGCACGAAGAAGAUGAAACCAAGCUCGCAAUCAAGCUGGCCAGAGAAGGCGGUGAGAGGAAGGAGCUCAAAAAGGGGAACGGGUUCAAGGGCACAACCAAUUUCAGAAAAUGGAAAUGAAAAAAGCAGAUGAGAAAACCCUAGGAAAAAAGGGCACAACCAACCCGUCUUGGAAUUCGGACGACAUCGGAAGACACAGCCAUGAUAAAUCACACCAAUUACCAUUCUUGAGGAAGCUCUACUGUUAGCUCUGGACAAUGCAGCUGUGAGAGCUGGGAAAGGAAAGGAACUGUACGGCCAUCCAUUCCAAAGCAGAAAACCCAUGGGCGACCCAAUUACCCGAACCAUUCCAAUGGAGCAUUUGGAGAAGCGCAGACUUACACAGCUCACGUGCGCGGCACGUGACGACGACGAAACCUCUUGGUGCAUUGUAUGUUAUGUUGAUGAGCAUGUUCUUUCACAUGCUCAUAAAUUCCACUUCUUCUGUUGCAACUAUGAACUUUAGAAAAAGAAAAAAUCUUAAACUCAGUCUAUAGCAUUAUGCAGGAGAACGGAGCAAUACAUGAGUCUGAGACCAUCCAUAAAUACAUAUUGACAAGAAAGAGAGUGGGAAAAAAACAAAACAAAAAAAAAGAGAUCCAGUUCACAUGUACAAGUGAUUUGUAUAACUGUACGUCAUAAUCCUAUGAUGUAGUUUCUAAUUGCUGCCACACUAUAUCAAGGAAAUUUCUAGUGCAAAAAUUUCAGCUCUCUAUGAUGUUGAAGGAGAAUUUGGAUAGCAGCUGCGGUACUCCUGAUAUUAUUGGUCCGUAAGUCUACAUAAAAGAACCAUCAGAUGCAUUAGUCCCAACUUAUGACUCAGAAAUUGUACAAAUAUGGCUGUAAAACAGGCUACAACAUUAUCAGGGCUUGAUUUGGACGCGGAGUGGCUCACUGAGGAAUCCACAACGGAAACUUGGAAUUUCUCAAAAUUUUCAAAUUCGUGUGUUUUCAAAAGUACGUGGCAGAAUUGUUCCUCGUAACUACCUGAACGUAUCAAUUCCAUAAAAUUCUACUAUUACACUAAUGUCUUCAAUAAGGAACAAUACCUUGUGGUUUUCAUGAAGUUGACAUAGAGGUACUGCAAGAAGCUUGAGAUUCCUGGUACGUGAAUUUCUGACUCUCAGGCAACUUCACAAGAAAGAGUUUUGUGCAUUCCUAUAGAGGCAGACGUCAGAGUUUAGGUACUUGGAGCUCAAGAACUUGUACCAGGUAGGUAACAAAUCCACAGUCCAAUGAAAAAUACAUCAAUUACCUUUGGCCUUUUUAUAUUAGGUGGCAGAUAGGGAUAAAGUAAUGCAUCAAAAUCAGGCCUCCACCACAUACCAAGGCAUUCGCCCACCUGAGCACUCAGCUAAUUAGUGCACCGAACAAGUAUAUCUAUCAAGUGAAUGACAAGCAUUGCAUACCUCCCAAUCAGGCGCACUACAAUCUCCAACAGCAGAUAACUUGCUUGAUAGUUUGCGCUUUAAGCAUUGUAUAUCUAGAGCAUAACAAAAUUAUACAUAUAACCCUUGCAAAUAUGACGAUUUUAGGUCAAGCUUUGAUCUCCAUAUAUGCAUAACUAGAGUUAACAGAAUAUCCCAGAACAAAGCACAUACCUGAUUCACCUGUCCUCAAACGACCACCUGGAAGCUUAUAGAUCGAGUUCCGUGCUUGCAACAGCAAUACGUGGGGGUGCUUGAACAAUUCAACCUGUAACAGUUACUUUAUCUAUUCAUCAAUAAAAGAACUAAUUACACAAGUAAUCUAGGUCAGGGAAAGUAAAUGGCCUCAUACUCCAUCUCUCGCAUUCAUAGAAACUACAAAUUGCACUAUACAUAUAGGAAUCAUACACUGAUGGAGACACAUUAACUAUGAACUCUAUUAUUCCACAGGGGUGCAGACUAUCAUUUCCUAAACCAGCAUUUUGACCUACGGUAUUUGCAAAGAAAAUUCCAAAUCCUCCUAAUUGUAGCUCAACCCCUUUUAGUCCUGAGAGAUAUUCAGAUCAUAAUAAACAGGUCCAACAACAAUUUUAAUUUCAAGUAUAUCUAUAGAACAUGCUAGGACAUCAGGCUUGACAACAGCCACUUUAUUAACUGAAAAAAGGCUCAAUCAAGCUGAGGACUGCUACCCCCAAUUCAUCAAUGGGCCUCUAAAACUUGUUUCCUCACACAGUUGUAUAUAACAAGAUAUCAACAUAGAAUGUUACCACAUUUUUCCUCAAAAUUGAAGUAAGUAGAAGAAACUGCAGGAAAGCCAUAAUCUGUUGCUUCUAGUGAACCAAAGAAAAGUUGAAAGAUCAUUAUAAUGGCGCAAACCAACUAAGGACACUUAAAAACAGAUUGAGCCUCAAUCUUUCAUUGAUACUGGGAAGUGAAGAUCAGAAACACAAACUUUAGUGCGAAAGACUUGGUGCGGUUCUGAUGUUCAGCUAUGAAUAAAGCCUAAUACUUGUCUAUUUGGAUAUGAUUUUUUCUGACGAGUGCCUCCAUUUAGUUGUUGGUUCACAUAUAUAAACCAUUACAGUUAAUCGAUCUCACAGGGCCAAACACCAUGACAUCUUGUGUAAAAAACAAAGAGAUACUCCAAUCAAUGCUUAAAUUUCAGCAUAGGUCAACUUUCCACCGGCCAUUCAACAGUCAAGCUGAUAAAUAGGCCACUAGAUGGGGUAGGUUUUCUCAGUAUAUAACUUGUAACUCACCAACAUAAGCGAAAAUGCUUGAUAACAGACAGAACUAAUUUUGCUGACAGUAUCACCUUCUUCUCACUUUGUUCUAUUUUCCUUUUUGUUUCUUAAAUUCCUUUACCCGCCAACUCCAUAUCAAAUCCUUCCUCAAUGCCUCAGAUUUUUAACAUGAUUUUGUCGGAAUAAAGUCUAUUUUCAGAAAGAGUAAUGUUAGUAAUAUUUGCAAAAAUCUUACCAGGCAUGACCCCUUAUUACAUUAAAUUUUUUAUUAUUAUUAUUACAUUAAAAUUAUUCCUUCAUUCUUAUUCACAGUUUAAAAAAAACAUACAAACAUUAGCCAACGAAAUCUCAGAUAGUAUCUCAAGCUCCCCCUCUCCCGGGGACAAAAAACAAUAUUCACCUCGAUCACUUAACCAAAAUCACGAAAUACAUCAGCUGUAAGUAGAAAAUGCAAAAAAAAAUCAUUGAGUAAGUUAAGAAAAUGCAAAAAUCACAAAAUACAUCAGCUGUAUCGAUCACUUAACAAGGUCUAUCAAAAAUUCACAAGCAAUUGUAAAAGGAGAAGUUAAAAAUGCAGGAGUUAAAUGGAGUUCUGACCAGCAUUACAGCUUGCACACAGGUCCUUAAUCCAUGAGCAUCAUAGCUGAAUUUCAACAAUGGAUAGAAAUUAAAUUAGCACCACAGCUACAGACGAUUAAAAUUGUUGAAACUAAAUUUGCUCUAUCUAUCAUCGUACUUGAAUUUCAUUCGAAGGAUACGAUCGGACGUAGUCUCGUCCUUAAACGGAACAGCUUCUUUGGAGCCAAAAUAGUAGCAGUUCAGCGGGUAAAUGUCCAACACGUUACCGUAAUUCUGCACGCUACUACUGUUUUGUACCUGUGGUAAAUCAGUCUGAUGAUCCCUACUCAUCUUUCUAUAACUUGUAUUAUUCAAUCUGCAAGCGGUUGGGAGGACAAAUAAAAAGGGAGAAGAAACGACCAGGUAAAGUACCACUACUUAUUAGCCCCAGCUGCAUCGGUGAAGGAGCUUGGAGGAUAGAAUAUUGUAGACUAAUCUUGUCAAAGAGGAGUGGGAAAGGAACGUGGCCAUUCCUGAGAGAACCGGAGGCUGAGAGCGGGAAAAAAAAAAAUAAUAAUAAUACUCGCUAGUAACAGUGACGUUUGGGCCUAUCGGCCCAGAAGUUUCCAGAUAAGUGUACUGUUUCACUUCGAAAGUGGAGGGGCUGGUGCAGAUUUUUUGCUAUAAAAAAAAGAGUUAAUCUUUCCUGACGGCUCACCAUAUUGCGCCACCUCAUUAAUGAAAAUUGGCAACCUGUUAUAACCUGUAACCAUUACCUAUUAUCAAAUAAAAAUAGGUUAUUCACCUCUUUUUUUGCCUCUUCCUUCUCUUUUUAUUGUAUUUUCGAUUUGCAAUCAAAUUCCUCCGCUAAUCAACUCAAAGUUGGGAUCACAGGUUAGACUCCUUUAAUCUCUCAUUCUCUCUCUCUUUUUUUUUAUAUGUAUGAUGUCUUUUAUAAACCUAAUUUUACUUAAUUUUUACAAAGUGUAAACCCUAAUUCAAUAUUUGUGGAAAAAGGAUUUCAAGUAACAAAGGAAACAGGGAGGUGAUCUAGGAUCAUUUCAAGUCUAUUGUGGCCCAGGAAGUCGAGUAAAUCAAUUUCAUAUUCUCUGAUUGCCGAAGAUACCUCCUUCUUACCGCAUAGAGUUGUCAAAUUGUCAUUGAUGUUGAUCGUACUUUGUUUUGGACAAAAAACCUCAAAAAUCACUAAACUAUUAGUCAGAUCAUAUUUUGACCAUCAAACUAUUUUUAGUUAAUAAUUGACCACUAAAUAAUUUAAUCAAUAAAUCCGUGACCAUUUAGUAAAUAAUUGCUCUUUAUCUGUGAAAUUAGCAAUACAUGUGGUAAAGCAGGGAGGCAAUUUUGUCCAAUAACUACGUGACCGUAUUUCAUAGAUUAACUGCUAAUUUCAUAGAUUAAGAGCAAUUUAUCAACUAAAUGGUUACAGGUUUACUAAUGUCUAAUGUCCAGUUACUAACGAAAAAUAGUUUGAUGGCAAAAACAUGAUUCGACCAAUAGUUUAGUGGUCGCUAAGAUUUUUUACCCUAUUUUUUGUCUUCUUCUUCUUCUUAUUAGCUAUGCUAUUCAACCCUAGCCUUAGAUUUCUUAUAUUAUUGUAAGGAAAAAUCGUUUAAACCAUUCUUUAUACCUUUGCUAAAUGAAUAUUUUCAACUUUCAUUUUUUAAAUAUUAUUUUUACGUCCUUUAUAAAUUUGGUCUCAACAUAAAUUUUCAACCACUUUUAGUUUGAAAUCACCACAAAACUCAUAUGUGAUCAUUUUUAGGUACAAAAAAGUCAAAUUUCAUUUGUUUAGGAACAAAAAUGAAUAUAAUUUGGGUUAGGUCUUACUUUUUUAGAGAAAAAAAAUGAAUAUUUAGUUCGGAUCAAAUUUCAUUUUUUUAGAGGCAAAAAAAUGAAUAUGAAUCAGGUUAUUUGUUUUAACUAUAAAUGAUAUAUAGUUUUUUGCCCCUAAAACUACGUGUGAAUUAUGCGACUGGUUCAAGGUAAAAAGUGAUUAAAAACCUACAUCAUGACCAAAUUUUCUUGAUUUGAAUUUAUUAGAUAUGUAAAAUUAAUAUUUUAAAAAUAAAUGACAAAAAAAUUCAUUUUGGCAAAAUGUAAAAGACAUUUUAAAAGAUUUUCCCUUUAUCACAGUGGAUAAAAAGAGACCAUAAACUAGUUACUGGUACAAAUAAUAUAAAGAAAUGUAACCAACAUUUAUUGGAAAAUACAACCCCAAAGAUUUGGGACCAAAAUCGAUUAGCGGUGACCAUUGAAUAAAAGAUAAAAACUUUUGUGUGCAAGUGUUCUUAAACCUGAAUCUCUCCACGACUCGACCUCUCUUUUAAUCCACAUUAGGUGUUUUUCACAAUAACACAAUUACCACUUGACUCUUGGUCCAGAAAACUCUAGGAAUUUUUAAGGUAUCUCUUAAAUAAAAUAGAGGGCAUGCUGAGAGGCCCACCAAAUUGUUGGGUAAUAACUGUAUUUUUUGAACAAAUCGAGAACUACAUUCAAUAUUUUUAUAAAGUUCAGGUACGUUGAAUGAUAUUACAAUUAAUCGAAAUGGACUAGUCCUACAGUAAGACAUUUGUCAUUAUAAAAAAAAAAGAAAAAAAAAACACAUUUGUCUUCUUCUUUAUAUUAGACCAGCAGUAUUUAUGGCGUCCUUUUCAAAUUUUCUUAAUUCUGACCAAUGAAAAACAUCACAAGAAGUCUACUUCCACAAUUCCGUUCAACACUUUUCUUUGUCAGGUGUAGGGCCUAAUCGGCUGCGCGGGAAGAAAAUAAUCUGAGUUCACAUGUGCGAAAAGGAAAAUAAUAAAAGAUUGAGGAAGCUAUAUACAUGAAAUGUUUAAGCUGCUAAGCAAAAUCAAUCAUAAUUAGGAAUUUGGAUUGGUUUAGUUGGAGAAUCCAUUUAUCCAAAUCCAGUUUCAAUCAUCAAAACUAGAGUUACAAAAGAAUCGAACCGCUCGUAAGUUGAUCGCGAGCAGCGCGAGUUCGAAGUCGAACUGACCAAGUUGAAAUCGAUUUCGAAUUCGAUUUUAAAAAUACUAAUCUCGUUAGCUCGUGAGUCGGUUCAAACUCGAUUAUAUAUAUAUAUAUCUUAUUUUAAUAGUAAAAUAUAUAUAUAUAUUUCUAAUAUUUUAAUAUUUGUUAAGAAAAAUUAUUAUUAUUAUUUAUUUUUAAAAAUAAAAUAAACUUUUUUAAAACUCGAUCUUGACAUUUUGAACUCGUCGAGUUCAAGUUUGAUAAAAUUAUAUUGAGACUCAACUCUAUUAGACUGAAACUCUGUUCGGCUCGAUUCGUUUACAUUCCUAAUCAAAACUAUCCGAAUGACAUGUUUUUCCUACUAAUUCAUGCAGUAUAUCCUUUGUUUGUUCCAUUGUAGAUUUGUAAGUGUACGUAGGAUGUAUUCGGAUAGGAGAUUAAUUGAAAAAAAAAAGUGUUUGAAAAAAUACUAUAGCAUUUUUUAUUAUGUGAUCUAUGUGAAAUAAAAAAAUAAUUAAAAUUUGUAUUUAUGAUAUAAGUUAAACAAUAUUUAAAUUUUUUAAAAAAUCAUGCUAAUUAGACAGAUCCUACAUUUUGUGACGAUGGGAGGAAAAAAACAGAAGCAUCUUCUGACGAAUUUCCACAAUUCGGCAAUAUAACAAUUUAUGGUGGCUGGUAUUCACAAUUCAAAUUGUGUUUUGUCAACUAAUUGAAAAUGAUUAGUAAACUUAAGAGAAAUUUUAUUUAUACUUUUUUUCCCUUGUAGCAAUGUCAUUAUUUUUUCUCUCAUAAAUCCAAUUGCUCCCGGAGAAAUUAUCUUAAUUAUACCACCUCAAAAAUAGCUAAGAGGACAAGAAAAUCAUAAAGAGGGAUUAAAAAGUUUCAGCCAAAAGGAAAAAAGGAAAAAAAAACAUAAAAGCAUUCAAAGGCUGCCGUAGAAAGACGGGAGGAAAAGAAUCUUCUUAAUUACACUAUUUUAUUUUUUUUAAAAAAAUUCUAAAUACACUACUAGUUUUACGGUUCAGGAAAAAGUACAAAAUGAAUUUUGCCAACCGAUAGGCCCUGAACAAGAACCAAAACAAAGACAAAAGUCAAUGUGCAAUUCGUGGAAAUAACAGUAAAACUUUUGAGAAUUUCCAUUUCUGUUAUUCAGCUUUAAAAGUGAAUUUUUGUAUAUCAUUUUCCAGUGUUUUUUUUUUUACUAUAUUAACUAUUCGCAAGUCCUAGGUUCGGCUUCAGCCGAAUCAAAUACGUCAGCUCGUGCUUAUGCAUAUUCCUAAGGAUACUGACUUCAGUCUUCGGAUAAAGUAUGGUGAUAGCACAACAAUUAUUGAGCAGUAUACAAAAGUUUUCCUAAAAAAAAAGAGAACAUACAUAUAUAUUUUUUGUUGUUGUGGGGUUGUUGGGGGGGGGGGGGUGGAGAGCAUACUAAAGUAAAUUAGUUUACAAGACACUUGUAAAGCGUAUGGUAUCCUACAAUACUUAAAUCACUUAAAUUACAUUAUUGUAUUUUUAAAUUUUACAUUAUCAUAUAUCACUUACUCUUUCUAUUUUUACGUCAUUAAAUUAAAGUAACCUUAUUUACACGACAUUUAUAAAUUAUAUCAUAUUAUUCAAUAAUUUUUUCUUUUUAAGACGAGCGAGAGAAUUUAAAUUCAAAGAUCUCUUAUUUACAAUCUCUGUCACCUUACCAUCAAAUACAACUCUCCCCGGUAUCACUCAAUGGUUAAAUCACUUUUAUUACAUUAUUGUACAUGACGUGACCUGCUCUUUUAUUUUCCAUUAUUAAACUAGUAGUAUAAUGCAGAUUUUUUGGAUACAUCCCAUGUAAAAUCUUAAAUCAAAUUUAUUGUGGCAUUUUCUUAUUCCUUUUUUUUUUUUUUUUGUCGAAACGAUAGAUGUCCUAUAACCUAAUCUAGCCUAGUCUAAGGGGAAGGGGAGGGGGUUCGAUGUGAGUACAGACUCCAUCGAUGAAGGUCAAUUAAGACCGCCACAAAUUGUGGCAAAUUUGUGGGAGGCAGGGAUUGAACCCCUAACCUCCAGCAUCACCUUUAAUAGUGAUGACCACUGGACCAAAUGGCCAGUGGCGGCAUUUUCUUAUUCCUCAUAUUUGAGUUCUUUUUUUUUUUUCCCUCUUUCAGGUACGCCGGAGAAAAGAUUAAAGAUGAUGCAAAUGAAGAUUUUUGACAAUGCAAAAGUUUCUCUCCCAAAGCAACUCUGACAAGAACGCAAUUUGCGUUGAAGAAUUGACCGUAAUUCAACUUCUUUCAAGACCAUUGGGGCUGGUCUGGUUGGCCAAGAGUUCGAAUCUCGACACAAACAAGAGUUUGAUAUAUUUGGCUCGGCCAUAAGAUAAGAUAAGGUUUUUUUUUUCCUUUUUAAUUUUAAUAAAGUGCAGCAAAAUUAGAGUCCGAAGCUCACAAGAAUAUUUCACUCAACAACGGAUCAUCGGAGAGGAGAGUAGGAGGCGGAGGAGGCCGUUACCAAAGUCCUCUAUUCGAAGUCUCUCAUUCAAAGUCAGUCCAAAGUUUAUGAUUGAAGAAAGAUACAAAGCUUUCCGUCCCAUCCACUUCUCCUAUGCAUAAUAGUCAGCGUCAACAAUUAAUUUUAAACAGAAAAUAAAUCAAAAGAAAUUGGACUCUUUCGUCUCCUCUUCCAACUCCAAACGACCCCGAGUCUCCUGUCCCUUCAUCACGAAUUGGAGCUCAACUACUCCAAAUAGCCGCUUCCCCAGCUCAAACUCCAUAAAGGCAGGUUUUCCCUUCUUUCUUUUUCUUUUAAUCUUGGUUUUAUUUGUAGAUAGAAAAUGGUGGGGUUUUUUAAUUUUUUGGGGCGGUUAGAGGUGGUGGGGUUGAGGAGGCCGGGGAGGGUGUUGGUGCUGUGUUCUUUACUUAAUAUGUUUCAUAAAAUUUGGUAUUUUUCUUUGAGGACUUGUAUCUUGAAUUGCUUUGUAUUGAAGUGAAGUGAGAUGAUUCUAGAUUUUGAUUGCGGUUUUCAUUUUUUUUUUUCUUAAUGGGUUUCUUUGGGAUUUAGAAGUUUGAGCAAUAGGUCUGAUAAAGUUGCGAAUUUUUAAGCUUCACUUGGUAAAACCUGAAAAGAUUGACAAUGCAUGAUUGAACUUGGUCGUAUGAUUUCAUGCUCUCACUUUUUAGUGGAUUGUUAAAUCGAUGCUUGAAAAAUUAGAUGUUGAUGAUGAAUGAAAAGAAAUAGGUGAUGUUGUCAUCAUAAUUGCUUAUGCGCCUGCGGGGUAUCAUCUGGUUAUUGUAUAUCAAUGUUUGAUUGUUCUGUUACUAUGCUCUCUCGCACUACCCUUGACUUAAAUUGGUUGUUGAGUGAUGGAAUAAUAGUGAAGUUUAUGUCUCUCUCAUUAUAUCAGGUGUUGUAGAGGUGACAACUGACUGUUAGGCGAUUUUGCUUUGGAAAACUACACAUGGAUCAAAGUGAGUGCCUUCAGUUGUUAAUUUGUUCUACUUCAUUUCAGAGUUACAUAUUUGAUACCAAGUUCUUGAGUAUGAAUGUGUUAUCAGUAUAUGUUCCGAUUUUGAUAAUCAUGCGGUAAUAAUGGUAUAUCAUACUGGGAAUCCAGAAAUUGUUGACACUCCUAUGAAAAGUCUUUGAUCAAACAACGAGUCAUUGGGGAAGGAGGAGAGGUAAUGUUAGGUUAGGUCGGGUGGCAUCACUUCCUCUAUUGCGUGCAUUGCUCUUCAUGGUGUUGUAAUAGGGUUUAGGAAGUUGGCAUUUGCUAAUGCAGUUAUGCUUUAGAAUUUGACAAAUUUAUUGUAACUCAAACCGGGAAAUGUACUGUUAACUUUUGUCCGGGGUUUUUUUUUGGGCCCGGGGGGGUGGGGUGGGGGAGGCGGAGGGAAGAGAUUGGUUAACUUGAAUGUUGUGGUCAAUGAGACAUGCCAAUUCAAAUUUAAGUUCCAUGAGUGUAACCUCAACUUGGCAACAGUAUGUUUAUUAAAUCAUUGACAUAAGGAAAUUUUCAAGCGUGAUGGCCUUUUAACGACUAAAUUGGGCUUGUUGAUGUUACAGAUAUUACUAUCGAGGAGGGAGAUGUAAAAAGUGGCCUUGAAUUGGUGAAAUCAGUUUCAGAUAAGCAUCUUGAUCUUUUGAGACCAUCAGCCCGAUAUUAUUCAAUUUUUAAAGGUAGUUAUUCUGUUUGUGUGUCAUUGUUAUGAUGUUCUUGCAUUUUGAAGUAUCGUCCAUAUAUUUGUUGUUUCUAGAUGUUUAUGUCUUGCACAAUGUCUUUCUAUUGUUUUACGAUUUGGAGAUGAUAUAUCUCCUGACAUAUCUCUGUGCAAUAUGUACUAAGUUCAAAAGGUUCACUUCUUGUAGCUUGGGAUGCCUUGAGGAGGACAUUAGGCUUAUACUUGCCAGUUUAAGUUUAGAAAUAGCUAUCUUGUCCUGAUAGUGAUCGGUCAAGAUGUAAUGAUUCUAAAAAACAAAUAAGAUGCAAAUCUUCAGCAGUAAAACCAAUCAGUUGAUGGAGAGCCACCCCUGAUAAAGAAGUCAGAAAAUAGCUAUCCUGUCAAAGUGAGGUCACUCUAGGAUACAUCAUAGUGUCAGUUGAUGGCAGUUCUUGAACCUGGCAUCUCUGUGUGUGUAUCUGAGGGAGAGAGAGAUGAGGUUUCAACUUUUGUUGGCCCAAUGAUAUGAGUGCAAGAUUAUUUCGCAUGCAUUCACAUCAUCCAUCUCCCAAACAAAACCUCUCUGUCUGUCUUGUUGGAUACUUGCCUUUUCUGAAGCUCUGAUUACCAUUGCAUAGGAGUUCAACUUUUUGUCCUUAUUCCAUUUCAAAUUUUAUUGCAUUAAGACCUUUCUUCUAAUCAAUCUCCUGACCAUGUUCCUUCCUUCUUAGGCACUUCUGUUCUUUAAUUUGAAUAAAACUUCAGCUGAAUGCCAUAUUCCCCACUUGGGCCAUGAUAGGUCUAGUGGCUAAGGUUGAGGCCUUAGGACUGGGUUCUAAUCCCCCCUUCCUGCUCCCCACUUCUUAAAUCUCUCCCUCUCCCUUGCUUAGAGGGAAAAAAAAAAAACUCAUGCAAGUCUUUAGCUUGAUUACACACUUUUACAGUUGUAGACUGAUAAUUUCUUUGUAGUUUUUAUGAAAAAGAAAAUGAAUAUGGUAAUUACGUGUCUUUUAAUGAUAGGGCAAGUGGCAGAUGCUUCUGACCGUGAGAAGGGUAAAUAUACCCUGAUCAGAGAUGCAGAUGACUUCCAACCAAGCAUAUAUGACAAGCCAUUACCCUGUUUUGGCUGUGGAGUUGGGUGGUUUUCGUACGUCUCUGAUCCAUAUUUACAUUUUUCACGAUGCUUAUCGCUGCUGCUAGGGGUUGUGCUGUUUCCUUGUGCAUCUUUGUCUGAUCACCACUUUAUUUCUUCAGAUUUCUAUUAGGAUUUGUUUGCCCAAUAAUGUGGUACUAUGCCACAUUGCUGUAUUUUGGUAAUUACUACAAAAAGGAUCCUAGAGAACGAGCUGGGCUUGCCGCAUCUGCAAUAGCUGUAAGUACUCCAUGCUCUGCUUAUGCACUUGCGCUUACAUAGCCUACACAGGUCUUUACAUGUGAAUUAGCAACCAAAAUGCAGCAAUGGCAGGUCUUAUAUAUGCCGCUCGAAUUUAUUUCUUUACUUGUUUUUGGUGCAGGCAAUGGCAUUUUCUGUUUUCUUCUUGAUCAUCUUAGCUGUGUGGUUCUACUUUUUUAGCUCCCGCCUUGACAGUUGCACGUGCUUUGGAGGCAUUUGUGGGCAAGGGCGUUGUGAUCUUGAUUUGGGAUUUGUAUAUUUUUCCUUAACUCAGCUGCUAUUUCUGAUGUAGAUAUGAUUUCUUAGAAUCAAAUCACACAUGACUCCAUUUUUCCACCAAUCACUAUACAGGGGACAAAAAAACACUAAGGCAAAACAGUAGAAAGAAAGAAGGGAAAUGUAACCCGCCAUCGAAGAAACGACUACAAAAUGGGCUAAAGCUCUGUUAUAGGAACCGUGAUUUGAGAGAUUGUAUUUUAGGAACAAUAAUACUAUGUUGUUGUUGAAUAAAUCAUUUUUUUGGUGCAAUGACGACCAUGCUCUACUGUUGGAGAUGUUAGCAAAAAACGACUUUCAUUGUGGAUGGAGAGAGAUACAGACUUACAGAGAGACGCCCUUGUUCAUAUGGCAAGUCAGAUAUUCACAAGGGUCCAGUCACAAAAGUAUAGCAUAAAAAGACACUCGAGUUUCAUCAUGUGAGCUCCCCUUUCCUUCUUCAUAUGCUGAUAAAGAGCGGUCCGAUAAAAAACGUCUAAAAUUCAGGCUCUUCAAAUUAAUAUUGGUGCUUUACCAUUGAAAGCGCCAGGUACUUUUUUUUCCGCGUCUCUUUGUACAUACAAAUGCAAAUGUAUACGCAGGACAGAGGAAUCCGAAUUCAACGAUUAGCUUUAUGCUUUACACCACCAAUAUCUCACAAAAUUAGAUUACAAGUCCCUGACGGUUUACCAUCAUAGGAGAAGGCUAAGUACAAAAAUUAGAUCCAUAGGGCUCAAAAACUUUUCCGACCGGUACUCGUGCAAAAAUGCACCAGGGACAACAAAAUAUGAGACUUGUUCCAGUUCAGCCUCAAAUAAAAUGGGUGAUCAAUAGUUUGAUCAAACCGAAGCAAUACAGCAAUCAGAACUCAUAUUUUCAUGAUGGGUUCGCUCUACACUCACACAUCUGUUCUUAACUUUUCACUGCUAAUCGUACAUACUUGCCAUCAAUAUCAAAUCUGGAACUGGAAUUGAUCUGCAGAUAGUAAAGAAAUCCCAAUAAGAUUAUGCUUCAUAACAAGAAUAGGAACAAACAAGUCCUUAAAAGCAUCAGUUUACCUUUUGCUGAAGAAUUUCAGCAACUCUGCUUUCCUCAACUAUUGAGCCAGAUUCCUUGAGAGACUUCAAACAAGUUUUAUCAGUUUCUUGAAUUUCAGUGAGCCAUCAGGAUUCUGCCAGCAUGCAGGAAAACAGUUUUACGUAUGGAACAGAAAUUUCAUCAUACACUCUACUGGAAUGAGAAACAUUGGACGACGACGACAAUGACGACAAUAAUAAUAAUAAUAAACUAGUGGGAUGGAAGAGCUAGAGGAAAGCAAUACGCACAGAUUUCAGGGAUGAAGUAAUCAGCUUCUUCCACUUUAUUUUCUUCUUGUCAUCUUCGUUUUUAGGAGAGGGAUUCACUGACUUCUUGUCUUCAGACACAACUUCUUCAUCUUUCUUAUCCUUCUCUUUCAAUUUUUUCAUUUUGGUUUCUCUAACAUGGAUAAUUUCGCCAUUGCCCGAUUCAUCAGGCAUAUCAACCACAGGUAUUUGCCUGGCAUCGACAUUUUCAGACACCUUGAGCUUUCUCUUCUUACUCAACUGCAAAUUAUCAUUUUCUGCCACAGAGUUGUCCUUCUUCGCAGCAAUAGUAUUAGACGGCUUCUGUUCUUUUUCUUCCUCAGUGGCUUCGACAGCUUCAUUCUUUGCAUUGUUUUCAGCUGGAACAUCACUCUCCAAAAGGUUUCCUUCACUCUGUUUUGGCUGCUUCGCUGCAUGAAAAGCUUUUGCUUUUGCUAUGUGCUUCUUCCCUUCUGCAUGGAGAAGCAGGGUUUGCUGACUAGUAACAUUGGUAUUACACAGACUGCAAAAUAACACAUUAACAUUAUGAAAGCUCAGAUCUAACUUAAAAAAAAGGGCAUAGAAACCAAAAUAUCUUAACCUAAGCCAAGAUCAAAUAAGGCAAACUGAAGCAACAAAUCCAUCUACACAGAAUAAUUUACAGCAGGCACAAAGUUUCAUAUCUCAUCCACAACUGAAGAAGAUAACUUAUUGAUUCCCCAAUGAAAGGCUAAAAUAUAACAAUCUUUGUAACUGUCUCAGCUUUACACAUCAUCACCAGAUCUGAAGGAUCCCAUUUAGCGGGUCUAGGGUUGAGUAAAGCUCAUAUUUUUUUAGUUCAAAUUUCAUAGUAUGAGCCAGAAACAAAAUCUCUCAAAAAAUAAUCUAAACAAGAAUUGGAAGCAAAAGAUGGUCUCUGUACUCAAAGUACUUGCAAGCUAAAAGCAAAAGCAUUAGGUGUUGCAGAGCAUAUUCCUAUCUUAGUGAGGCUCUGGACUUCAUAUCAUGCAGCUAUACAUUAUUGCAGCCAAGUGGUUUUAUUUUCUUUCCUUGAACAUCUCUUAUGUCAAGAAUUGACACAAUUUUCAAUAUAGGUACACGGGAAGGGAAGUACCUGCAAGACCAUGGGGCACGUUGAGAUAAUCCAACAUGUAUAUCAAUAUCUGGUUUCUGUUUUGAAGCACCGUUAGGCUUAUUAUUUGAGCCAUUAAUAGCUUUCCCUUGUCCCUUUGGACCAUAUUUUCCUGAAAAUGAGAGUAUCAUAUCACUUUCAAUCAGUCAAGAAUGAUCAAAGCUUAUAAACACCAAAAUAACUACAUACAAGUUAAUAAUUAGCAAACAAAGUAAAAGAUGAAGGCUAAAUUCAUCAUAAGAAAGUUUCAAAAUGAGGACAGGCAGUACCUCAGAAAAAUUCAUAUCACAAUUGGUUCAUAUUAUUUGCCAGAUUACAGACACACAUACUCUAGCUCUUCCUGAAAAUAGCACCCUUUUUGAAUGAUUCUCAUAUAUCUUAAUCGUUCAUAUCUAUGUCUCUUAACAUUUCCACUAAAAACUUUAAAUUACUAUGAGCAUUCCAACCGAAAGUCAAAUUUCAAAUGACUUAUGAUGUCCGUGUAAUGCCAUACUAAUACUAUACCCAUAAUAUGGUAAUUGUUUGAUAUGUCUAUCAAUUCUUUUGGUCCUGAACUACUAAUAACCCUCAGUUUCAAGCCUCAACCAAUGCAUUGAGUUCACAAGAUUGUCCAAAGAAAGUACACAUUUUGGCCAAAUCAGCAUAGCAACAGUCAAAAAUAUUGCUUUUUCUACCACAUCAAUUACGGUUAAAAAAAUCAUAUUGCCAUUAAGGUAAUAUGGGAAAAAAAAAAGAAAUAUGAACAGAUAAUCAAGAGCUUGUAUAAACUCAAAUAAUAGACAAAAUAACAAUUAAAAAAAUCCAAAAAAAGUAAACGGAUAAAAUAAAAAGGACAACAAAGAAUGAGAAGGGCUCGAAACAUACAGCUUCUGUGACGCACUGGGUAUGGCUUUCAACAUUUUGUCGCCCAAAUAUUUCUCCACAGUCAAUGCACGAUAGCUGCACAAAAUUCACCGAAAAGAAAAGAAUGAACAUUCGAGUAGAUUCAAUUUUGAAGCAAGAAUCAGCUGAAUCCAGUUCAAGAAAUUAAAUUUACAAAAUUCACGAAAAAACAAGGGAAAGAGAGACCUUGGAUGCAGAGCAGGUCCUAAAGUGGUUAGGCAGCUUUGGUUUCUUCAAGUUGUCUCCACAGUCAUCACACUGAAACCACACCAUUUCUCUCGUGUGUGGAUGUUUACCGAUGAAGAAAUUUCUGGAGAAUGAAUUCCGCCUACAAAAUUGUCGUUGGAGAAUCUUUUGCGGUAAAAUCCAGUCGAAGUAUAAAGGGCUUCCAUUUGUCAGGGUUUAAGGCUUUUUUAAGUGUUUAGGGUUUUCGGUUUUGGGCUAAUGAAAGAAUUCGUAGACCGCUUUUAAAAUUAUUAAGCCCACAUUGUGAGAUAAGUACCGACGAAUGUUUGCAGCAGGACUUUGUUUAGAACGCAUUUUAACAAAUAUUAUUUUAUUUGCAUCAUAAUUAUGAUUAUCAAUUUUUUUUAUAUUCUUAAUAAUCUUUUUAUUUCACAUAUAUUAUAUCACAAAAAAUGACCUCAAUAGAAAAUUGAAAGUAAUGGCAACAAUUGAUUGAGUUCAAUAGUUCCCGUAUAAAAUUAUUGACUCUAGAGAUAUAAUAAUAUGGAGAAGACAAAAUUGUUUAAGCACUGACAGAAUUAGAAGCACCCUCUUUCAAAGAGAGGAGGAUGGGUUAUUAACAUUUCAUUCGAUCGUUAGUCAUUCGAUCUGAAUGCUACACGAAGAAUGUAAGCCAAAUGAUAAAACGGAAAGACUAGGAUGCAGAAGAUUGUAAAUGAGUCAUUCGUAUAUUUGGAUUCAUAUAUCCACCCAUGGGGUACUAAACUAUUUAUUCCUAAUAAUAUCUCAAAUAAUUUCUUUUCCAAAAGCUCUAUUCGCGGCAGCUUCUAAGUUCAAUUCUAGUUAAAAUAACUUGAAUUAUUCAAGUAUUAAAUGCUAAUUCAAAUGUAAAAUUUAAAAUUUAUUUCUUGAAUGUGAGUUUAAACCGUCUAUACUUAUUUGAUUAUGAUUUGAUAAUUGAUCCAUUAAUCACACAUACGAUGCACCUGUAAGCUUGGUUUGAAAUCUUACUUAAGAAGAAGAAGGGAAAAAAAAAAGCUUGGUCUCUUUGAAUUCUCUAUUUUUUGAAAAACAAUUUUUUCAUUUACAAUGCUACAAUAAUACACAACAAAAACAACACAUUCAUACAAUAUAUCAAAAAUAAUUUCAAAUAUAUAAAAAAAAUUGAAAAAUAAAAUUUACACCAUUUUCUUCAUCCAUCUAUUACCACUGUCGACCACCGUCACAGCCACAAUCCUCUCCUUCCCAUUUCUCCUUCUUUUCCAUCUCUAUCAUCACUCUCCUUUUCUCCUCCAUUUCUUUCCUCCUCCCUUCUCUUUUCUCUCCCCUUUCUCGUCACAUCCACCCCUCUCCUCCCUUCCCUCCCUAGUUUGGCUACAACCAGAGGCAUCAAUUUGGCAAAUGAGGUCUAAUCAAGGAGGGGGGAGGGAAGGUGGGAUGUGACGGGAAAGGGGAAGAGGAGGAUGAAGGUAGAGGAAGAAAAAGAAAGAGAGAGAGAGGGGUGGUGGGUGACAGUGUUAAUUUUUUAAAAAUAUAAAAAAAAUUUUAACCUUUAAAAAUAUUCUAAAAUACAUUCAAAAAACACCUUAAAAAUACCAUUAAAAAUAUCUAUAAUAAAAUUUUUAUAUGCAUUAUUAUAGUAAAAUAUUUCAAAAACAUCCCAAAAAACUAAUAAUUAGCGAUUUUUUGUAGCCGUUGCUAAAAUCACACACUCUCAAGGACACUUGCGAGAACGGCAAGUCAGCAGUCGAAGCUUAGCAAGCUGAAAAAGGACACGAUGAUCAAUAAGAUGCCUUUUGCAUUAUUAAUAAACUGGAAAAGUGACAAUUAGUGCUGAUUGAUGGCUACUAGUGGUAAACCAAUCAUAAAUUUUCUGUUGAUCUGACAAUUUAAUGUUAAGCACAGCACUUACCAGGUGUCACUACCCCUUGGUUUUCGGGAGGAAAAAAGGAAAAAACAAACAAAAUGUCACUACGAAGUUGGUUUCCUGAUUUUCCGUUGGCGGCAAUUGACUACUCGAUAAAUACAAAGAUCUACCACUUUCAAUUUGCUCCACGGCAAAAUGAACAGUGACUUGUGAUAAUUUUUGUUAUCAAAUUCAUUGGCAUUACAGGUUUGUCAAUGCAAGAUGUAUAUGGAUCACCUACUCUUUCAGAGAAUAGUUGAAUGGCUUUCUCGGUGCAAAUGGAUCAGACUUCCGAGACAGGAGCCUAGCUUGCUGGAUUGAUCAUUGAAUUCUUGAAUUUUGCAGUUGAGCUCAAUGUCUGGCUAUCAUUCUGCUUCUCUGCGCAAUUAUAAUGAGCUUCAUCAACCUCUUUUCAGAUUUCAUGCAAGAACAACAAGAGAGGAAUUCACACAUGCAUUUGAUAUGUAACUUGUUUGAAUUGCUAUUUUCUAAAAUUUUCAUUAAAAAAUGUACGGUAACAAAUUGAUGUUUAUGAAGUAAAAAUACGCACUAAAAAAUGUGCUCAUCAAAAGUGUUAAAAUUUUGUGGAGAGGAACUGGUGCAGCAUGGUGCUUAAUAGCCUAUUUUAGGUAGAUUAUCGUUCUUCUUCGUAAUUAUACCAUAUUUCCUCAUGAUCUGUUCUUACAACUAUACUUUUACCUCACAUCAGAAAUUAGAGGUCAUGCAUGAAGAUUAUACUAACAAGAACGUCGCCAGACAAAUCAGUGAUAGGUUUGGAAACUAAAAGGAUGCCUACUUAAUUAUUCGAGCUGGAUGUCGGCCCUUUUAUAAUUAAGUUAUUCCUAUACUAUCAUUUUCUUUAAACUUACCUUGCUGACACAUUCAAAGAACUUGCUUGCUCGGGGACCAGUUGGCUCAAAAAUUCAAUGUUACAAGAGGAACCAAGACCUGAGUUGUUAGCGUGUUACUGGCUUAAUGCUUUGAUUGUUUCUGGUGUAAAGCAAAGCAACGCAUGAGAGGCACAUCAGGAUAAUGAUCAGAAAAGGAAACAAAAAUUACUUGUACCAUUAGAGGACGGAUCUCAAGUCUUCUCUAUUAUAAUCCAAUCAUUGCUUGCAAGAGAUCUAGUAGCUACGUAGCAGUACAAGAAGAUUUCCACGAACUGCAAAGACUUGCGCCACCUAUACUGCGAAGUCUUCUGCCAUUCCUGCGAGAGAAUUAUUGACAGACUAUUUUGCAACUGUCCAAAUUCGCUUCUUAAGCGGACAAGAAUAGCUAAUUGGACAACAACAUAAAAUCCCACCUAAUUCACGGUAUGAGUUCACUUACAGGCGUAGAAAAAAAGGCAUUUUCAAUCAACAAUAAUUAAGUACAAACAGGGAACUGAGAAGGACAAGGUGGUGUUUCAUACCCUGAUCAUCCGGCCCAUAACUUGGCUGGUAUCUAAAAAACAGGUCAUUGUAUCGACUAAGAAAUACGUACUAUAAUGGAUAUUAUUCUCUUACUUCUCCUUUAAGUUAGUUAAAAAGGAUCAACGUCAAAGUUCUACAGCCUGAUUUUCCAUAAAACUGCAGUCUUGAGCAUUAUUGUGCUGGUAUUGUGGCUUGGCGCAGAAGUCUGAGAAACUGAAGCUGAAAAAAGGGGGUCUGACCUUAUUUUUAUAUAGAAAGAAUCAAUGAUUGAAUGAGCUGUUAAAGAUUAUUAAUGUACUUUCUUGGCACUUGCCCGAAACCCAAAACUUUGCUAUGGAAGGAUAUUAUACUCAAAAAGAAUGGCCGUAAUACGUACAGGUGAUCUGCAACAAAAUAAUUUCUUCGAUUGGGAUAUUUCUAAAGAUCGGCUAGCUAGAUGCUUUUGAGUUCGGAUUGCCCAAGAACAAUUCAGCAAAAACCCAUUAAGAAAACAUGGAAGCAUUGUUCAGACGCCAACAUACACAAAUACAUUUGCUAUAUAUAUGGAGUUGGUUGGCAACGGAAACGAUAAUAGUUGUUUAAUUUAAGGUAAUCAGUUCUUGAGACACAAAUUUUCUUUCCGCGGUUUCAUUUCAUAACCAAGUAGUAGCUGAUUUCUGGAGGUAAUUAAGCACGUCAUCGGACCAUGAGUUUCUUGACGGCUAUGGAUCCACCAUCGAGUUGCUAUUUCAAGGCAUUUGACGUUUUGCGUUAAAAUACAGCCACAAAAAAAAGUACGUAUUGUCGGUCAUCAAAAUGGGAAGUAGGUAUGCUGUUCCUAUACACUACUAUUCAAUAAGAAAAUUAUUUUUGAUCAAGGAAUCCCACUCCUAUAUUUUUUAAAAUUAUAAAUAUUUAUUGUUAGCAUACACAAUAGUUUUGAUACGAAAAUGCAUGAAGCUUGGAGCCCUUCAAGGGCUACUUCUAUUUUUUUUUUUUUAUUAAAUUGAUUGUUGUUGAAAAUCAGAUUUCUCCUAUGUAUCCUAGUCUGAUCUUAGAAAAGCUGUUUAAAUCAAUGCACAAGUAUUUGACUUAAAACUACAAUAAAACUACUGAUUUUGAUUAAUUAAUGACAAGUGGCCCUCGUACACUGCAUGGAUAGACUCUUUUUUUUUUUUUUUAGGUAUUUUAGUAGUUUUCUGAAAGUAUUGAUGGUCACGGUACUUUCUCGUCCGCCAAAAAAAAAAGAAAAUACAAUCCUUGAUAUCAAAAGCAAUAAAGAAUAACACAAAAUAGAAUUUUAAAAAUAAAAAAUCACACCUUAGAAAUGAUAUGAGGAAAAAGCCUGAAUAACCGAACACAUCAUCAUCAUUUCCGAAUUACUAUAAGAAAGAAAAAUGAGUAAUUUUCUGUUUUGUUUUAAUCUAAAAAAAUUCGUGAUUAAGGAGCGUGAUUGGAUUGGAGCGGAGAUUGAAAUGUGACGCUAGAGCCUAGAGCUAGAGGAGGAAGAACCGGCCAUCAUGGAUCGGGUGGCUGCCUCAUGCUAGCUGUUGGCAAGCCUUCGUGGCCGGGGACAAUGGUUGUCAAUGUCCAACCUGUCUCCAUUCCCAUCGAUCGUAUUUAUUCCUAAAAUAAAACUAAAAGACCCUACAACCGGUAUUAGUUGUGAUAAAUAAAACAAUCAACAAUCUCUCUUAUACUUAAUCUGUGCUUAGGUGGCGCGUGGAAAAUUAAUCACAUUGUUAAUUGAAGUUUAUCUUCCAUAUGACUUUUCGUUUCUUAAUUUGUAGUUCAUAAUAAUAAUAUCGUUCCCUUGUUUAAAAGUAGUAUGUUGAAUUGUAAUCAUCCAGCACCGAGAAGGACAGGAUAUGAGUAUGAGGAGGAGGGUGGGUCAUAACUCACAAGUCAUGGGACCUUUCCUUUUUUAAAAAUGUGUUUGAAUUAAAUUACACGCAUGUUAUAGGGGCUGGCCACGAAUGAAUGAAGAUGGUCGAUGGAUUUGAAGUCAUGUCUUGUAAUUAAGCUCAAAUAAUUUAUGCUAGUAUUAAUUAUUUUUCCUCUGGGGAUUAACUUAAUUCUAAUUACAACUGUAACACACACUGCCUGCAUCUGCACUACGCCAGCAUUACCAAAUUGAUCUCUCUUUUCUUUGCAUAUCAAACACCUAAAGAAUAUAUAUAUAGAUUUCUUAAAUUUUGAAUCCAGAGUGAGAUUUGUAAUUUUUUUUUAAAAUCGAAACGAGGAAAAAGUCCAAAGAAAGAAGGGUCUUACUAAUGGUGCACUAACCAAAAAAGUAUAAUUUUUUUUUUUCAUUCCAUUUAAAUGUAACUUUAAAUCAAGUGCAGCGUAACUUUUGAUCAAGUGCAUGGUUGUUUCUUGCUGCAUCAUCAUCCUCCAAGAGAACUAAAAGCUCUGAUGAGUAAUGAAUGGUGGUUUUUGACACUGCAAUUCAAAAGUUCUUCCACCGAUUGGAUUUGGAUUGCAUUUUCCGUCAUUUUUUAUGGAAAAUUACUGCAGCGAUUUGAUAUAUGUGAGAGAAAAAGGUGAUAGGGAAAUGUGAUCACGGAAAACGACAAUAUUUUUCGACGGAAACAAGCAAUCUAAGCAUGGCCCGGAAAGUUUAUGCUUUUGGAUUGCAAUUUAAAAAAAAAAAAAAAAAUUUGCUACGUUUUUCUUUCCGUGGUAUCACUUUUUUCAUUUCACAUAUAUCAAAUCAUUACAGUAAUUUUUCUAUCAAAAAAUUCAGACAAAUGCAAUCAAAAAAUUUGCGGCAGGUGAAGGAAUGAUCGAGGAAAAUUUUGCCAUAAUUCGGCACAGCAAGAGCCUUGAAGCUCCGACAAACAAAGGAAAUGCAACAUGUUAGCAGUAGUAAAGAUGUAUACAUGGAUGGGCUGGGCGGGCGGUAGCAGCCUUAGGUACUUUUUCUUUGCUUUUGACUGAGUUGAUUACUAUUUUAAAGUUAAGUGCUGCGGAGCACUUCAAAAGUUGCCGGCUUUUGAAGUGUCUUCGCAGAGUCCAUUUAUCGAAACACUCAUACAAAAAACUGUGAGUUAUGAAAGGGGGGAUUACUAUUUUAAAGGUGUUUCUUGGUGUUUUGAUGUAAAGGGAUUGGAGGUUUUAAUGAUUACAGCCACGCUCCAAAUUUCCAAUAAUACUAGCCGUGACCUGUGUCCGCUAGCUUAGCCGCUUGCUCCCUCCGCCUAAAGUUAAACGUGUCUUUAACUUGAUCCACCCCCCGUCCCAUCAAAAGAACCCGGCACAAUUAUUCUUAGGGAUAAUUUCAGAAACCUCCCCUGAGGUUUCUGACAGUUUCACUCCCCUCCCCCGUGGUUUCUGAAAUUCCACAAACUUCCCCUAAAAUUAAAUAGGCAAUGUCAAAAUAGACCCAAUUUAAAAAUACAAAUAAUAAAAAAUCACUAGUUGGAGAGAGAAACAAGUGUAUACCACAAAUGCCCUUAUUAGCUUGCAUUAAUGAGCUAAUCUCAUAUGAAGAAAAAGCAGGAAAUUUAAGAAGAAUGAAACUUGAGGGGUGUAAGUGAGACCAAUGCAUUCAUUAAGCUCUGAAUGUCAGUAGUGAACAAAAUGGAAGGCAACGGCUCUUUCUGGCAAUCAGUUUUAACGUCUCAUAUGCAACGGCCAGUUCAGAUUAUGAGAGUAAAAUGCAGCAGCAAGAGAUGCAACAACAACAACAAACAAAUGUUAAUUUGUUUGACUCAACUGAAGUGCUUGGUAUUGGAUGCAACUGAAGUGCUUGGUGUUGGAUGAACGGCAGCAGCAACAAACACACGCACAAAUGGCCAGUUCAAGCAGCAGAGGUGAAUUCUGGAAUUCACCUACAUCAUUUACAAUUAGAAAUAGAUAUUGUAGAUGUAAUCGCAAGGCAACCAUUAAAAUUUCUGAGAGUGAACGGAAUCCACACAAACUGUUCUUUUGCUGCACAAAUUGCAGAUUCUUUGAAUGGUAUGAAGGUCCAGAAGAGGAAGAGGUAAGCAGCCAAAGAGAACGCAGACAUUCAUCAAUGCAAAGGGAAGAACAAGUCCAGAUUGGUUGAUCAGAUCAUGAAGAUGGUUAAUCAGGGGAAAGAAUUACACCAAAUGGAUAUUAAACUAGCUGUUCCUAGAAUUAAUGCCUCAAACGCUGCUAAAUCAGAUAAUGAUCAUAGUUCAUGAAAUGGCUUCUAAACUAGUCUACUUUUGCGAUUAAUACUUCAACCGCUACUACUAAAUCAGUCCUUUGGAUGAUCAGAUCAAGAAAAGAGUCUGUACUUAAGAAUGCCUCGUCAUUCCGGAGAAACCAGUGCGAAUCCAAGAUUUGAAUCAUUAUCUGUUGAUGAACUAGGCUUCCUUAAGGACCAUAAUCUCACAAGCAUGCCUGGUUGCAGCUUAUUAGUGGUUGCAAAAUCCUCCAAUCAGGACCAGAAAUGGUGACGGAAAAGGCGUUUGUGAACUUGACCUUAAAUUCUCUAUUUUCUGGUUCUUGAAUUGGCGGCCCAAUCAAAGUAAUUCCUAGAAGAAAAGUCUCGAUCUCACUGUGUCGCAAGAAAUCAUUCUCGAUAUCCUUUUUUGGGAUGGUGAAGCCUCCACCGACAGUUAGAUCAGUCUUGUGCAGUAUCCUUUCCAUGACAAAAAUUAUCUCUGCUUCUUCUUCUGAUGCUGCUCCAAAACCCAUAAUCCGGGCCCUGAUUUCCUCAGGAAUUUGUCGAGCAUUCCUCAGUCCUUGAAGCUGUUAAUUGAAAUCAAAGUACAUCAUUAAUCAAUAUUCAGCAAAUCUUGGACGCAAUUCCCAGAAGAACAAGAAUAUAUAUAUCAAUCUCCUAGAAAUUAACAACAGACACCUUUUCUUGAGUGAGUAUAAUAAGUGUAAAUCCGAGCUGUGAAGAUUCUUCGUGCUUGAAAGCCCACAAUUGCAAUUGAGUGCCUUGUGUAAGUUUGUACUUGUCCAUAAUGCGAAUCCAAUCAGUCAAACCAUAGGAGCCUUUGUUCCUCUUUUUCCUGAGAUUGACUGUGAAUUUGCCAAGGAAUGCUACCAACAAAAGGACUUCCAUAUCCACUUCCUGCUUCUGUUCUUCCGUCAAGAAACCUUCCCGGUUGAGAAUCUUGGACGGUAUGAUCACGUCGUGCUGCUUUCUGCUCACAUUGUCCUUAGAUAAAUUAGGACUCUAAUUUAUCGUUAAUUACAUUAAUUGUGUUUAUAAUUAACUUAACUAAAUUUUUCCAAAUAAUCACGAAAUAUUAGCAACCUUGUGAGGGUAUUUAAGUCUUUUUAGCACCAAUGAUGUAAGAAAUGGGACCUAAUAAUUUGACAAGGGAGAUUUGUGGAAUUUCAGAAACCACAGGGGAGGGGAGUGAAACUGUCAGAAACCUCAAGGGAGGUAUCUGAAAUUAUCCUUAUUCUUAUUCUUAUCAACCAAAGGGCGACUAAUACUACUAGUAUCUGUUUAUGGGAAACUUCUACUAUACGAUUACUCCAUUUGUCUAGAAAUGAAAAGAAAAUAAGUAAAAGUGCAACGACUUAACUUAAUUAGAGCAAAAUCAAGUAUGGCCCUCAUUAAGAUCGGAUUGGAGGUUCACAAUUCAUUAUUGAUUCAGUGGUAAAAUUAGUAACAUGUUAAAUGCAAAAUGUCCUUUUUUUUUUUUGAAGAUACUGUACAACAGGGUUUGUUUGGAUAGGAGUUUAUUUGGAUGAUUUAUUUGACUGUAACAUUUUUUGUAAUGUGAUAUGAUACAUGUGAGAUAAAAAGAUGAUUGAGAUGAAAAGCGAUUGAAAUUCAUGAAGCAAAUUAUUUUACGUGAAAUCAUCUCAAUCCAAACAAAUCCCUGCAUCAAUAUUCUUGAUGCGCAGUUGUUGAGAAAACAGUAGCAACAGCUUAUUGCGAUUUAAAAUGCGGGACUGGGUGCCCAGUAUGUAGCUCCUAUAACGAAGCAUCAAUGGACGAGACACACCAGAGCAAGAUUGACUUCCAAUUAAGCAAACCCCCCUCCCUCCCUUUGCUAGCUACCAUUUGCUACCUUCCUACCGAAAAUCGUCAUAAAAUACAACAUUUGAAACUUGGGUAGGAUUAAAUAUAUGCAGCACCAAAAUUAGUUUACCCCAUAGCCAGAUUUCGUGCGAUUUUGCAAUGCAAUGGUAGUAGUAUUUAAUGUGAUGCAGUAUAGACUUCUGUUGCAUGACGCUUUUCAAACGGGAUAUUUGUUGUAAAUUUUUAAUCUCCAUCCGGGCUUCAAUCAUACAGGUUACCCCAAAACCUAAUAGAAGCAUGUCAGCAAAAGAACAUAUAGUAGUAUUAAAAUGUUUGGAACUUUUUAAGUCAAGACCCACAACAAUCUUUUCUUAUUUGGCUAAGCCAACAAUCAGACGUAGGACAACCCCUUUUUUUGAAAAUACAUUACUGAAUAGCAAAGACAUUGCCCUUCUAAACUAAUAAUGGGAAACCUUAGGUCCCGUUUGGAUUGUAUUUUCCGUCAUUUUUCAUGGAAAAAUUACUGUAGCGAUUUGAUGUAUGUGAGAAAAAAAGGUAAUAGAGAAAUGUGUUCACGGAAAAUGAUAAUUUUUCUACGAAAAACAGCAAUCCAAGCAAGGCCUUAGAAAAUGGCCAUUGUUGGUGAUCUUCACUAAAUUAAAAAUCUAGUACCCUAAGCUAAUGAUUAAUGCUAAAACAUUUAAGUACCUUAAUUAUGUAUACGUACAGGAGUGUAUCCCAAUUCCUGUUGCAUUGGCAUGGGAUUUAAUUAUGGAUCAUUUACUAUGAUUCCAAUCAACUCUCUUUUAGAUGAGUUAAGGUAAAACGUAAGGUGUAGAAGUAUAGUAAGGUAUAAAAAUACAGAAGAGCACUUCUUUGAUCUAGAGAGACGAGAAGGGAUCUUCUCCCUCUAAUCCUCUUGGCUCGGUUGGACCGGAGGAGCAGGAGUUGUUGAUUAACAAAAAUAAUAAAGAGAGAGAGAAGAAAAAUCCGUAUCUACUGUGUCAUGAACUCUCUAUAUAGGCCAAGCCCCUUUUCUUUCGUCCCAGAAAAGAAAACAAAAGCUUUGCUUUAAAAGAAACUCUCUUCCGCCUAAAAGCCAAACCAGAUCAUAAUUCCAUGGAACAAGAUGGAGACUCACCACCUUUCUGGUCCCAACCUUCAACCAACGCCAUCUUCCAACACCAACGCCUUCGCCGCCGACCACCCUCUCCGAUCUUUAACCCGGUUUCCCUUAUCCUCCUCCUACCGAUCAUUGCAUUGCUCGUUAUAUUUUUCUUACUUCCUCCAUUUCUCACCCAUACAACUCAAAUCCUUCGUCCCACCUAUUCAGUUAAAAAAAGUUGGGAUUCACUCAAUAUCCUUCUGGUAAUCUUUGCAAUUCUUUGUGGGGUUUUUGCGAAGAGAAACGACGACGUUUCGGCGGCGGAAAGUUCCCAUGAUGAUGAACGGGUUGCUGCUGCUAGUGAUACAACUGCUCAGCAAGCUGAGAGCAGCACCAAUCAAUGGUUUAAACUCCUCUGGUUGGAUUGGGAGGGACCGGGGUUAACCGGUUGAGAAGGAGCAGUAGUUCUUAUCCGGAUUUAAGGCAAGGACCGCUGUGGGAAACCGGAGAAACGCGCCACCGGUUUACGGAUGACUUUGAGGUGAAUUUAUACAGGCAUUCGCGGCAAACUGCUACCGAAGAACUUCACCACCGUCCACGGCGGAGCGGGGCGGAGAGGGAGGAGACUGAUGUUAAAGUGAUCCCGGUGGAUACUUUUGAAGUUCAUUCAGCUAGGCCUCCCUCACCUGAACCGCCGCCGAAGCCAGCAACACCACCACCUCCUCCUCCGCCGCAACCGCCUCCACCGGCGAGAUUGAAGCGGAGGCGAUCACUUCACAGCGUUCCACCACGUAAAGAAAAGUUGGGAAAGCCACGUGUGGGGCCUAAGGUUACUGAGGCUGAGUUGGAAGAAAGCCCGUUACGACCUCCCCCAGCUGCUCCUCCGCCUCAGUCAUUUGCUCCUCCUCCUCCGCCGCCGCCACCACCACCUCUGGAGUUUGAGCAAAUUCCAGAGCAGAAGCUCCAGCGGAGAAAGAGCGGAACGGCCAAGGAAAUAACAACAGCCCUCGCUUCUUUAUACAAUCAGACUAAAAGAAAGAAAAUUUUGAAAAAAAGAAACAAUUCUGAGAGUUCCAGUGAGAGCUCUCCGCCUUCUGUACAUUCAUCCGUUCCACCACCAACGCCCCCGCCGCCACCUCCUCCUCCUCCACCACUUCCUUCUUCUCGGUCUUUCAAAAUCUUUUCAAGAAAAGUAGCAAAAAUAAACGUAUAUAUUCCCUUUCCGGCACUGCACCACCACCUCCGCCUCCGCCACCGCCUCCUCCAAAUUCAAUAUUCAAUAACUUGUUUAAAGGCGGGAGCAAGAGUAAGCGAUUUAACUCGACAUCAUCAGCUCCUCCUCCACCACCCCACCUCCGCCACCUCCGUCGUCUAUCCUGAAUACACUUUUCAAGCACGGAAGCAAAAGCAGGCGGUUCAAAUCAGAGAGCUCAUCUCCACCACCACCACCGCCGCCGCCGCCACCUCCACCAAUGCAACAAAUGACAUCAAACCGCAAGCCGAAAUACACUCAACCUCAAACUCCAACAACAGUACCUGAACCUUUCCGGCGACGACCAUCGUCCACCAGGAAGCCUCCGUUGCCGGCGAAAACAAGUAUUUACUACGAGGAUUACAUAAAUAGCGGCGCACAAUCGCCACCAAUACCAACGCCGCCUCCGCCACCACCGCGUUUCCAAUGCCGGACUUCAAAUUCGUGGCUCGCGGAGAUUUUGUUAGGAUAAGGAGCGCUCACAGUUCAAGGUGUAGCUCCCCGGAACUGGAAGACGUUGACGUAAUGUCAGUCAAAUCAUCGGAAGCAAUGGACGGUGCAGAUUCAAUUGGGCAGUCAGUGUUUUGUCCAAGCCCGGAUGUGAACCUGAAAGCUGACAAUUUUAUUGCUAGGCUCAAGGAUGAGUGGAGGCUGGAGAAAAUGAAUUCAAUGAAAGGGAAGCAUAAGACGGACCAUGGACCAAGCCCAGAAUUUGUUUGAGCCCAGUGAUCAACAGGCAUAAGCUAUGCUGAUUUUUCUUUUUCUUUUUUUUUUUCCCUUUUUCAAUUUUCCACUUAUACAAUUUUUGCCAAUCACAAAGGAGACCAAAUUACUUAGUUCCACUAGUUUAUGGUUGAGAGUAUGUAGAUUGUGUGUCAUUCAUGGGUUGCAAAAAAAAUUGUUGCUCUGGUUGUGUUUUUUGUUCUAAAUUGGAGCAACUUCUUGCAGAGGAUGCGAGUUAUAUCUUGAGCUGUUUGGUUUGAUUGAAUUAUUGAGACAAAAGGACUACGAAUUUGGUACACAAUAUAUAGUGCUACAUUUGACAUGGCUCUGAUUGUGUCCCCCCCAACCCCACAAAUUCAUUUCAGAGCUUUGUCAUGGUUGGGAUUAGUUUAGGGCUGAGUUUUGCUGCAUGCAUGGAAUAUUGGAUGUGUAUAUGCUUUUUUGCUGUACUUAGUGAAUAGAAGCAAUUUGGUGUUUGGUCUUUCCUUUGGAAGGAAAGGGCCUUUGUUACAAGACUAGAGAUUUGAUUAAUUUGUGAACAUUUGCAGGGUAAAAUGGUUUAGGGGAUAGGGGGUUAUGGCUACCAGCACUUUUAAAAGUUGAACAGGUGAUAGAGGGGUUUAAGUGAUAGGGAACGGCGGGAUGGUCAUAUGACACAGAAAUACUCUAAAAGCUAAGGCCCCGUUUGGAUUGCAUGUCAUUUUUCAUGGAAAAAUUAUUGUAGCGAUUUGAUGUAUGUGAAAAAAAAAUAAUAAGAAAAUAUGAUCACGGAAAACGAUGUAAUUUUUCGACGGAAAACAGCAAUCCAAACAAGGCCUAAGCUUCUGGCCGCUGAGCCAAUCCUAGUAGUUGAAGAUCCAACUAGUAUUAAAUGUUACUAAUAAAUGCACUAAUCUUUUUGCUCGGGGCUGUGACACUGCAUCUAGUGACCAAAUUAAAACAGAAAAAGAAAAGCAUCAUAAGUACAUAGACUUUUCCUAUGAUUGGGAUGGACGGAGAGCUGAUGGAAGACGGAGUGUAGAUGGGACGAGGACUCUUCGGUUUUUGUUUUCUUUCUUUAAUUCAUGAUUCUGGAGUGACAACAUUAAGUUGAGUAGGCGAUGCUUGGCAGGGUAAGAAAUGAGAUAGAGAGUGACACAGAACAGGAUAUGCUUAAUUAUCUACUUUUUGGCUUCAGCGUCUCUGCAUUUUUUAAUAGCUGUUUAGUUCCUUGAGCUUACGAUUAAGAGCCUAAAAAAAUCUUCCUUUUCCUUUUGUCCUUUUUGGUUUUUGUCAUUAAAUAAAACAGAAGAGAAAGAAAUGCAGCAGGUUGACCCUGGCUGAUACGCCGCCUACACAAUGAAAGGAACACAAACUAAAUCGCAAGAUUAUAAGAUUGUGCAUUAAACUAUCUUAGAAUCAGCAUUCAACCAUAUAAUAAAAGCGGAAAAGCUAAGACUUUUGCAAAGAGAGGCAUACCUCUUCGCGAAAGAACAUACAAAUGAACCAAACAGGCUAUAAUAAGUUAUCAAAAGCAAAACACUUGAUGAGUUUGGACUUGAAAGCAUAAGCAAUCGAUCACCUUCUGCUUUUGAGUAUGCAUCAUCCCAAUCGAUCCCGCUGCAACUAUAGAGCUUAUUGGCCAUUGCUUUGCGGAAACACCAUAUGUUCGUAGGUGCCUUUAAACCAUAACUAAAUGCCCUUGGCUUGUUAUCAAUCAAGAGCUUGGAUUCAUCAUGAUAUUUGAAUAAAUUUGAUUAAAAUCUUCGUCAUUUCUCAUUUAUAUACUUGUCAAGACUAUCUUAUAGAAAGUUUUAUAGCCCCUUUAAUGAAUCAUUCCCCUAAUUUUUGUCCACUCGCUAAUUGCCCCAUUAUUCAACGACGGUAGCGAUUGAUCUACAUUUUAAACGAUUGAAAUUAUUGCAAUUCAAGGGUCAAAAUUUCUUGUUCCAUCCUCCAACAGUGAGGUGCAACCUAAGAAAACAAUACCGAGAAAAAGGGACCCUAGUAUCUCCCGUUAUAUAAGAGGGAGACUAGAACAUAACAUUUAAUCACUGAAUUCAUGUUUUCACCAUCUCUUUCGAUCUACGCCCUGUUUGGUAAACUAGUUUUUUGCCAAAAUUUUCGCCUACAAGUUUCUUGAUAACUUUAACUACAAUAAUUUCAAAAAAAAUCAUCAAAAUUGUUAAAAUACACAGCUCAAAAUAUAUAAAAACACAAAAAAAUUUCCCUUAUUUCCUUUCUUCUUCCUGCUCCCCCCAUCUUAACCCACCACCAUCUCCACCGCUAGCCAACAUCGUCUGGCACCUCUUCCGGUGCUAACCACCUCUUUUUUUUUUUUUUCCUUUUCUUUCUUUCUCUUCUCUCUCUCCUCCUUCUUCCUCCUUCUCUCCUCCUCCCCUUUGCUCCCCUCUCCCCGCCACCUCCUCCCCCUCUCCCUCCCCCCGCCACCCUCCUUCUCCCCUGGUGCAAUCCGGUCGACCGGAUCGCUUGAAAUACUAGAUGGGAGGGUGGGGUGGAGGGAGAGUGGAGGAAGGAAGAGAUGGGGAGAGAGAAAAAAGCAAAAAAAAAAAAAAAUCUGUUGUUACCGGCAUCAAUCGCCAAGAGACGUUUUGGCGUCGACUAACAGUAGGGAUGUAGUGAUAAGGGAGAAGAAGAAGAGAGUUAAGAAAAGGAAAAAAUGUUUUACGUCUUGAAUUUUUUUUUUUUAUAUAUUCUACAAUAAGUUAAAAUGAAAUUUUAGACAAACACUCAAAAAAUUUAUUUGUCAAACGGGACUUACAACACUGAUCACAUCCUCAUUGCUUUUCACUUGCACGUUGCACUGAUUGAAGCAUAUUAAUUAGAUGGCCAUGAGUAGUACUCAUGAUGUAUGCUUCUUUCAACUUUCAAGUGUCAAUUGUGCCUCAGCUUUGCAAUUUGUGUGGCCUCAUUCUUGAUGAAUUGGGUCAGAAAGUGGGUUGGAAACUUGGAAAGUCAUCAAUUCACAGUCACUGGCUGAAGGAACAGACAUACAUUAGAAUACUAGGAUUACAACACUUCGAGAGGCCUGGAUUUGUUAAUCUGUGCGUGUACACUGAGCAGGAAGGACCACAAAUGAACAGAAUCCACAACAGUUUUGGAGCAAAUGUUGAACAUUGCGUGUCCACGUGGAUAAUCCCUUGCAUUGCAUGGGAACCCCUUCUAACAUUAAUUCUCUAGCUGCAUAGAUGAGAUCAUUCGUAAAUCACGAACUGGCAUAGCAUAUUGCCAUGUAGAUUGGUUAUUUCUACCUCGAAGAUACACUUCUGUGUAAUCUUUGGGUACCUUUUUUAGGCCUGCUUUUAGUUCGUAACCUUCUUGCAACUUACCUGUAGAACAUUAUGAGAUGUCUCCAAUAAUUAACUUGUUCUUUUUGAAGGAUUUAUCACGAUUCACAAUCUAGCUUAGUCAAGUUAAGCUCGAAUUAAUUAAAUAAUUAAUUAAGUGGAACAAAAUACCAUUAAUAAUUUUUUGAUGUGAUACAUUUGAGAAUAAAGAAUGAUUGAAAAAUGAGUUGAUGACGUGAACAAGUAAAUGUUUGUAAAUAAUUCACUGUCCAAAUAGACAGUGCCCAGAGUUUUUUUAUUUUUAUUUUUAUUUUUAUAGAAAAUCACUGCAGUACUGCAUCUCGUCCGUCCAUAACCUUUCUCUGCUUUCCUCAAAAAAUAACCCAAAAAAAAAAAAGCAAAACCCAUCCUUCCUUUUCUUUCCAAAAGUUUCAAUCCCAAACUAGCCCUUAAGCCUAGGGUUUAAGCUCGCCACUCCGACCAAAUUCCACAUAACGGCACCAGCAGCACCACCACUAUGAAACUAACUUCACCCGUGAUAAUCGAGAACGCCCACGACGACUCCAUAUGGACGGCCACGUGGACACUAGCCCCAGAAGAUUCUGCCCCUAUCCUACUUACCGGAUCGCUCGAUGAAACCGUUCGGCUCUGGGACCCCAAAAAGGACAGUUGCAUCCGGACUAACACCGGCCACUGCCUCGGCGUUGUCUCCGUCGCCGCCAAUCCCUCCUGCAGAAUGGCAGCCUCCGCCUCCAUUGAUAGCUUUAUUAGGGUUUUUGAUGUUGCUUCCAAUAAUACCAUUGCCACCCUUGAAGCUCCCCCUUCUGAAGUCUGGCAGUUGCAAUUUAACCCUGAGGUAAAAAAAAGAACGGCCCUGUUCUUUCGGAGUAGAAAUUUUUUUUUAACUUAUUUUGGAUAAUUAUGCAAAUAAUCCAAUUUAUAUUUUAUGAAGUAUUUUAUUAGUUUACUGAAUGGAUAAUGCUAAAGUUGGAGUAGGACCUAACUUUUCUUUUUUAUUAUUAUUAUUUUGGAAAAUGUGGUUUUUCGUUUGCCAAUUUUUUUUUUUUGAUAUAAUGAGCAUUUUUAGCUUAGAAAGUCUGCCUAUAAUGUUUUUAGUUCUCAUAAAGCUGUGUCAGCUGUCAGAGUUUUGCUUGUAAUUUUAGUUGAUUGCAGGUAAAAAGGUGAAUAGUACCAGAGUCGUAUUCAGAACUUAAAAAUGGGGAUUCUAGGGCAUGCGUGACAACUAUUGAAAAAUUUCAAAUAGUUCAGGCAUAUGAAUUUGAGGAAAUUAACCAUUAUUAACAUGUGAAACCGCAAAUAUAAUGUAUUACUUCACGUAGUGCAAGAAUGUUCUGAAAGGUUCACCUUUUCUUGUUUUGAGGGAAAUAAAUGAAUAGAGCAAAAUCAGGUUUUAUGCUGGUUUAUAGCAUUAAAUGUUUCCACAAGAAUUGACUUAAAAAAGAGAAAAGCCUGUGGAAGAGAUUUAGAUGAAGUGGAAAUUGAGUCAGGAAGUUACCUACAUGGCUCAACAACAAUAAUGCAAUGAGGACUCUAGAUUUCAGGGUACCUGUAAAUUGGCUUUCUUUUCUACAGAGAUUUCUGUCUAAGCUAGUUCAUGCUUUCCAUAGCGACAUUACAGUUUUGUUUGUUCCUAUAUACACUUUGCAGUGUCGGCCUUCUCUUGCAGUAGUAUUACUUUUGUUGAUUUCGCUUAUUGUCUUUAAACAUGAUUUCUGGCUAGCCAAAGCAUAUAUAUGUUGCAUCUGCCUUUGGUAUUAUAUGUCAAUGUGUUUCAAGCUAAUUUGAAUUUGUUGGGCUACUCCGGAACGAUUAUAAAGGCUGAAGAGUCUAACAAAGCAUGCUAAAGAGCACUUCUUUUUCUCUGUCCCUUUGUGUGUGAAAGAGAAGGACAGAUGAGUUUUAAAACAAAAUGGAGCUUUUUAUUAAGCAAGUGUAGCAACAUCUAGAUUUAACUGCUUGUUCCUGAAUAUUUGGCUAUCAUACUUUCUGUUAGUCUAACUUUUUGUUUCCCAAGUUUAGUGUAAGUAGACAACAGAUCUUAGAAACUAGUGUUUUUUGUCACAUUGGGGCUACCAAAGGCAACGUAUAUUUCCAUAUAAUGUAGCCCACAAAACCUUUAGUAUAUCAUUUUUUUUUCCAGUUCUCUUAAGAAGAAGAAAACUCAUUGUAGUCUCAUGUAAUGGCAUUUUAAAGAAAGAAGUUCAUAUGUUCUGCUUGUUACCUGCUUAUGCUAAUUUAUGCAUGUGAUAUAUGCAUUCUUCGUAUGUGUGGACUAUAAGAAUUUGAGGUUUUGCUUUCUCCUCUGAUGGCUAGUAUUAGACAUUGCAACAUUAAACAAACUUACUUUCUUGUCAGUUAUGGUUUGCUUGUCGUCUUUUUGACCUUUGAGUAAUGUCUUUAUGUUGAAUCCAUAGUUACAUUGCUUGCAUUAUCAUCUUAGCUGCUGCCAUUUCCUUGGGUCUGACUAAUAGUUGAGUAAUUUGUUUUAUAUUUGGCUAUUUAAAUACUCAAAAGGAAGUAAACUUGGCGCCAAGUUAGUGCAUUAUAGGACAUUUGAUAGCCCAAUUACUGUGGCUACACCUGGAGAACCCUUUUAGCAGCUUUUUGAACUUCGUGACCUUUAGGAAAAGAUUCUUCAUGCCAUGAUUUGGCUAUUGCAACCAAUUGUCAUAAUAUGGCAAGAUGUUGCCACUGGUGGAUGUUAAUGUGGGGGGAUAUUAAGUGGAUCAUUUUCAUUGAUUGAUUUCUUUCUUUUAGCUGCUAUUUGUUACAAACUCAAGGUCAUAUUUCUUUAAAUUCACUGCACAUUCAAGACUCGUGAGUAUUAUUUGCUUUCUUCAAAUGUUUGGGUUUUUCCUUUCCGUCCUUUGGUCCUUUUUCUGUUUGCCAUUGUACCUUGCUAGCAAUUCCAUGAAUGUAUCAUCAGUUGCUGCCUUAAGAUGUUUAUCAGUUGUUGCUUUCUUAACAAGCACCAGGAUCACUUAGCUUUGCACCGUUUCUCCUUGCAUCUUCAGGGUACAAUCUUAGCUGCAGCUGGAGGUGGCAGUGCCUCAGUCAAGCUGUGGGAUACAGUUAAAUGGAAGGAGAUAGCUACAUUGUCAAUCCCUCGUCCCGAAGGUUUGAAGCCCUCUGAUAAAAGUGGCAACAAGAAGUUUGUUCUGUCAGUUGCCUGGAGCCUUGAUGGAAGACACGUUGCUUGUGGUUCAAUGGAUGGAACCAUCUCUGUUUUUGAUGUAACACGAGCCAAAUUUCUACAUCACCUGGAAGGUCAUUGCAUGCCUGUUCGCUCCCUUGUAUAUUCACGUGUUGAUUCUAGGGUACUAUUCUCUGCUUCAGAUGAUGGCCAUGUGCACGUGUAUGAUACUGAGGGGAAAACCUUGAUAAGUACCAUGUCGGGUCAUUCAAGCUGGGUGUUAAGUUUGGAUGCUUCUCCGGAUGGAGCAGCAAUUGCAACAGGCUCAAGUGACAAGACGGUUAGGCUGUGGGAUUUGAAGAUGAGAGCGGCUACACAGAUACUUUCGAACCACAAUGAUCAGGUUUGGGCGGUUGCAUUUGGACCACCAGGGUCCUCUCUGCUUGCAAGUGUAUCUGAUGACAAAAUGCAUAGCAUUUUAUCAGUACUCUUGAGAAUUGAUUUUGCUCAAAGCAGCAGGAGGAUUAAAGCUUUAUGUUAGUUGUUGAGUCCGCUCCACGUCGCUUGCUGUGAUGAUCAGAUUGUAUCAUUAAACAUAUAGUUUGAUAUCCCAAAAUUUUAGCUAACAAAAUACAAAUUCACUUGUGCAACCCGCGUAGCAUCUCUUUCAUUUAUGCCUCCGCAACUAAGCGCCUUAAUUCUGUCCUCGAAUUUAGCCAAUUGUUUUGCCAUUGGGACGGGAUAACAAGAUAAACCCGUCAUACAAAGAACGGCACUAGUCAAAUUCUUGCAUUUCUUUUAACGUAAUUUGGGAACUUUGAUAUGUCAUAAGCAAUCGGGUUAGUAAAUUUAGCGUCAUUAUGCUUGCUUACCUUCAUUAUUUGGACCAAUUGAAACUCGUGCAACCGAAAAUUACCGUCUGCAAAUUUCCAACUCAACGAGUUUCAAGCAGUGCCCCGCCAACAAAGGAAAGCCACAUCUAUUUAAUUUCACAAAUCACACCCCACUUCUUAGCUCUUGUUUCCUACAGUUGUAUAAUCGCUCCGCAACAGCUGUCCCUCCACAAUAUCCCAAACACAGCGGAAUGUCACAUUGGAUGCCUGUUCUUUACCUUAAAAGACAGGACUUCCGCAAAGCUUUAAGACCGAAUAUGCUAUUGCUGGGUCCUUUCUCAUUAAAGAAUUCCACAGUAUGGUCCUUAUCUACUAGUAGUCGCUACGAAGACAGCAUGCACGUGAAAAAUAUGUACAAAAAAAAAAAGGAAUUCCGCGUUAUGGUCCUUUUUUUUUUUUUUUUUGCAGUCUAUUUUAUAUUUACUCCUACUCCUACUUUAACCUAUUUCUAAUGGAGGGCUUAACUGGGCCAAUGAGAGGACCUAACUGGGCCAAUGAGAGGACCGACGGGAAUUGAACCACUAUCGGAUCAGACGAAUGCACAAUAUAUCUAUCUGAAUUUUUUAGAAAGUCAUUUAGUGUAGUAUUUAGUGAGAGGCAAGAUUUGAACCUGGUGGUGAUCGAUACUACUAGUAGUAACUACGAAGGACAGCAUGCACCGCAAAUGCAUUGUCCGUCAGCUUACUACGAUCCUUGGGUGCAGCCUUUCACUAGCACAUAGUGCUAAACCAUUUGACUACAGAUCAAAGUGCAGAUCUCUAAAUAAGUCGCUACAAAUCUCCAAACAAAAAUUUCAGUUUAGUGUCCGUAGACUGGAUUAAGAACAAAUUAAACUAUCCACCCCGCCAUUAUUCUAUUAAACGUUUUGGUCGUUCAAAGGGCCAAAGUUGACAAGUCAUAAGCAGAAAAAUACUUCAUUUUGUUCCAUCUUGACCGGCUGCCGGAACAACUUUUUGAAUUUUGCAAGAGCUUUAACGUAUACUGGUAGGAUUAAUCCAUACCAAUUAAACCCCAAAAAAACUGGAAUCUGCAAAAAACCGAAGUAGAUACCACAUAGAAUGUCACCAUCAACGCCACAAUUUACCGUACUAAACUUCACAUAUUUAAUAUCUCACAUAUUAAAAGUCCAUUAAUCAGAGAAACUGUACCACACUAGUUCAGAACUAGGAGGAAAAACAUAUGACACGCAUAUCCUACUCCUACUAAGAAGCUCUACUAUCUAAGUAGUUCUUCAAAACAUCCAUGACAGCCCCAAAAUCAGAUUUCACUUGCACUGGAGGAUUCGCUAAACGGCAAGACAUGUCUUUGAUCUGUCUAGAGUGAUAAUCAAUCUUGGACUGAGUAAAUUUCAAACCGUGAGCAGUACUCACCACAACAGUUCUGUCGGUCGGACCAAUAAUUCCACUCUUCCUAAGCUUUGUCAAAGCUGUUAAUGCAACUCCAGUGUGCGGACAAAUAAACAUCCCAGUAGAAUCAGCCAAAGCCAUAGCAUCCAUCAAUUCCUCCUCGGUAGCCUCCUCCACAAUCCCAUUUGAAUUCUUCAAAGCAAAAACAGCUCUGUCAAUCGAAACAGGGUCGCCAAUUUGUAUAGCAGAAGCAAAAGUGGUGCUAGCCCUCACUGGCUGAAACUCCUGCCACCCUGAUUUAUAAUACAAAUACAAAGGAUUUGCAUUUGCAGCUUGUGCACAGACAAGCCUAGGAAUUCGAUCAACCAACCCCAAUUCUUGGCACAUGUUGAACCCUUUAUAGAAUGCAUAGAUAUUCCCUAAAUUCCCGCCGGGAACUAUUACCCAAUCAGGCACUUCCCAGUCAAACUGCUGCAGAAUUUCAAUGGCAGCCGUUUUUUGUCCUUCCAGCCUCAAACUAUUCAAUGAAUUCGCCAAGUAUAUAGGUAACUCUGAGGUGACUUGACGUAUCAGUUUCAUGCAUCCAUCGAAAUCAGUAUCAAUACUGAGCACAAAUGCACCAUUUGCUAUGGGCUGAACCAACUGCGCCAUGGAAAUCUUGUUAGCGGGCAGAAAAACAAUGGACGGAAUAUUCGCAGCCGCGCAAUAAGCCGAUAAAGCCGCCGAGGUGUCGCCGGUGGAAGCACAGCCCACCCCAACCAAAGGACGUUUCAUUUUUCGUAACCUGUUCACUUGACUAACCAAAACUGUCAUGCCCAGAUCCUUAAAGCUGCCCGUGUGGCUAAUCCCGCAAUGCUUCACCCACAAAUCAUACACAUCUAGAUGUACUUUUCCAAACCGCUCAGCCCAGAAAAGAUUGGUAUUUCCCUCGAAUGCACUGACAAUAUCAUCGUCUGAAAUUUCAGGCAAAACCCACUCUUUCUUGGACCAGACACCCGAACCGUAAGGCCACGUGGUUUUGCCAACGCGGGAGUCAAACAAAGACCUCCAGUAUUGACCGUCGAAUUGUUUCAGGGCGGCCAUGUCAUGCUGCACAUCAAGAAGGCCGCCGGUGCGGCUGCGGUAGACGAUUUCAUCGAGGGAGUAGGAUUCUGCGGUAGGGGAAGAGUCAGAGCUGGAGGUGAUGGCAGUGAAGGGGACGUACUUGGCAGAGAAGCUGAGGGACGUACUUGGAGGUGACGGGGCAGCGGUUGUGGGUUUGGGGAGGAAUGAAUUGAACAGUGGUGAAGAAGCCAUGUCAUUUAGAUGCCCCAGUUUAGUGCUUAAGGAGGAGAGCCGAUUUUGGGUAGUUGUGGGCUGAAUUCGGCUUUGUUAAGAGGGUGGCAAGUGGCGGUUAUGGGUUGGGGAGGAGGAGGAACUGAGAGCUGGUGGGGUCAGUGAGUGGGGGAUUCGGAAGACUUUUUGUUUUUUUUUUUUUUUUUUGGUUUGAUAAUUGGAAUGUAGACUUUUUAUUGUGGCAGACGAAGACUUGCAUGCAAGCCCUUUUUAUCUUGUCAUUCCUUUGUCCGAGGCAUGAUGGCGGCAUAGUUUACACGUGUCACUUUAUCUUCCGAGCCAUGCUGGAGGCAGGUUUCACACUUGUCAUCCUGUAUGGACCAGGGAGUUGGACGGCCUUUCAUUCUUUUAGGACUUCUAUACUGAUAUUCAGUGCCUCAAAAAUAGUGUUAGUAUAUAUGCCAAAUAACCGGAGGUAUGAAUCAGAGACGACGAACAAAUGAGAACGGGACGAAUGACUUCUUGAGGCUAGACACGAAACAAAGCUGGGAGUUGACCUUUUUUGUCGAUAGCAUUUUCUCAGCGAUGGGAAACUUUCUGAUAAAUCUCUCAUACAUCAACGAACUAGAAAAGGUACUUAUGUAGGGUAAAAAAAAAUUUAGCCGUCAUUAAAUUAUUAUCCGUAUCAACUUUUGACUAUCAAAUAAUUUUUUAUCAUAAAUUAGCUACCAUAUUAACUAAUCAGCACCCUCACUGUUAUUUUGUCGAAUUUUGCUCUUAAUUUAUAAAAUAAUCAGAAUUGUGCUUUGACCAAAAAAAAUACCAGUGGUGGACAAACAUACUCUUACAUUUUGACAUAUGUUCUGAUUAUUAUGUAAAUUAAGAACAAUAAUCGAAGAAAUGAUCACGGGUAUAUUAAUUAAUUAGUUUAGCAGUUAAUUUGUGAUGAAAUAUUGUUUAAUGAUCAAAAGUCGACAUGAACAAUAAUUUAAUGGGCGUUGAGAUUUUUUGCCCGUUUAUAUAAGACCAUUAACUGACAAAAUUCCAUAAAUAGUAAACUAUCAAAUCAUACUAAUAAUAAAAAAUCACAAUUAAAUAACAAUGAAAUAAGUAGUUUUUAAACAAAUAAACUAGUCCUAUAAAGACUUGGUUUAAACAUCCUACAAACCGCGAAUGUAUUAAUCGUACCAUGCCCCAUUUUGAUGCUAUAUUCGUUUUAUUCAAACCAAUGGAGCUAGAUUCAUCUAUAGGAUAACCGUGCCGUGUCAUAUUACUAUAAAGCUAGACUUGUUUAUAAGGAGCUAGAUUCAGUUGUAGAAAUUUUUUUUAUUAUUAUGAUUAUUAAAUUUGUUCGUAGGAAUUACUUACAGCGGAAUUAUUGUGCUUAUAAACCUAGAAUAAGUUUGUUUGGAUACCAUUAUUAUUCCAAAUAAUAUUUCGCUUGCAUCAUAAACACAUCUUCCAACUCACCUUUUUAUAUUUCCAGUCAACUUUUUAUCUCACAUACAUCACAUCACAAAAAGUGUUACGGUAAUUAUUCCAAAUAAUAUUUCAAAUAACACUCUAUCCAAAUAAGGAAACAGAGACAAUUAAGAAACGUUAUUCAACCAUUCAAUAUUCUCACCAAUUGGCAUGCUGCACCGUAAAAGGAAAUAGAGCAAGAACAAUCGCUAAAAUUUUGUACGAAAUUGAGCGACAAGACAUUUUCCUGCUCCAUUACUUUUUUUCUCUCAUUUUCUUAAGCGAACUCAAGAAUGCGUAAAGAAAUCUAAUCCUCGAGCAAUGUUCAAAAGCCGGCAACUUUUGAAGGCACUCGAGGGACUUAUCUACCCAUCCCUAAACCCCCAGUACUGAUGUGGGAAAGAAACCCCCACAGGGGCAAGUCCAACUGGGCGGCCUCUACUAGGCCCUAACUAGGAACCCACCAACCCCCGUAUGGCACCCCCAUAAUUGUUUUUUUUCUCUCAUUUUCUUAAGAGAACUCAAGAAUGCGUAAAGAAACCUAAUCCUGAGCAACCUUCAAAAGCCGGCAACUUUUGAAGGCACCGAGGGACUUAUCUACCCAUCCCUAAAUCCCCAGUAUCGAUGUGGGAAAAAAGCCCCCACAGGGGCAAGUCCUGCUCCAUUACUUGGUUCGGCAAAUUUUUUUUUCUCUUGCCUUUGUGGGGCAGAAUGAUGAUGUCCAGUUUAGGACAGCCCAGUCAUGAUUGCUGGCAUUUUAAUCCAAAGGUUACAAGUAAGAGGAGAAGGGAAAAAAAAAGAAAAAAAAGUUUCCAAGCUAGUUAAUCCUCCAUACGUGCAUUUGCCUUGGACAUAAUUAAGGCUGACUAGUCAGUUAAAAUACUAGGCUUUGAGACCCCACAUUAUUUGAGUGAGAUAUGGUUGAUAUCAAUCCACCUGUAGGGCAGAGCAACUGAGAAUCUUUUCCUGAUAGUACUAAUAAGUUACUAACUUAUUAUGACAAAAAUUUUUUCACGGUAAGUUGGCAGAAUCUACCAGCUAUCGCAAGUUAUUCUGCGAAUAGGAUUGAUACGAAAUAUAUAACAUAAGCCUUGUCCAAAAAAAAAAUGCCAUACAGCUUGAGUAGUACUACUCUACGAGAAUGUCAAAUCUGUCAUGUACAUCCACAAUCUUUCUCAUCAUACAAUUAUUCUGAUGAUCUCUUACAUUGGUUGGACCAAUGAUUUAGCAUCCAAGCUCCCAGUUAUACAAUCUUCUCAUUAUUCGUUCUGUUAUUUUCUCUGCGAGGUUACAUGCGGAUCUGUGGCAGAAAUAUGCAUUGGAAGGCUUUAAACUUUUUUUUUUUUGCUUUUCCAUGUCUCCUCUCGUAUGUUUGAUGGCACAAAGUUAGGUAGUUUAACAUCACCCGAGCUUCGACCGAAGAUCAUUCUCGUGGUUUGUUUGAAAUUCCUUUGGGUGAUUUGUUUCUUUACUCUCAAGCUCGGCCAAAUGCCAGCUUACACCGAAAACAUAUUAACUUUGUUUGGAUGGGAGUGUUUUUAAAAAUUAAUUUUUUAAAUACAAUAAAAAAUUUUAAAAAGUACUCUAAAAAGUAAUCUAAAAAUUAGUUUAAAUUUUUUAAAAUUUUAAAAAAAUCUUAAAAUAUAUUCUAGAAACUCUUCUACUCUUAAAUAUCCCAAAAUAUAAUCUAAAAACUCUGCUACAGCAAAAUUUUUCAAAAGCACCCUAAAAACAGCUAAUUCUAUAUUUAGGUCAAUGUUUCCUGUGAAUUUUUAUUUUGGGUACUUGCUAAUGUUCCAUUCCAACUCAAUAAUGGAAAUGGAGUAGAGUAAGCAAAUUAAAUGAGAUCCGAGGCCCAAUUCAAAACGAUUUGUAUACUUUUUACUUCAUUUGGUGUAAAUUGUUCUAGUUUUCGUGUAAUAGUGUAUUGUACACCAACUAAGUUGUAUGAAUUGAUAAAUUUAUACUCAAUUUUGUACGUGUUUAUACUAAAAGUUGUAAGAAUCAUAUCAAUCAAAUUCAACUUGAUAGAACUCAACUUAUGAGGUCAUAUCCAAUUACACACUUACCCUAUGCCGGUAUAUGUGGUCUUAGUAAUCGUAGUGUUUUUGAUGCACCAAAUACUCUAAGUGGCCUAAUUUGAAUAGCUGCAUGUAUCAUGGGAUACAAGGUAGAAGGAGGAAUGAAUUGAAUAAUAUAAGAGUAGGAAAUACAAAUGAGAGAUUUCGACUUCAAACAGCUGCCAUCCAUACUAAAAUACUGUUUAAUAUGACAAUUUCCAAUUGUUCCCAAACUCCAUAUAAUUUGUUGAUGUGCACGAAUUUAAUUAAUUGAUGAAAGAUUUCUCAAACAAGUUAUAAGUAGAAUUCCCUGUGACUUACCUAUACAUUUCACACUUGCUUUAUUUUUCAAGGGAUACCUGUAUAUAGUCAUGGGACACAUCACAUUUAGGUGCUAUAAAAACACUUCCUAUUUAUUAUCCGUUUGAAUUAACUAUUUUUUGGGAUGUUUUUAAAAAAUAUUACUAUAGCAGUGUAUAUGCAAAACUUUUACUGUAAAUAUUUUUUGAAAUAUUUGACAUAUUAUACGAAUGAAAUAUUUUGUGAAUUAUUUUUAUUUGUGUAUUACUAUAACAUUAUAGUUGAAAAACUUGUUUUUUUUAAAAAAAUGGCCAAUCCAAACAAAAGUAUUUGAAUUAAUUAGUGAACUGUUUUUUUUUUAUUUUUUAUUUUGGGGGUAAGGUACACACUAAGGUAAACAAGAAUUUUAGCAAGUUACGAAACAACUUGUAUGCUCAAACCUGAUUGGUUCACGACAAAGUCAAUGGCUUCUUUCUUAAAAUUUCUUAUUUUUUAAGUCCUAGUCAAUCCAAUAAAAAGAAAAGAAGUCCUAAUCAAUUUUAUGACUGAUAUUCCAUGAACAUCCAAGAAAAUUUGUGGGGUAAGAAGAUGUAUGUUUAGGAAGAUUUGGGUGUGUCUUAGAAUUUUGUUGGGCGACGAAGUCCUUCCCAUCUCUCCCCGGAAUAAAGGUAAAUAAUUUGUGCGCCAUGACCGGAGGAUGAGACUUGUCGGAAGACAUUCGCCUGUAAUAUACCUACCUGAAAUUUCAUCUAUAUAUCAAAUCACCCAGCAGGUACUAAUUUGUUCGCCGUGCAUUUAACGUGCUAGGUCUGAUUGGGGCGUCGGGCCGGGCCGGAGUGGGAUUAGUCGGGCCGCCUUUACGGAAUUGAUCCGGACACCCACUUCGUCGACAAAAAAAAAAAGAAAAAAAAAGGUACUAAUUUGUUCGCCUGUAAUUUGUUGGAAACAUCUUUGUGAUCUCCUGCAAAUCAAAUGGUUAACUUCAAAAGCAAGCUUAGGCUUUGGAGUAGAGCAUAGACCCCUCAUUUUCUAUCAUAAAACGGUUUUAUUUCCCGCGAAAGUCUUAUUAAUCUAGCGAAUAAAAUUGAAACGUAAAGAUGUUAGAGGUUCUGUUUAAAAUUUUCCUUUCUUAAAUCUCACUCAUUCUUUGCUAAAAAAAAAAUUAAAAGGGUUGUACUUGUUAAUUAAUAAUUGUGGCCCAAAUUUUUUAAAUUAAAAACGGAAAUACACUACUAUUACUCGAUUCAAAACAAAAUCAAGUACGAGCAUAUGAUAUAAGAACAUCAUGAGAUUCCUGUGGGGUGAUUGAUGUAGUAAGAACAUGCAUGAUAGUGGUCUUGCAUACACUUAUUAAUUAACAUAAUAGAAAAAAAGAUAUUGCAAGUUAAACUACACAUCAAUCUUUUUAUUAAUUUUUUGGACCUCUCUUCUUCUCUUUUUUAGCUUCAACAAGCAUCACCAAGGCUGACAUUUUGAUUUGCAAUUUUUUCUUCUUUCAUUUGAAUCUGUUAGCACCAGUAGUUUCUGAGUAAAUACUGAUCAUUAGGGGAAAAAAAAAAAAGAGCGGAAUAAGGAAUUAGAAAGAGAUAGUAGAUUAAAUAAAAUACGCUAGCGUAAAUAAACAAAAGACAAAAGAUGAGUUAGUUCUUUUCUUUUAUCCUAUUGUUGUUCUUGCUUAUUUUCAUUAAAAAAAAAUGUUAAAUGAAAAGCUUCGGUUGAUUGCUUUUUAUGCUAGUUUAUUUUGGAAGGAUUACAACAAGUUUGCAACAUUACAAAAAAAAAAAAAAAAACUAUCCAAUCCUAUUUUGCUAAUUAAUAAAUUGAUAUUGCUAAUGAGUUAGUCACAACUCACAAGCAUCGAGAAAAAUAAAAUGAGCUAACAAAGUGUUUGGAUAGGAGGUUAUUUGAAAUAUUUACUUGAAAUAAUUACUGAAACGUUUUUUGUAAUGUGAUAUAUAUGAAAUAAAAAUGUGGUUGAAAAUUGUGUUUAUGAUGUAAGCAGAACAAAUUUUUAAAUUUUUUUUUUCGGCAAAUCUUGAUAACCAAACAUAAGUGAAGGAUGAAACUAACAAAAUAGUCUCUAAUCAUAUCUGUGUUAUAUGUUUGAACGGUUGGGUAUGAAAGUAUUUAUAUUAUUAUGAAUUUUGUUUUGCAUAUUAUAUAACCAAUUAUCUACCUUCAAAAUAUUAUUGUUUUGUUUUGGUAAGUAGGAGCUAUUAAGUUACACCUACAAAGUACUGUGGCUAACUAGAUUCCUCCCACUUAACAUCUAGCCAACAAAACCACUUGAUGCUGCUUACUAGAAAAUGAUUGUUAGCAAUGAACUUAGCUCCCAAAAUUACGAGGAAUUUGUACAUUUUUUACCCUCUCUUUAAGUACCUUGAUUAAAUCUCAAGGCUUUGGGAUGGCCAUUUUACACUCUUCAACGAUAGCAAGGCCAUUAUGUGAACCUUCGAAUUGACAAUUCAAUAAAAUCAAUUUCUACCCUUUUUUUAUAGGCUUUUUUCUUUUUUUUUUUUUUUGAAAGAGGCUAUCUCUAAUUUUCUUUGUACCGUUACACUCAGGCGGAUGUCCUUAAAAGGACGUUAGGAUUAUAAAUCCGGUAAAUUUUAAAUAUUAAUAUCUGACAGUAACGCUUGAAUUCCCGCAUUCUAGGGCUAAAUCUGGUAAAUAAACCUAAACACUAAACCAGGGGAGAAAAAAAACCCAGCUUAAUUAGCCGUAAUAAACUAAUCCAGCCUAGCCUUAAUGUCGGUUUUCGUGUUAAGCACCUCCAAUUCCAACUCCAGCUCUCUCUCUUGCACGACAUCCUUCCUAUUUGCCCUGAGUGGGGUCCCACACCCACCUCUCACCAGAGCCGGCCCCACCCAGCCACCACUGAAUAACCCAAAACCAGCUUCAAAUUUUAAGACAGAGAAAACAAUUACAAAACAAGCAAACAAAAGCAAAGUUUAGAGUGAGAAACUAAAACAAAAGGCAACAAAAUUUACAACCAUUUCCAGUUUCCACUUUACCUUUACAUUCAUUUCUUCUUUUUUUUUUUUCAAAUAUACUGAGAAUUUCAUGAUAUUCUUAUUUUUUUUAAAAUUUUUUUUACUUGUAUUUAUUUUAGAGAGGGAAAGCUAGAGAGCUUUUUUGUUUGGUUAGCUUUUUGAAGGGAGUUGAAUUGAAUCAUUAUUAUUGUUAUUAUAGCAGAUAAGAAACUUUGUUGUGUUUUUGUUGCAUCGGCGUCGCCGAAAAUUCCGAAGCUUUUGAGCCCCAGUUGGCUCCGAUCUGAACUCACUGAGUCGGAGCUCCGUUUGGUCGGUCUCUUUCUGCUUGAUGAGUUGGAGACGGCAAGGAGGAGGAGAUCGAUAGUUACGGAAACUCUUCAAUGGUAAGUCCAGGCCGUGACCACGGUUCUUAUUGCUGCUUUGAAUUUAUUUUGACUGAUUAUUAAGCUUUUCUUAUUUUUUUGGUUGCCUCGAGUCAAAUCUGUUCAGCUUAGUUUCUACUAACAGUAGUAUUCCCUUUUUUAAUUUCCUUAUUUGUUGGAAGUUUGUAUUUUGUUUUUAUUAAAUUAGUCUAUUUACCUUUGGUACGACAAAAUUGUCCAAAUGUUUAUAUUACGGGCACACAUAUAUGCAUGCACAUCUAAUUGAUCGGAUACUUGUAAAUAAUUCACGAAUUAUUGGAGGAUUUUUUUUUUAAUUUAUCAAAAGGUACUUAAAUAUAAUCGGUCAAUUUUUAUCUUAUUCUGAAUUGGAAUGAGUACUUUGUUUUUACCUUCCACGUAGGAUUCAAAUGCAAUCGUUAGUUGGUUCAACUAGGAUAUUAAAUGUCGGGAAAUAAAAUAUCCAGAGUCUUUCGUAAUUGUAGUAGGAAAGGCAUUGGCUAUGCCUUAAGAAGUGUUAAAAAAAUUAAUUUUACGCUGUCAAAGCAAAUAUAAAGGGAGAAAGUAAAUCAUGAUCGUUAAGACUCUCAGAUUAUUGUACUUUUUAUCUGUUUAGAGUCUUGUAACUGAAAAAUUGAGCCCCAGUUGCAGUUAAAUUGAGAAAAUAAAUCGUCAAAGUUCUGUAAAAUGAGUGGCCUAGUCCGAGUAAGUUUAUUCUCAGCAUGUUUCCUGCUUAGUUAUGCAAUUGUUAAAGCCCUCUUUUUGCUGCCCAACCUUCAAAAGCAACUGGUGGUUUAGAGUAGGUUAUGUGGCAGAGAGUGUUUUAUUGAGUCCUGUAAUGAUCUAAUGCUACCAAAUGUCACUUUCUCCUUAGUUUCCAGGAAAAGCAGAUUUUAGGCCACUGUGAGUGGUUUUCAUUGUUUAUGUAUUUGGGUUUCUUUUAAAAUACUAUGUGUGAACAUCUUCAUGAAUUUGUUGAGGCUUCUUUUUGAGGACUAACGGACAAGGCACUUGAACUCCUCACUCCCCCAAAAUAAUAUCUUUCCCUUUUGCAUCUAUCAAUUUAGUGCACUUUGCACCUAAACUUUUCUUUACAGAUCCAAUUUCUGCUUCAUAGCAUACAGUGAACUGUAUAGCAUACUAGAGCCAAUUUUAGUGGCAAACACAACAAUGUAGCAAGAAAAAUUUCUCGAUAGUGGAAAUUGAUGCACUGUGUACCAUGCCGAACUUAAAAGAGUUCAUAUUUGGUUUUCAAGUAACCCCCUUUCGCAUUUUCAAAUGGUACAUAAGAUUUAUGUACAUUGCCACAAUUACAAGGUACUGACUUUCUGCCAAAAAGUGCUUUAAGAGAAACUAACAUGGAGGUACUGACUUUCUGCCAAAAAGUGCUUUAAGAGAAACUAACAUGGAAUAAAUUGGUGAAGUAAGUCUAAGGAAAAGAAAUGACUAGACAUCUCUUACAAUGUAGAAUUGAUAUGUGAGUUAGCAUUUGCGUGUCAAAAGUUAUUCUUGUACUCUAAGUAGAUUGGCAUUGAAUUAGCUGUUCACUUCGGUGUAUCACAUGCUUUGGGUUUGUAUUCUGAAUUUGGUGUUCAAACAGCACUUCUGUGAAGCUUUUGUUUGUAAAUUCUCUAUUUAAAUUAUUGUUAUAUUAAUUGAGGUGUAUGGUGUUCCAAUUGUUGGGCUUUUAGAUUAUCUUUCUUGCACAUUCUGCUAGACUUUAGUUCCCAAUGUUCCUUGGAGAACUAGGCAGGAGGUAGCCUUUUAGAGAAACAAACUAAAUUAGCUUUAGGAUCCAGUGAAUCUAAUUUCUUUGUACCUGUAUGAUUUGUUUAUGCUCUGAUUGGCUGCAGUAAGAAUUCCUUCAUAGAAGAUGAACAGUUUAUCUAUGUUGAAGUUCUCUACUUUCUGAUGCUCUUUCUUUGUUUUUUACAUUUCUGUGUGUUGGGUUAUACAAGUUGAUACUUGUCUUAAUUAUUAUGAGUUUAAAUAAUGUUGUUGUGAAUUUAAAUCUAUUAAUUUAAUGGUAUUGGUUCUUUUGCAGGCAUCGCCAGUUAAUAUUAUUGUUGGCUCUCAUGUAUGGGUUGAGGAUCCAGUCUUGGCGUGGAUUGAUGGGGAAGUAACUCAAAUUAAUGGUCAAGAUGUUCAUGUUCACACAACGAAUGGGAAAAAAGUGAGUGCAGCUUUGUUCAUAGCUAAACUUUUUCACUGUAGUCUCUUGUUAUGGUGGUGGCUCAAAUGGUGUGCCGAAAUGAAAGUCUUAAUAUGUGAUAACCUGCUGUUGGUAGACGUUAAGAAUCUCGGUGUGUCCUGUUUGAUGUUGGAGCAAUAUAUUUUGUGUCUCUUGUAUGAUCAUGCAGUCUUCCUAGAUUUGCAGUUUUUUUUUUUUAAUCUGCUUCAGCUUAAGAAUCUUCCAUUGGUAGUUUAGCCUCCUGUAAGCUUAGCCUGCAUAUGCUGGUACUUUCCACUUAUAGUUGAUACCAAAGCAAUCCUGUAUAUGGUACUAGUGUGGCUUGAGCUAGGGCUGUGAUGGCUGAUUGUAAUGCUCCAACAACUAGUUCAAAAUGCAUAGGUGAAAGAUAUUUCAAUAGCUUCUAAGAAUUUAGACAUCUUGCUCCUAGCUGCUUGGGCUUAAGUGUUUUGAGCCGGUAACUUAGGCUCUACGAAGUUGUUUGACAGGAAUAGUUAUGGUGGCCCUGUAACAUUGUGCUGCAACGGACUAUAAUAGUUAUUGGUGGCCCUGUAACAUUGUGCUGCAACAGACUAUGGUGGUGAUAAGGUUUUUUGAUUGUGGCAGAGGGCCAAUGGUAGUAUGCCACCAUGGUCUUUCACCUUGGGCAAGCGGGUAGUUAUUGAUGAAAAAGCAAACUUACAGGGUAGGCAUUUUAUGUUCAGCAAAGUAGACAGCAAUUGAAAAGUGAUAAGUGACAUUUACAGAACUUCUAUUUUCAUGUAACUUCUGGCAUUUCUUAACGUAGAUCAAAUUCUUCAGUAGCUGCCACUUCUAUGUGCAAUAUCCUGAUACUUCAUUGCCCUGCAAUUAGGAAAUUUAGCUUUAUUCUACUUCACUUUGAGCCUUUAUCAACUCAACAUGAGCUUUAACUCACUUUGCUUUAUAUGCCUUUGAAUGAUAAUUGGUAAGUGGAUUAGAUGCCUCAAUACCUUGGUCGAAAAUUGAAAUGGGGUAAAAAGCCAUGCAAAUUCAGCUGUUAGCUGUUAGUUGAGUUUUAGCUUAGAACGUGGUUGGAUGCUUCUGAGAAGCCACUCUUUUACAUGGAAUUUGAAGGUUCUUAUGAUUGAAAGUUGAUUUUAGGUUGUUGCAAACAUUUCAAAAGCAUUUCCAGAGGAUACCGAAGCUCCUCCUGGAGGUGUGGAUGACAUGACUAAGCUCUCUUACUUGCAUGAACCAGGUGUUCUGCAAAACCUGGCUACCAGAUAUGAACUCAAUGAAAUAUAUGUAAGCUUCAGAAUUAUCUUUUCAGGACCUUGCAAAAUGCUUGUUGAAGAAAAGUAUAAUUGAUGUAAGAACCAAUCUUCUCAUUUUUUUUUUUUUCUCUUCAAUCUAUUGCACAGACAUACACAGGAAAUAUAUUGAUAGCAGUGAAUCCUUUUCAAAAAAUACCUCACCUGUAUGAUAGUAACAUGAUGGAACAAUAUAAAGGAACAGGAUUUGGAGAGCUUAGUCCACAUGUAUUUGCAAUUGCCGAUGUUUCAUACAGGUGAGUACUCAAUAAUCUUUGAGUGUUUUUAUCUUUUGAUGGGAUUUUUCUUCCACUGUCUUUUCCCUUACUAGCCGCUUCUCAACAUUUUAUUGCCUUUAGGCAAAUGAUCAAUGAGGGAAAGAGCAACUCAAUUUUGGUUAGUGGUGAAAGCGGUGCUGGUAAAACUGAAACAACGAAGAUGCUCAUGAGAUAUCUUGCAUACCUGGGUGGUCGUUCUGGAGUUGAAGGGCGGACGGUCGAACAGCAAGUUCUAGAAGUAAGAUGGACUGUUUUCUUCUCUUUUUCAUCUUCUCUUGCUCGUAUAAAAGGAUGCAAAAAGCUGUUUUCAUUUCUAAUUGUCAUUUGGAUAGGCAUUGUCUCUGACUUGUUUAUGCUAACUUUACAGUCCAAUCCUGUUCUUGAAGCAUUUGGAAAUGCUAAAACUGUGAGGAACAAUAACUCAAGGUGAGAAAGUUUAUGGCUAGAGUUAUUUACUUGGUUUACGUAUACUUUGAUUCAUUGUAUCUUAGGGUGUCUAGUGUUCACACAUCAUCUUGAAAUGUGUGAUAAUACUUUUUCUGAUCUUUUGCUUGUGAUUUCUCAAUGUAGUCGUUUUGGUAAAUUUGUUGAGAUACAAUUUGAUAAGAGCGGGAGGAUAUCUGGGGCAGCUAUACGAACUUACCUGCUGGAAAGAUCUCGUGUAUGCCAGAUCUCUACUCCUGAGAGAAAUUACCACUGCUUUUAUCUUCUUUGUGCGGCACCACCGGAGGUAAGAGUUAAUGGUUUGUCCUAUUUCCGUUGGACGGGUGACUUUUACUAAGAUUUUACCUCUCUUGUACUAAUUAUACUGGCUAAAUAAUGAAAAUGAUUAUUCGACUUUAACUUGCAGGAGAAGGAGAGGUAUAAGUUGGGAAAUCCAAAAAUAUUUCACUAUCUCAAUCAGUCCAAUUGUUAUGAGCUUGAUGGAGUUAAUGAUGGUGAAGAAUAUUGCAACAAGAAGGGCUAUGGAUAUAGUUGGAAUUAAUGAGGAAGAACAGGUUUGCCUGCCAACGAUUUCCUUGAGCUUUUUGUGCAUAUUCUUUAGAUUUCUUACAUUACACGACAUCUUUCCAGGAGGCAAUAUUCAGGGUUGUGGCUGCAAUUCUUCACCUGGGUAAUGUUGACUUUGCAAAGGGGCAGGAGAUAGAUUCUUCUGUGAUCAAGGAUGAGAAAUCUAGGUUCCAUCUUGAUGUGACAGCUGAAUUGCUCAAGUAGGCAUAUUCGCCUUUCAUUCUUGAGUAAGAUUUUUAAAUUGCAAUUAGGUAUCUAAAAGGCAGAAACAUGAUGGAACAGGUGUGAUGCUAAGAGCUUGGAAGACGCACUCAUUAAGCGUGUGAUGGUGACACCUGAGGAGGUUAUCACAAGGACUCUUGAUCCAGAAGCAGCUACUGGUAGCAGGGAUGCUUUGGCUAAGACGAUAUAUUCUCGUCUAUUUGACUGGUAAGGAGUUCUAAUUUUUCUAAUUAUUAUCAAAUAUUUGAACGCUUUUGGAGUUUGACCUUGUCUAAUUUUAGUGACUAUUAUCUAUUUCCCCAGGAUUGUGGAGAAAAUAAAUAUAUCAAUUGGUCAGGAUCCGAACUCAAAAUCAAAAUAGGAGUUCUUGAUAUAUAUGGGUUUGAAAGUUUUAAGCAGAAUAGGUAACCCUUACAAACAUCUUUUGGGUACAGUGUUUUAUCUGGAGUACAGUUUACAGCCUAUUCUCAUUGUUUUUUUUAUUAUGUGUAAUUAGCUUUGAACAGUUCUGCAUUAAUUUUACCAAUGAAAAGCUGCAGCAACAUUUCAACCAGGUUAUUGCUCUGUUUAUCAUAUAUUGGUCAUUGCUUUGACUAAAAAUUUGGACAUUCUUUUCAUCAAUUUGUUUGACAUAACAUUUGCAGCAUGUAUUUAAAAUGGAACAAGAAGAGUAUGAGAAGGAACAAAUUAAUUGGAGCUACAUAGAGUUUGUUGAUAACCAAGAUGUUUUGGAUCUGAUUGAAAAGGUAUGCUACCUUAUUGAUUCUUCAGAUUACAGAUUUUUUGCGGAUGUUUUCUUAAUAUGAGAAAGUCACUUGUUUGGCUAUUGUAUCAUAUGAUUGUAGAGCUAAUAAUCAAAUGGUUUCUUCUCCUUUUUGUUCAUCAUGUAGUGCCUUAGCUUUUUUUCCCCGCCUUCUCUGCUAAGGGCCUUGGCUUCUUUACUUAACUUGCCCUAAAAUGUUGCAGAAACCUGGAGGAAUCAUUGCACUUCUGGAUGAAGCAUGGUCUGUAAUUUUCCUUUCUUUUCUUUUUCUCCACCUCUAUUGGAAAUUGAUUUUCAUACUUAAUGCCAUUCAAUCUUGGUUGCGGGUUGAUAUUUACGAUAACUAUUUGUUGUUUGCUGUGUCAUUAUGGCACUUAGAACUCAUCAGCAAUAUGGACAAGCUCAAAUUUGUUUACCCACUUACACGACUUUACUUCUGCUUUAGUGCACUUUUGAUAUGUUUUGCUUGAUGCAGCAUGUUCCCCAAAUCGACCCAUGAAACAUUUGCUCAGAAGUUGUACCAAACAUUUGCAAAGAAUAAGCGCUUCAUCAAACCUAAGCUUUCGCGCACCAAUUUUACAAUAUCUCACUAUGCAGGAGAGGUAUCAAUGUGCAUCCUAUAAGGUUCUGUAUAGAGCAGUUCACUGCAAUCUUAUGCUUUACUUCCUGUAUCAUUUGCAGGUUACAUAUAUGGCAGAUCUGUUUCUGGAUAAAAACAAAGAUUAUGUGGUGGCAGAACAUCAGGAUCUUCUGACAGCUUCAAAGUGUCCCUUUGUAGCUGGUUUAUUUCCUCCACUUCCUGAAGAAUCAUCAAAGUCAUCCAAAUUUUCUUCUAUGGGUCCCGCUUUAAGGUACUUGCUGUCUUCGAUUGCCUUAUGGAGAUGGCAAAUUCAUUCUUCAAUUUACUAGCAUUACUGAACUGCUAUACAUGUGAAAUACAGAGAAUAGAACCCAGAGAGAUGUAAAAUUAAAUAGUCUGACUGUUACCUUCAUAUAAUCUAAUUUAGCAGGUUUUACUUCAGGAGUGGCCAGUAUUUUAUUGUAAGCUGAUGGCAAAGUUUGUUGUUUGCUUGCCUAUUCUUUGGACACCAUGGUCUAAAUUUAGUAAUUUGCACGCCACAAUCUGCAUUAAAAUGAAACAUGUAGUAGACAAAAACCAAAUAGAACUAUGUUGCUGGACUAUUGUGCCUAUUCUGUGAAACAUGAAAUCUUGACUAAAGUUAUGGUCGACUGAAUUACUAUAGAAAUCUUGUCGAUGUUAAAGUUUUAGAUCACAUGAGAUGCCAUUAUGAUAAAAGUCAUAUCUGUGAAAGAAUUCUUGUAUUGCUGUGUUAGCUCGCUUCUUUUUUGCUGAUUUGUAAGCGUUUCUGCCUAUGUUCCUGAAGCUCUCUGUUUCAGUAUGACACUGAAAGAUGGGAUGGCUGUACACUACUUUCAGUAAAACUGUGGAUCUUGCUAAACUUUCAGACUUAUGGUGGUAGUUUGAUGUUGACUACCAAUUAUGGGUAUUUUAUGUUCAAUACUGCACUAGAGUUUAGAGUAUAGAGAUUCAUAAUGAGUACAGCUUUUCACUGGUGCAAAGAUGACUCAAAUAUAGGCCCCAAAAAUUCCAGGGAGCUGUUUACCAAAAGGUGACUGUAGUUCUCACACUCUUGGGCUGGACUUAAUUUCCAUGUUACUGGAAGAGGGUUAAUUAUACAACUGGGUUUGGGUUUUCAGCAUAAUCAAAUUUGAUGUUUAAGUUCAUCUUCCAAUGAGAAUUUAAUGUUAGGAACUUGAAUUUCUGGAGUUACUGUUAAGACACAUUCAAGAGUUUGGCACCUCAGAAUCCUGUUAGUUGAAAUGUCAAAAGUUAUUUAUGAAACCUUUUUACAUUCGGGCAACAUUUUUUAGUAUGUAACCUUCUUGAUAAAACUUUUGAACAAAUGAUUUUCUUUGCUAUUAUUUUUUUACUAAAAAUUUUGUCUGCUUUGAAGCACUUAAAUAGCGUCUUUCUUAAUAAUAAAAAUAAUUUAUAAUAAUAAUAAUUAUUAUUAUUAUUAGAAGAAGGAAUAUUAGCACAGGAUGCAUAUUUCUCAGGUAUCCACUGGGACAAUGUUUUCAAAGUCUCAAGUCUUGAGCUCACAAAUUGUUUCCUUGUUAUCCUUGAAGUUUUCAUGGUUCUAUCCUUUCAAAAAUCCAAGAGUUUGCAAGAAUGGCUGUUCCUCCUUUUCUUUCUCCAGUUCGAACAGCAGCAUUUCGGUAUAUGUUGACGUCUCUUUUCUAAUGUUUAUCAUCUAUGUUGACACUUGCAGCUACAACUCCAAUCUUUAAUGGAGACCUUGAGUUCAACAGAACCUCACUACAUUCGAUGUGUGAAGCCCAAUAAUGAAUUGAAGCCUGCUAUUUUUGAGAAUCUGAAUGUCAUCCAGCAGUUGCGGUGUGGUGUGAGUAUAUGUUAAAUCUUUUGCCCAGUGAUUGUUAAUGAGGUCUAAGGUGCAAUUCUUUACUUCUUGUAUUUCAUAUUCUUAGUAUGCCCUCUACCAUUUAUAGGGUGUUCUGGAAGCUAUCAGAAUCAGCUGUGCUGGAUACCCCACUAGGCGAAGUUUCGAUGAAUUUCUUCUGCGAUUUGGUGUUCUUGCUCCAGAAGUUCUGGAUGGAAGGUAAACUAUUGGUUCUCUUUUUCUUCACAGAAUUGACCUGGUAGGAAGAAUAGCAGUGAGAUUGCAUGCAUUUCUGCGAUCCUUUCAUCUUGCAGUUCAAUUAUUUUCUCUAAGCAUCUCUAGUUCAUCUACUUCCUCGUGUCCUAACAAAAGUACAUUUGGCAGCUAUGAUGACAAGGUUGCGUGCCAAAUGAUUCUGGACAAAAUGGGAUUAAAAGGCUAUCAGGUAAAUUUGAACCUCUUCCCCCCUACUGAAAUAAGCUUUGUAGGUAUGCUAUUUGUUCAAUUUUACAGGAGGACAAGCUAUUUACAGUUUCAACAUUAGAAUAAAAUGAGACUUUAUUUGGUGUUUCUGUUAUGUUUCUUUUGUCCUCAUUAUGUUCUCAUUGUGAUGCACCAGCAGCAUCGUCAAAUAUUCUUUAUAUUAAUAUAUGAAAUGUCAUUGGCUUUGCAGAUGGGCAAGACAAAAGUCUUCCUAAGAGCUGGUCAAAUGGCUGAGCUAGAUGCGAGAAGAGCAGAGGUCCUUGGAAAUGCAGCCAGGAUUAUUCAAAGACAGAUUCGAACUUACAUUGCUAGGAAAGAGUUCAUCACAACUCGCCAGGCGGCAAUUCAAAUGCAAUCAUGUUGGCGAGGUAUUCCUUACUCGUGGUUGUUUAUGCUGUGAUUAUCUGCUUAUUAUCCUCUCUUGCAAAUUUGCUAUUCAGCAUGGACAAAGAUAAUAGAAGGCUCUCAGAGAAAAUAAAUAAUGAAUGCACUUUCUCUUGCUGUGUGUGCGCUAUUGAUUCAUUAGGUAUAUUGGCUCGCAAGCUAUAUGAACAAUUACGCCGUCAAGCAGCUGCUCUGAAGAUACAGAAGAACUUCCGCUGUUACGUUGCUUGGAAAUCGUACUCAACAUUGCAGCAUUCUGCUAUCACAUUGCAGACAGGCAUGAGAGCAUUGAGUGCCAGGAAUGAAUUCAGAUAUCGGAAACAAACAAAGGCUGCUAUUAAAAUCCAGGUCCUGUUUGUGCCCAUUAUUCCAUUUCACCAGAGAUGCAAUAGAAGCAGGGAAUGAGAAUAAAUUUUUGAGUAAUUGAAAUAAUAAUUAAUAUAAGAUAUUUUUGUCAUCCAGGCUCAUGUGCGUUGCUACAGGGAUUGGUCUUACUACAAAAGUCUGCAGAGGGCUGCUCUUGUUACUCAAUGUGGUUGGAGAGCACGAGUGGCAAGGAGGGAGCUUCGCAAGCUUAAAAUGGUUUACUCUUGUCCUUGAUGUGAUUUUAUUCGCUAGACAUUAACAUGUUAACAAUUCAUAUUGGAGUGCCUUGAUAACCAGUUACUUAUUUUAUGCAUUAAUUCAGGCCGCAAGGGAAACUGGUGCUCUCAAAGAAGCAAAGGACAAGCUGGAAAAGAAGUGGAAGAACUUACGUGGCGGUUGCAAUUUGAAAAACGAUUACGGGUAUGUACAUCUAUAUUCAAUGUAUUCCCGUUGGAUGGGUACCUUGUGACAAUUGUUCUUGCAUACAGACUGAACUGGAAGAAACGAAAGCCCAGGAAAUUACGAAGUUACAGGAGGCUUUGCAGGCAAUGCAAGUUCAAGUAGAUGAAGCAAAUGCUAAAGUUAUUAAAGAACGGGAAGCAGCAAGAAAAGCCAUUGAAGAAGCUCCUCCUGUGAUUAAGGAAACCCCUGUUAUAGUUCAAGAUACUGAAAAAGUUGAAGCAUUAACAGCUGAGGUUGAACAAUUAAAGGUAGUGAAGCUGUCUUAUAUUACUGUAUUGUGUUGUGGAUAAUCAAUUGAUGCAUUCAUGUAAACCAAGCAUGUCAAAUGUGAUGGAUAAAUGUGUUUUUAUUCAUGAUCAGUGUUCCUUCUGUUAUUGGAAUUAAGCCAAAUGCCUGUCCUUAAUAUGCAUUAUUUACACAAUAAGCUCUUACAAAGCAGUUUGUGGUUGGUUCGCAAAUGUGAAGAAUUCAGACAUAAUAAGUGCUGCGAUACAUAUCUAAAGCCUGGUAAAACAGUGAAAAGCUGGCAUAGUUCUCCUAGCAGAGUCUUUUGGACCAUUAGUAGUGUAUAUCUCUUGCGUUCUUGAACAAGCAUGGCUUAACCUGCAUGUCCUGAUUAAACUUGUCUAUAUAGAUUUGAAGAAAUGUAAAUCUUUUGUAUAUCCACCUUCAGAGGAUGGUCAUACGUGUUCCUCACUUUGUUUUGGCUCACUCAUGGGCUUCAAGCUUCCAGUCAGUAUUAAAUUUUGGAUAACAAUGAUGACCAUUUAUGGCGAUAAUUAGAUUAAGGCCAAGAGUAUUGACAUAGCCAUUUUGCUUGUGCAGGCUUCAUUGAAUUCUGAAAGGCAAGCUGCAGAAGCAGCAAAGAAGGCUUCUGUAGAUGCUGAGGCCAGAAAUUCAGAACAGGCUAAAAAACUUGAAGAUGCAGAACGGAAAGUGGAUCAGCUGCAGGAGUCUCUGCAGAGGUAUGUUAACACGUUUUAAGUUUCAAGCGUGCUAUAGUUGUUCUUGAACCACUGAAUUGAUCAAGUAGGUAGUAGAACAUUUCUAUUACCUUGAUAAAGCAAAUGCUAUAUACCAAUAUAAGAGUGACAGGUAGUCAUUCUGUUCCUCCUUUUUUUAUCCUUCUAGCUUUGUGCCUGUUUAAGAUUUCAAUCGAAAGUUUGAUGCUGCUGUUGAUCCUCUUGUUGUUCAUCAAAUGCAUGUGUUUGGAUUCUCUAUCUCCUUUUGUCGUAGUUUGUUUCUAUUGUCCUCUCUUUUAUUCAUUCCCAUGCUUGGUAACACAUAAUGUGCACUUGCACCCGUCUUUUUGAAUCAGGCAUGCUUAAUCAUGCACAAGCACAUAGGCACUUGUAUCCAGUUUUGCUUUUAUUGCAUAUUAUGGGGAAAAGUUGCAAAUUUCCUCUUUAUUUCUUGUUUCAGGCAUGAAGAGAAGCUCUCGAAUACUGAAUCAGAGAAUCAAGUUCUUCGUCAACAAGCUUUGGCAAUGUCUCCCACUGGAAAAACUAUAUCUGCAAGACCAAAAACAACUAUUAUACAGGUAAUAUCACGCUUCUUGCUUAUUUGAAGUUACAUGCUAUGUUGAGAAAAAUAAAGAUUGCUUGGUGUACAUGCAGAGAACUCCAGAGAAUGGAAAUAUUCCAAAUGGUGAAACCAAGGUUGCACAUGUAAGGAGCAUCAGUACUUUUAUUUGGGUAACAACCAAUGGAAAGGGAUGUUAUUUCUUUCAUAUGUUACAUGUGUCAGGACAUGACUCUUGCUAUAGCCAGUCCAAAAGAGUCUGAAUCUGAGGAAAAACCACAAAAGUUUCUUAAUGAAAAGCAGCAGGUGGGUGCUUUUUGGAUGCAUAAAAUAUUAUGCUUGUAAUUCUUGGUUUUCCUAUUUGAUUUUUUUGGAAUCUUUUCCUGCAAUCCACUAUCCUGCUGCAGGAGAACCAAGAUUGCUCAUCAAGUGCAUCUCUCAAGAUUUGGGAUUUUUCUGGUGGCAAACCAAUUGCUGCUUGUUUGAUUUACAAAUGCCUUCUUCAUUGGAGAUCAUUUGAAGUUGAGAGAACUACAGUGUUUGACAGAAUCAUCCAAACAAUAGCUUCAGCAAUAGAGGUUUGUUGUUAUAAUGGGAUUGCUAAUUUUAUUUUUCUUGUAGCCAUAAAUCAUGAUAAUCUGCUCACUAGCAUUUGCUGAUGAAUGUCAUCAGAAAUCGCUUACAUGAGUUGUAUUAAUUUGAGCAACCUUUGUCCUCUAGGUCUCAGACACACAGUGAUACAUUAACUUACUGGUUGUGUAAUACUUCUACGCUGUUAAUGCUGCUCCAACACACACUCAAAGCCACUGGGGCAGCUAGUUUGACUCCUCAAAGGCGGAGGUCAUCAUCAGCCUCACUUUUUGGGAGGAUGUCUCAAGUAUGGGCCUAAGAUUUGAUUUGCGUGGCCUUUUCUCUUGAUCUUCUGUUUUGAAUUCUGUAAAUUCUUCUUUCUUCCUUAAAUGCAGGGAUUACGGGGAUCUCCACAAAGUGCUGGGCUCUCAUUUCUUAAUGCGCGGGUGCUUGGUAGACUAGAUGACUUGCGUCAAGUUGAGGCUAAAUAUCCUGCUUUGCUGUUCAAGCAGCAGCUUACUGCUUUCCUUGAGAAGAUCUAUGGGAUGAUAAGGGACAAUUUAAAGAAAGAGAUUUCUCCAUUGCUUGGCUUGUGCAUCCAGGUAUUUCAUGUCCUGUUGUUUUACAAAUGUUUAGAUUGCUGCAAGUUGCAUCAGAAAACAAUAAGCAGCUCUUACGAGAGUGUUUUUUUGUUAAUGGAUAAGCAAAUGAUUAGUGAUUUGUUUGUGAUGAUUUAGCAGGGUUAGUGUUCCUAGCAUCCUUACUUGAUUUGGCCAAUAGUAAAGCUCUAGUACUUAUCUUGGAGGUUAACUACCAUUGCUAACCUUCCUAAAGAAGCUCAUCUUCAGGUUUCAAAUAAAAAAUUGAAACCAUUUUUAAUUUAGUACGCCAAUGAUUUCUGGAAGCCCUGCAUCCAUGGUACCCAUAAUAUCUCCCUUAUUUUCUCUUUUUCCAUUUCGUUAGUUUGUGUGACCUUAUGCAAUUCCAGCUCUUCUUCUUCUUCUUUUCUUCUCUCUCUGUUUUCUUAUAUUCUUUUUUUUCUGGAGUUAUAAUGGAAUUGGUAACUUAUGCAGCUUAGUUUUGUUUCCUAUAAAUUUAAAAGUAUUCACUUCAUGGGCAAUGAAUUUUCUACUGCAGGCUCCUAGGACAUCUCGUGCUAGUUUAGUAAAAGGACGCUCUCAAGCUAAUGCUGUUGCUCAACAAGCUUUGAUUGCUCAUUGGCAGAGCAUUGUGAAAAGCCUAAAUAAUUACUUGAACAUAAUGAAAGCAAACUCCGUGAGUUUUUAAAACUUACACUCUAUGGAAAUAUUUCUUUCUGAAUCAAUUUCUUAUUACUUGCUCCUUAUCUUGUACUUUUACAGGUUCCUCCCUUCUUGGUCGCAAGGUUUUCACUCAGAUAUUUUCUUUCAUCAAUGUUCAACUUUUUAACAGGCAAGUUCUUCCCAGUAACAGGACAACUGUAUACGCCAAAUGUUUCAUCUUAUUAAUUAUUGUCAUUACUUACUUUCGUUUAUUUAUGUUUCCAGUCUUCUUUUGCGGCGUGAGUGUUGCUCCUUCAGCAAUGGGGAGUAUGUCAAGGCUGGGCUCGCCGAUUAGAGCAAUGGUGUUGUUCUGCAACUGAAGAAGUAAGGAUUAUUCACGAAACAGGCUUGCUUAUAGGCCAGCAACUUUUUAAUGUGAAACCUCUUAUGACCUCCUGUUUUCAGUUGUAGGCUCCGCAUGGGAUGAACUGAAGCAUAUCAGACAGGCUGUUGGCUUCCUAGUGAGUUCAGGACAGUCAUUACAAAUUGGUUAUGAUGCAUACACGUGGUUGCUAAUCUAUUCUAUUUUCCAAUUAUCUGCAGGUUAUUCAUCAAAAGCCAAAAAGACAUUGCAUGAAAUCACAAAUGAGCUUUGUUCGGUGAGAAACUGUUCUUUUGCUUGUUUUGUCCUAUCCUAUUCUUUCCAAGUUCCUUAAUGAGUUAUUCAUCUUAUACAGAAAUUGAUUGUAGCCCUCCGGAUCUUUUUGUUCUCACUUUAAGGACCUAAUUGUUCUUCUUAUUAUUCUUCAGGAGCUUAGCAUACAGCAGUUGUACAGGAUAAGUACAAUGUACUGGGAUGACAAGUAUGGCACCCACAGCGUUUCUUCAGAUGUAAGUUAGUUCUCACACAAAACAGAAUGAAUUGUCCUUGUACUUUCAUUUGAAUGGGUCUGUUUCCUUUGGCUGUUCCUAAUUUUAGUUCUGGUGUUUAUAAUUCACUUCUAUGCAUCUUCUUUCUUGAAAUUUAGUUAUUUCAAAUAUGAGAGUUAUGAUGACAGAGGACUCUAACAAUGCAGUUAGCAGUUCCUUUUUGUUGGAUGAUGACUCAAGGUACUCAUGUGUUAACGUGUAGGAUUUCACAAACUUCUGUUUUUUUAUGUCAGUUUCAUUUUUGUGUUUGACUCUUUUAACGUACCUCAACCUUCUCUUGAUCACUUGGAAAUGAAACAAAGGUCUGAGGCUGCCGUUCAAGGUAAACUCAAGGGUGUAAUAAACCAAUUUAGGGAGUACUAUGUGGGUAAUUUGAGCAUAUCCAAGAACCUUCAACACACUACUGAAAAAGAAAGAUCAUUAUCUGGAUGUGUUCUUAGAAUAAAAAAAUUCUUUUGAUACUUACCUUUUUCAACAAAGGUUUUUGACCUUGGUUGAGUUUGGAUGUCUAUUUUUGAUGGAUCUGAGAUUGUGCUUGUUCCGAGUACAUUGACUUUACUUUCAUGAACCUAUGAAAAGCAUUAAUUUUUGCUAACACUAAUGCAGCAUCCCAUUCUCUGUGGAUGACAUCUCCAAAUCAAUGCAACCAGUGGAUGUUGCUGACAUUGAGCCUCCGCCACUAAUCCGAGAGAAUUCAGGUUUUGCAUUUUGCAUUAGAGCUCUGGAUGAUGAUUAUCAAGUUUUUAUUCUAAAUCAUCACCUCAUCUCUGGAAGAUUGAAAUCUGCGCAUCAGCUGGUGUGCAGAAACUUGUGCAUAAAUUUUCAUUUUCGGUUGCAUAUUUGUCUUGUAAAAUUUACUCCAUUAGCUCAGGUAACAGUUAAUAUAUGUUAUCUGAGUCAAUUUUUUUGAUUCCCCUCGUGCUUUCCCGACACGAGAGGUAUUAUAGCACAAAGCUAUAGGGGCUAGUACUGUGAUGGCAAUUAGUAAUAUAGAGUCAUGAUUGUUUUUCAGUUGGUGUGUGCUGUUGGGAUUUGAGUGUAAAUUUGAAGCAAUUUUAGGUUUCUUAACUUUUAGUGUGGACUUAGAAUGCAGUUAGGUUGCUACUGUAUUUUGAAUAUCAUGUAAAAAGCUCCAUAAGGUUUUUAUUGGUUUAUAUAUGAAUGACUUGAUUACAUUCUUUUUCUUUUUGACGUCUUAUGAGGUAUGAUACAGGAUUGACGUUAGACUUAGAUUUUUUGAAUGGCCUCUGGUUUUCAAAGGAAUACUUCAGAACUAAAAUUUGGUUUCCUCCGCGACUGACGUUGGCCUACACAGUUGUUCCGCUUACUGUUGGGUGGGGCAAUUCAAUGUUGUGCCUAUUUUUAGCUGAUCUGAACAGUGUCUGAAAAGAUUUCAUUUUGUGCCGAUCUUAACGCCUUUUCUCAAGGUUCCGUUUGGCUCUUUUAAUCUUAGCAUGGUCGUAUCCUUAAUUGAUAUAUUUGCGGUUCUGAACAGUAUAAAGAAAUUUCAUUUUGUGCCCAUCUUUGCUGAUCUUGGUGCCUUUCCUCAAGUUUGCGCUUUGACUCUUUUAGUUUUAACAUUGCCGUAUCCUUCAUUGGAGAAAAGGUGUAUGCAAAUCACAUCAUCAAAUUGUGCAAGUGGAGGAAUAGUAUCCCAUCUUCUGGCGUUUUUGGUUUUCAGAAAGAAAAUUCGAAUCACAAUAGGUCUGUUGCGUUUCCAUUUAUUGGUUUGAGAAUCUGAAUCUGUCACUCGCCGUUUGACCUUGCGAAUAACAGGCGCGUAGUUUUAGAUUUUCACCGAGGGAGAGAGUCAAACUAAUUGCAUUUCCGGAAUUAGAUGUGUAGAAAUAAAUGGUACGAAGUAGUAUAAACUUCUUUAGGUGCGGGUCUGGUAUCUCCGGGGGCCAAAGGCCCUUCACAAAGAAACUAGCGAAGGGGACUUUCUCCCAUACACAUCAUUUCUUAGCGUACACUACUAUUUUGGGGACCUCUGAACACUUCGAAGUUUCGUCAAAGGAUGCAAACUGGAAUGUUCCUAUAUGAAUUGUACCAGAGCUUUUUGAGUAUUGGAGACUUCUGGUGUAAACAUGGGUUGGCAAAUCACGUAUUCAACUUUUGUUUAUGAAACUACUCUCGUUGCAAGUAUCAUUAUUCAUCAUCACAGGGUGUUUAAUUACUUAUUUAGCAAGUGGUUUGGUCUAAUGUAAUGGCCACCGUAGAAGAUUCGCAGCAUGCAUUGGAUGUCUUCAUCUGUGUGUUGCUAAGAUGUACUAUUCAAAUGUAGGACGAUCAAAGUUAUUGUGCAGGAAUUAGAAGUACGCUAGUUAUCCAAUUAUUUUCUCUGUUUUACACUUCAGGUCAUCAUGAAAGCACAAGCUAUCUAUCUAUACAUGGGGAAAGAAUUCCUGUCCCUAAUUUAUACUUAUUUUUUGUUAAGUAAUAGGUGUGCUGCAAGAUCUAUACCUGAUUUAUCCAUUUUUAUUCUCUUUUGAAGCAAGACUAGAAACACACUGCCUUGAGCAUUUGGUUGGCAACAGCCGAAUAUGACUGAACAAUAAGACCAUCAACCAUUUCGACACCUCUGUGACUAACAUGGAUAACCCUCUUGUUAAAUAAUUUCAAAAAACAGAAAAUCAACUGGAACCCGGUUUAUGUUCCGACAUCACUUUCUCUUUACAUCAAAACAUUAAUUCCCACCCUCUGUUCCUAAAUCUCGGUUCUAGUUCUGUUUUUUUUUACUGGAAAGUAAAAGCCCAGCUCAUCAGAUCCGACAUCUUGUCAAUACAUCUCCUCUCAGCUAAACUACAUGUUAUGCCCCUCAUUGAAGAGUGAUCACUUUUAAGGGAUUUGUAUAACACAUUAAUCUACAAAGAAUAUUCCUGAAAAGUUCACAGCUUUCACUUGUAAAAAUGGAGUUUGCAAAUUUAUUUUGUACAUCACUAAGAGGACUCUUGCAUCUCAGCCGAAUUACUUGUUCCCAUCAAGGUUUCAAGUACAAUGGGCUGGUCUUGUUCAGUCUGCAUGUUUGAGGAACACAUUUACCAUAUGAGCUCAUCGAAUUCUCCGGGGCAAUUGACUGGUCUUCGAUAGUCUGCUCCCGUUUGCCCUCUGAUUUCUUCUUCUCUUUAAGUACGUACUGUCUUGCAUUACUUCAAGUAAAAAGUUCCCUCCAUUCCAUACAGUUGCAGAGAGUUUAAGGAUUUGGAAAAAGACAGACAAUUUGUAGGACAAAAAUAUGGGUACUGUAAGUGCCAUUGUUGCCACUGUAAAUAUUCCUUGGAGGACAAUAUACAUAAGCAACCGGUUCUGAUCUCCAAGAAUACCACUUAAACGCCACCAUAUGUUGUUAGCUUUCUGUGCUUUUUUGGAGAGCUCUCUGCAAAAUAGUGAAUGAACAGAACAAAACCAAUAAGGCUAAAGAUAAAGUCAUAGGAAGAAGGAUUAAAUCAAGAGUAACUGGACAUUUCCACUUGUGCAAGAGUGUGUGUGUGUGUGAGAGAGAGAGUAAUGAUGAAGAAUCAGAUAAAAAGCACUAACCUGUAAGAGGUCAUAACUUCAGGGUCCUGUAAAAGUCUCUGCCUACGGAGGACAUCUACAAUGAGAAAAUAAAGAGCCUGCCAGAGACAGUAAGCAACUAAUGGAACAAGAAAUAGCCACGUCCAGAGGUUAUACUUGCUUUCUACAUAAGGCCAUGAAGGUCGGCGAGGAGUCCCCUCAGGGUGCAUGGCUUCAAAAAACACAGGAUCCCACCAUCGAAUUGUGAAGAAAACCAACCCUGAAUUCAGAAUUAUCAAGUAAGCUACAAUUUGCACCGGACAACUGAAUAACAAAUUUACUUGAAACUACACGGGAAAGAACCAUGCCAUCACUUCAGAGGAAAAAAUUUGCACUCCAGCGAACGCAACUUAAAGAAGAUGAUGUAUGUAGGCACAGAAUAAGAGGGUGUUUUGUGCAUAUGCCUUUGUCUCUUAGGUAGCCUUCAGUAAUAUGGGUGCUCUAGGAGGAAAGUCUCUUAGGUAGCCUUCAGUAAUACAGGUGCUCUAGGAGGAAAGCAAACGAUUCUUCUACCGUUAUUAGCAAUUGUGAGGCAUAGCCACACAUGCAGACUUGCAAGUUAAGAAAGGAUGGACGUCCUUUCUGUCAAAGGAUGUUUAUAGUUUACAUGACAAGAUUUUUUAUUAUUCUCACACGAGCUUUAACUAACUAUUUGCAUCAAUAGCUCCAAAAGGAGUGCUUAAUAAGACCACCAUAAACAUGCAAAGAAAGACGUCACCAUAUAGAAAAUUUUCAUCAGGCCACAUGAAAAUGUGACAAAAGUAUCUUGAUGAUGUCAAAAAUUCUAGAGUCUAAAGUUGUUAAAAGACCUAAAAUGUAUUAAACAAUAUAAAGCAAUACUCUUAAGUCAAAACAUAUUUGAAUUGCCAAAACUUUCUACAACUUUCAAUUAUUGCAGCUUAGAUGUCAUACAAGAAUAGACAGGACGCAUGAUACCCCAUAAAACUAUUCCAAUGCAUUCAAAUGCACAAAAUUCUUAUGUUCUUUAUUAUUUAAGAAUAUUGCUUCAGUCAUAGUGAGAUUUGUACAAUUGAAAGAAAGUUUAUAUACCACCAAAACUCCUAGCAAGAAUAACUACGCUGAAAUUAUGGAGCAAGGAAAAUACACAAGUCGCGGCUCGUAGAGCUGAAUUACUGUAAGGUUAAUUCUAUCUCAUAUUAGAUCCAUCUCAACAAAAUUUCCAAGCAUACAUCUGUGGACUGCUAUUGUUUCCCAUUCAGCAGAGACUACAAAGGGCAUUACAAGUAAUUAAAUAAGAAAAAUAACAUCUGCAUAUCCACUGGAAAAGAUUUGAUACCAUAUUUUCUCAAACAUAAACAGUUACAUAAUCAGGAUAAAAGCACAUAUGCAGCGAAUGAAGAAGUCAACAGGCAAGCAAAUGAUAGAAGCAAUCAGAUGUGAUAAAAAUGAAGGCCCACAGCUAAUAACUACAAGUGCUUAAUUCAUUCUCAUCAUCAUUAAACUAGACCUAGCUUUCAAGUCGAAAUACCUGCUAUAAAGGGGGGCUAGACUAGAAAAGAGAGAAGGAUGUCCAACUUACCAGGCAAAAGAUGUAUGAAGACGCUUACAAUUUUGUCGAAAAGAAUUAAAGACUAAGCUGCAUCUCCACACAAUCAGUGCCCAAGCUAGUGGACCCUGCAGUUAUGUGAGAAGUCAAGACAUAAAGAAGCAAAUCUUAAUGCCAUUUAGAUGAAAACAAGGCAUCUCCAGAUUGAUUGCUUACCUCUGCAAAAGAGAAGCAAAUCAUGAAAAACUUCUCAUUUCUAGGAAAACAAAGAAGCAUGACCAAGAAUAGUGUGUUGGCGUAGUAGCAGAAGUCCUGAAUGGCAAAAGAAGUACAUAGUGACACAAGAGAAAGUACAUUUGUAGGAGAUGAAGUCUACACUGAAACAGAAAAAUUCACAGAUAACAUGUACCAUCAGAAUUUCAACUAAACCUAAAGUGAUUUUGUCUAAUUAAGACUCUAGAACCUCUUCGACAAGGAUCUAAAUAACCGAGAUACGCAAAACAAAAAAUAUUUGUGUAGUUAAAUGAGCCAAAACAAGAAGUUGCAAAACAGGAAGAGCUUACCAAGAGAUAAUAAUGCCAUUUCUUGUAUCGAUAAUAAAUCCACCGUAGAGGAACAAAUAUGACAUAGAGCAAACAAUAUGCAUAAGGGACAUCUUGAGGCCCUGCGCCACAAUAGAAAAGAACCGCAAAAGCAAAUUAGCAAACGACAAUCCACUAGGCCUAACUAAUUAUUCGAGGGAUAAAGAUAACUGAAUUGUCAAAUCUUAAGAGUGUAAUACUCACUGGCACCCAACAGAAAGCAGAAUGUUCCAAACCCAAGAACACUCAACAAAUAAGUCACCUGUCAACCCAAAAGCUGCCAAUCAGUUCAACCUAAAAUCGACAUCCCAUGUCACCAAACCAUAAGCAAAGAUGCUAGUAAAAGUAAAUAAACAAAUUAUGAAUCCCGGAAACAAAUAUGAGCUACAAAGUUGUUCUUUUAAUAGCCACUGAGACCAUCUGACAAACAUAUGGUGGGUUUUGGUCGGUCGGUUACUUGAUUACCUUGUUGAUGAAUCUUUCGUGUUCUUCAGCCCGUUUGGCAAUCUUAUCUGCAUGUUUAGACAAGAUCUGCUUGGUUUGAACUGCUUGCUUCGACAAUAUCUCUUUCGUUUUAGCCACUUUCUGCGCAACAAACAAUUCCCAGAUGACAAAGAACUACCCAAAUCGCAUCACAAACUGCAAAACUAAAUCAGAUACGUGGGAAAAAAUUAAUACCUCUGAUCGAUCUCUGAGCCUUUUUCGAAUCAACCCUCCAUUUGAUUCGCCAUUGGAGUCCUCCGCAGAAGAAGAUUCUCCGUUGCUAUACAUUUUCUUGCUCAAAGACUCUCCUGUGUUUUCCCGCAAGUAUGAAAAGAAGAAAAGGUGGUGGUGGUUUUCUGUGCUCCUCUCCUUCGCCUGUAAUUUUUGUGGGUCUGUGUGACGUAUAUAUAAAACUGGAUAGUACUAUAAAAAUGCCUAGCAAUCAAUUAGAGUUUUUUUUGUUUUUUUGGUGUGUGGGAGAAGCAAUCAAUAUGAAUUUGAUGAAGGAAGAAGUUGUUUAUGACUUGAGUUUCCUGUUAAUACAUUACUCCAUUGACGAUUCUAUAUAUCUAUACUCCCAACUGUAAUCGCGGACGCCUGCUAAAUUUUGAGGCCGAAUUUCAUUUUAUGCUAUUUUAACAUUGAGCGAACUAAAAAAAAAAGAAAAAAAUAAGCGUGAUUAAAUAGCCUACUAGUCUUCUAAGGUUAUACUUUGUAUCCUCACUUUCUAGGUGAAAACUUUCUUCUUUUUUUUUUUAAUAAUCAAUUUCUUAUAAGGAACGUACUAUUAUUCAAAAUGACAUGAUUGCAUAUAAUCGAACUUGUAAAGAUUUAAACUUUGCCUUUUUUUUUAUUGGUGGUAUAUGUCAGGAUUCAACUUCUUUUUUUUUUUUUGUAGCAUUUUUGUUUGAAAGUAUAUGGUAGGUUCGAGCCUUAUUAAAACUAGUCGGAUUUAAUUAUGAAUUAAUCUUGUAUGCAUUAAUAAUGUAUACACUGUUGUUACAGUUAGAUACAUGAGACGUAUAUAAAAUUCGAAUUUUAAAUUUAAAUAUAUAUUAGUGUCAUACAUCUAAUAGUGAUAAAAUACACAUUGUCUGUAUGCAUAAGAAUGAGUUAGACAGACAGAGAUUUAUUUGCUAUCCGUACACGUUUCUUUCUGGUUGUGGAAAGUUUGGUUUUAAAUUUUAUUACUAUUAUUAUUAGUUUUUAUAAUUUUCUCUGAGCAAACACUUUGAACAGGAUGUCUUUUGGUAACAUCAACAGAUAGAGUCAAUAAUGUAUUAUUACUCACUUUUUGUAGUUUUAUAGCCAAUAAGUACAAUGAAGUUGUCAUUAGGAUACCAAGGAACAUACUCGAAGCUUCUGUUUCCAAGAUUCCUCAACCUUUUUCUCUUUUUAAUUUGUUUUAAUUCAUUGUUGUUCUUAUUGAUAUUUAUUUCGAUUUCUAAAUAGCUAAUAGUUAAAGUGCAAACAAUGCUUCACACUUUUAGACGAAAGAAUAUUCGAUACUUUUGGAUUCAAAUGUUUAUUGAAAGACGCUGAUAUUUCAUUUAUGCAGAAGCUUUUGAUUGCUUGUUUUUGAAGUUUUUUUUUUGUGAAAAAUAUAUAUUGUAACGAUUUGAUAUAUGUCAGGUAAAAAGGUGACUAAAAAACGUGUUCACAGAAAACGUAAAAUUUUUUUUGAAAGAAAAUGGCUUUCCAAAUGCAGAAAUUUCUAUGUUCACACAACCAAGAAGUAUAAAAGGGAUGGGAUGUUCCAAAAUAUACUGGACCAUCAUAUCAAAAUUCUACAAUGAUCACAAGGGCAAGACUUAAAAUAAGAAAUUGAUGGAAUGUUCAAAGAAAUGGAAAGGUUUAUUAAUCCUAAGAUGUGAUAACCUGAAGGCUGGUCUUUAACAAUUUUAAUUCCAUAAAGAACCAAAUCAUUACAUUCCUAAAGUGUUGUGUGAAGAAAAAGGAGGCAUCCGGGCAUAUAUGCAUGAUAUACACUCACUCCUUUCACUCUUGGCCCUUGCCUUAAAAUAGUUUUCUGAUGAGGCAACUUCUGCAGUUUUCCAAGUUUAAGAUCUGGUGUAUUAGAUUUACCUCGUGACCGAAAAGAAGCAAAAAAAAAAAAAAAAAAAAAAGACAGAGAGAGAAAGUCCCGGGCAAAAAUUCAUCUUUAGCCUUGUCCAAGGAGCAAAAGAUAGAAGUGAGCGCAGGAAGAUUUCUCGAAGAAAAAGAACCCCAAGUACGCAUGGGAUGGGAAUAAAAAAGAAGCCCAGGUACACCUGCGUACGAGUACGGAGCAUCAAAGAAGGUACCCUGGGAAUAACCCAACAAUGUAACGGUUAUCGCAUAAUUAAUAUUGGCAACUAGUCUAUCGAUUGAGCUUUUGGGCUUUUGGAUAUAUGGAAAUAUGGAAAUGGAUCACCUGCUCCUACUACACUUCCCGAGAAAGAUGCCAUAUCCAACUCUACACGUGGCUCCCUUACAAACUCAAGAUUCUAGUUCAAUCUUCCUGAUUAAAGGUUGGCUCGCUUUUCUUUCUUUGUAUGUAUCAAAUUAUAUAUCUAUUUUCAUUUUUUAAAGAUUAGUUAAUUUGUUAUUAUAUUAACAUUCUCAUAUUUAAUGUACACAGUUAUUAGAAAUUUUUUAAUAUAUUAGUUGCCUUCUAAUGGCUCCAAAUUGAAAAGUUUGAUUGUUUAGUAAUUUUAUUCUUGCUCUUCAUUUUAGUCAAACAUGUAACAUUAAUUAGAUUAACUCUUGUAUUGAAAAACUAAAUUACUCUUUAAGUUCCAAGAACAAUAUAGUAAUGAAUGAUCUAAUAUUAAUAAGGGGUAUUUUGAGGAAAGUAUGAACAAAAAAUAAGAGAGCUUUAAGACGGAUGUAAGUUUUUAGAAUGUAAGUUAAAAGAUUUGAUCCCUUGACUUAUAUGUAAGCUUGGAUUUUUUAAAUCGUAAGCCAAAAGAUUUGAUCCCUUAACUCAUAACCAAGUAGAGCCUUAAAACUCUCUUGGUAGCCAACUACUCUAAGCAUAGUUGGUUGAGAGAAAUGACAGUAGUUUGUUUCCAAAGCUUUUGUGCUUGUGAUGAAAACUAGUACUAACUCUUUUUAUUAGUACAAACUUAAUGGUGUUUCAAAAUGUGGUUAAUUUCACUUUGCAUCCAUCAGUUAUUAUUUCUAUUUUGGUUCUUAAAAUUUAAAGUUUGAUACUUUAGUUCUUUAAUUAUAAAAUCUGUCCCAUUUUAGUUCAUGAAUAUAAAAUCUAUUAUACUUUGAUCUCCAGAAUUUAAAAUUUACCCCCACUUUAGUUUGUAAAAUAUAAAAGUUAUAAACUAAAAUAGUGAAAGAUUUUAUGUUAUGGGGAUUAAAGUAUGAUGGGUCUUAUACUUUAGAAACUAAAUUGGAAUAAUUUAUAUAUUUUAAGAAUUAAAGAAUCCUUUUUUAAAAUCUAAAGAUCAAAGUAGGAAUGGGAGUAAAAUUGAAUAGUAUGAAGUGAAAUUAGCCAUUUCAAAAUACCUUACCAACUGUUUUCCAACAAAAGAGCAAGCAUACAUGUGUGAAAGAGUAUGCCUACAAGCAAAAGGAAAGAAGAGUCAUAUGUAAUGUGUGGAAAAUAAAAAAUAUGUGUAAAUGUAUAGAUAGCAUAUGUGAUCAUUAGUGCUAUUUCUAUAUUUAUGUCAAGUGUCCUAUUUAUUUAACUUUGUAUGUGCAUACUAUUUAUUUAAGUUUCUUUUACCUUCAUAUGUAAGUGAUAUUGACACCAGAUUUUACAUCGGGUAGUGGCGUAGAAAAUCCCAAAUUAUCUUAGACGCGACGUAUCGCAUCCAUGAAUGGGUACUAAAAGAAUCUUUUAGUGAGUAGUUACUAGCCCCUUAUAACGUCAACAUCCUGCAGCUGCACCCUUUUUAUCUGCAGAUGGUUGAGCUUCACUUAUUAAUUUGUUUUUUUUUUUUGAAAGUAUUAAUUAGUCAUUAAACUUGCAGAAGAUCUGUGUGAUCCCUCACCCGUCUUUCAAGGACGAGACUUUUAUGCCAUCUGGGCAUCCCACUUAUUAGACAGUGCAUGUCUGCAUGGAGAUGUAAAUAAAGGUAUUUAAUGCAGAUGUCUGCAUGUCUGCAUGGCGGUGUAAAUAAACGGUAUUUAAUUUAACGGAUUCAAUUCAUAGAGUUGCCUACACUACUGCCCAAAAUUCAACAAAUCCAAUGAAAUCCAAAAUUCACAAUUUCCAAACAUUGGACGUUGAAAAUGGUUUCACGCAGUCAGCCAUUUAUUUAUUGCUGUCUCUUUGAGUGGAUUGUGGUGGAUAUAAAGAUGCCAAGGAUAAGGGGAUAGAGUAAAAAAUUACCACCUUUCCCCCUAGCUUCUAGUGGGCAAAGAUGAUGGGGUGCGUAAUUGCUAAAUUAAAUUUGUGCGAAUGUAUCAUAUCACAAAACGUGUUAUAUUACAUAAUUGAUAAAUGCAUAUAGUUAUAUAAUUUAAAUCAUUUGCGAGAAUACAUGUAACGCUCUGAAAAAUAAUUUAUGAAGUUAUAAAAGAGUGGAUUGAUGUAAUUUAACUAUCCACCUGCUUACAUCUGUGCAAAUGAUAUUUAAGAAACCUAAGAUAAUUUUUAUACACUAUUUGCACAUUUCUAGUGCCACUUCCUUUUUUUUUCUUUUUAUAAAAUAAAAUCGAGCCAAAAUAGCCUUAAGGGCUCUUAAAAAAAAAUAGAAUAACGAGAUCAACAUAGAAUUUUCCCGUGUUCGAUGUAAGCUAGACAAGUGGAAAGGAGGCCCAAAAAGACGACAAACAGGCGUCAGUCAGAAAACAAAGCAUGUGGCCCAGAUAGUGAGCCCAGGCUUUCCUAUGCCUUUGAAGUUCGAAGUUGGUGGGCAGCCCAAAUUUUAAGUUUCAAAAACGUCCCUCCAUUCGUCAACACACGCUCCACUCUCCUUUUUGUUUGUUUAGACUUGACAGGGCAGACGCUCCAAUCUCUCCGUCUCAUUCACCAAAUUCCAAUUCUACUUUCAUUCAAUUUUUUAAUCCAAAAGUGAUCCUCGGGGGACUGUAGAAGUAGGAAUGACUUAAAAAAAAAAAAGAGAGAAAGAAAGAAGCACAGGAUAAAAAGCACAAUAACAAAAUAAUCUGUUGCAAGAACGGAUCAUUUUGUCAUAAAAGGUCGUAUGUUUGAAUCUGGUUAUUGACAUGGGAAAUUUAUAGGUGAGUAAUCUAUCAGUACACUUAUAAGUGAUCCAUAAUUCUAGAGCAUGUCCUGACUGAUCAUCGAAAUUGAAUCCACCCAAACUUUUUUCUUACCAAAAGAAAGAGAGAACGAUGAUGCAUGAAUGUGAUAUUCUAUACUUCUCAUUUGUUAAAACAUUUGUUAAUUUUGUUUUCUUGACAUACCGGUUUGCUAGAUUGUUGUCAUAGUUACCGACUAUCUCUACCAUAUCUAAAAGAAGAAAAUGUUUUUAAUAAAUAAUGUAAAAGGAAAUAUCAACAAGUUUUUUGCAGCCCUAAAAUUGAGAGAUAAACCCUGGUUGGAUGCUACAAAAUUUACCAAUAAAAGGGGAAAAUAAAAUUUCAACGCCAUAAAAACUUACUACUAUUAUGUUAUAUCCUGCCCGAAUCGGCAAAUCAUCUCAAACUUUUAGUAUACUAGCAUGUUUUAGCAUUAAGCUAGCUUAACUGUGUGUGUUAAGAAAGAAGAACUUUCAAUCAUAGCUUUCCAUACAUUUUUAGCAUAUUCCGCCAUUGUCCCCUGCAAUCCCUUUCAAAUUGUUAUCUAGCCCUUUCACCCCAUAGUUAAUUAGAUAUUGGGCUGAGAAAAACAUAUGAACAAAAUCAAAAUAAACUAUUUAAACUCAUGAAAAACUGCAACACUGACACAUAUGUGGCAAAAACAAAUCUUCAUGAGAUUUGCUCUUAUAUCAUGAAUGAACUUACAAUUUUGGAAUGACUAAAAUGUAACCCACAAAUUUAUUAUGCAUGAGGAACCUAAUUAAAAUUUUAUUGAUAUAAAAGUCAACUAAUUCAUAAUGUUGUUGUAAUAAAAACUCAAAUUUGUACUUCAGAAAUUCUCUCUUGAAAAAAUUAAUCAAGUUUAAUAGACCUAAGAUUAUGAAUCACCAUGUGUUGAUACUAAGUCUAGAAAAAUAGGGGAAAAAUGGACAAGCAAAAUAAAAAAUGAAAACCAGGAGAAAGGGAGAAAAAAAAGAGACAAAUAGGAAAAAAGUAAUAUGGGAGAACAUUUUUUUUUGUUGAAAUAUUAACAUUGCUACGUUUUUUUGAAACACUUGUUAAUAUUUGAAAUAUAACAUUUUUUUUUAAACAUGGGAGAACAUAUUUUUGAAGUAACAAGGGAGAACAUUUUUUGAACAUUCCAAACAAGACCCUUUUGAAUACAUUUCGUAAUCACCUUGUUACGUAUAUAUAUCAAAUCGCUACAGUAAUUUUCUACAAAAAAAUCUAAAAAAUACAAUUCAAACAAGGCCUUAGUUCCCCAUUUAUAACAUAGGAGAACUAAUAUGAGGUGAAAAAAGAAAUACAAACAAAGUACAGGGAACAAUCAUAAAUAUUUUUAAGUACAAGGUCACCUGCUUGCGGCAAAACAACUUACAAUUUCGUUUACAUUUUUUUGGGGUUUAAACUUUGAAUUGAAAUACGGUCACGCUCCUUCCAAAAAAACAAUACGGUCACGCCAAGGUUGAGAGAGAGAGAGAGAGAGAGAGAGAGAGAGAUUAAAAGAGAUCAGGAGAGGCCUCAGACAACUCAGGCAAGAAGGAGGCAACCCCGCCACCUGUAUCGGUUACUCUACUUGUAAGAUAAAUUAUUCUCUUAGUCAUCCAUUUUUUCUUUCUUCAUAAUUUCUAUUUUUUUUAAGUUUCAAAUUCCACGAAUCUCUUUCGUUCAAUCGUAUUGAUAACCGUCAGACAUGCAUGUAAAGCUCAAAUUUUAUCUCUAACGACGUUAAAACCUAUGAAUUAAUUUAAUUUUUCAUUUUCAUCCCAUCUGGGUCACCCCUUAUAUUGAUGCUGGUAACCUUUGGACCUUCCAUUUCUUGAAUUAUUCUUGUUAGUUUAAUUUUCUUGAAAGUAAUUAUUUGUGGGCUUUUCUGUAAAAAUAUUGGAAUUUUUGGCUUUGGUUUUAUAUUGGUUAUUAUUGUUUAUGUUCAUCAGGGGUUUUGGUGAAAUUUUGAUUUCAUCGUUUUUUCUUGGUUUGAAUUUUGUAGAUUUUGUUGAGUAGAAGAUGUUAUCCAAGGUGGAUGCUAGAAGGAAAGUAGGUGAGGAUUCGGGGGCGGGUAAGUUGUUAAAUGAUAUUGAAACCAUUAGUAAAGCCUUGUAUUUGGAUAAAACUCGGCCUAGAAGUUUGCUUUCCACUGUUAGUAGUCGAUCUAAAUCAGUUGGAAAAAUCCCAUUGCCUGAGCCAAAAUCCAAGAGUAAUAAGGAUGAUAAGAAGGAUACAGUCGACAAGGAUAAGAAGUCUAUUUGGAGUUGGAAGGGUUUAAGGUCUUUAACUAACGUCCGAAGCCGUAGAUUUAACUGUUGUUUUUCUCUUCAAGUACAUUCAAUUGAAGGGUUGCCGGUAUUUUUUGAUGACCUUAGUCUUCUUGUCCAUUGGAAGAGGCGGGAUGGCGAGUUGAUGACUCGUCCUGUUAUGGUUUUUCAAGGGGUAGCUGAGUUUGAGGAACAGUUGACACAUUCGUGCUUGGUAUAUGGUAGUAGGAGUGGUCCUCAUCACUCAGCUAAGUAUGAGGCCAAAUAUUUCUUGUUGUAUGCUUCGGUUUAUGGCUAUCCAGAGCAAGAUUUAGGAAAGCAUCGGGUUGAUCUCACGAGGCUGCUUCCUCUGACACUGGAGGAGUUAGAGGAGGAGAAGAGCUCAGGGAAGUGGACAACUAGUUUUAGAUUAUCAGGUAAGGCUAAAGGCGCACUAUUGAAUGUCAGCUUUGGGUAUGAAGUUAAUGGGGAAAAUAAGAGUAAGGAUGUAUCCGAGUUGCGGAGCUUAAGGCAGCAGAGCAUGAGCAAUUUGAAGCACUUGGAGCUAAAUGAUGGCCAUGAGUUGAACCGAUACGUCGAACGGGUAGCCUUCCUGCAAGGUCUUCAACCUCAGAGAAAUCUGUUGAAGAUAUAAAGGAUCUUCAUGAGGUUUUGCCCAUAUCAAAUUCAGAUUUAUCAGAUUCAAUAUCAGUUCUGUAUCAGAAACUUGAUGAAGAGAAAUUAAAUGUUCCAUUUGCACCUGUUAAACCAGAAGUUAAUGUUUUUCCUGAUCCUGUUGAGCUUGUAAAGCCAGAUACCCAUUCCUCAUCUGAUGCCUGUGUGGAUAAUGAUGAAAAUGAGUUCGAAGUUACUGAAGUCACUAUCACAGAUCAAGGGGCAGAAUUACCCUCUAAUGAACAGGAGAAAGCAAUAGAGGACACUGGGAAGCCUGCUCAUGAUUGUGCGGGAGAGGGUGCUCAAAGCAAUGGUGCUGAGGUAGUGCCUGUGGAAGAAACCCACCAUCAUUCUUCAGUUGGGGGUCAGGAAAGAGAGCUUUUGACAAGUGACUGCAAAUCUAGAGAGACUGAUGUCUCAGCCAAAGAAUCAUUGUUGAAAGAAUUGGAGUCAGCGUUGAGCAAUGUCUCAGAUUUAGGGAAAGAAGGAUUAGAUUCGCAAGACGAAAGUGAAUGUUCAACUCCAGGGAAUCACCUGGAGCUUCAAUCUAGUCAUAGAGAGCUUAGGAAGGGAAAGUCACUCAGUUUGGAUGAUGUUGCUGAAACUGUAGCUAUUGAUUUUCUGGAUAUGCUAGGUGUGCAUAGUCCAGUUGGCUUGAGUUCUGAAAGUGAGCCUGAAUCCCCAAGAGAGCGCGCCUGCUGAGGCAAUUUGAGAAGGAUACUCUAGCCAGUGGGUGUUCCUUAUUUAAUUUUGGUAUCGAUGAGGACGAACCAGAGGUCUGUUAUGAUGCUGCAACCGAGUCAGAGUGGGGUAUGUUUUGCAAGAAUUUUGAUCCCUAUCCGAUGGUACAUACUUCUGAAGAGAUGCCUAAGAUAGAAGGAGAGGCAACGAGAAAUAAAACAAGAGCCUCUGUGUUAGAGGACUUGGAGACAGAAGCUCUAAUGCGUGAGUGGGGCAUGAAUGAAAAAGCCUUUCAACAUUCUCCACCUAAUAGCUCUGGGGGUUUGGAAGUCCAAUUGAUCUGCCUCCUGAAAUUCCUCAUCAGCUUCCUAACCUUGGGGAGGGCUUAGGCCCUUUUGUUGAGACUAAAGAUGGAGGAUUUUUGCGCUCAAUGAAUCCUGUGCUUUUCAGCAAUGCUAAGAGUGGAGGAAGCUUGAUUAUGCAAGUGUCUAGUCCAGUGGUGAUGCCUGCAGAAAUGGGAUCUGGUGUCAUGGACAUACUUCAGCAUCUGGCCUCUGUUGGAAUUGAAAAGCUCUCAAUGCAGGCAAAUAAACUGAUGCCUUUGGAAGAUAUUACUGGAAUGACAAUGCAACAAAUAGCAUGGGAAGCUGCACCAAGUUUGAAUGGACCUGAGAGGUUUGUCACUCAUAUUGAAGUACCUUUGAAGUUUGAAAUGUUUUACUAUAUACAUAAAUAUGCAUGUUUUUUUUUUUUUUUUAAAUUUAAUUCUGAGAAUAUUCAAUGCAAUUGAUCGAUUUUUUUUCCUCCAGUCAAGAUUUGCUGCAGCAAGAAUCUGGAUUUGGACAAAGCAUAUCUGGUGAGCAUGGAAAUAUCAAAGCAAAAACAUCCGGACCAAGGGUUGGUAAGUCUGAGGUAAAUCCUGUUGGCAACCAGAUGGACAUGGAGUAUGUCUCCUUAGAAGAUCUUGCUCCUUUGGCCAUGGAUAAAAUCGAAGCCCUUGCAGUUGAAGGGUUGAGAAUACAAUCUGGCUUGUCAGAUCAGGAUGCUCCGUUAAACAUCAAUGCCCAACCGAUACGUGAAUUUUCGGCCUUUGAGGGGAAGAGGGGCAGUUCUAGUGGGUCCUUAGGUCUGGAGGGAGCUGGUGGGUUACAACUGUUGGACAUUAAAGACAAUGGUGGUGAUGUUGAUGGAUUGAUGGGCUUAUCUCUAACUCUAGAUGAAUGGAUGAAGCUGGACUCUGGUGAGAUUGAUGAUGGGGAUAAUAUCAGUGAGCAAACGUCUAAAUUACUUGCAGCUCACCAUGCCACAGGCUUGGACGUGUUUCGCGGAAGGUCAAAGGCGGACAAGAGAAGGGGAAAGGGUCGAAAUUGUGGUUUGCUGGGGAACAAUUUUACUGUUGCAUUGAUGGUGCAGCUACGUGAUCCUUUAAGGAAUUAUGAGCCAGUUGGUACGCCUAUGCUGGCACUCAUCCAGGUGGAGAGAGUGUUUCUUCCACCAAAACCAAGAAUAUACUGCACAGUUUCCCUAGCAAGGGACACUAGUGAAGAAGAUGAUGAGACUCUGCCUGUCAAAAAAGAGGACAUCAGCGAGGAGCCUAAGGAAGAAAAAGUCCUUGAAGAGGAGCAAAUUCCUCAGUUCAAAAUCACUGAAGUACAUGUUGCAGGUCUAAAGACUGAGCCUGGUAAAAAGAAGCUAUGGGGCUCCAACACCCAACAGCAGUCUGGUUCUCGUUGGUUACUUGCCAAUGGAAUGGGGAAGAAGAAUAAACAUCCACUGAUGAAGUCAAAGGCAGGUGCGAAAUCGUCAUUGCCAGUGCCUUCUCAGGAGACAACUACAGUGCAACCUGGCGAGACUUUGUGGAGCAUCUCUUCUCGAGUUCAUGGCACAGGGGCCAAAUGGAAGGAACUGGCUGCACUUAAUCCUCAUAUUCGUAAUCCCAAUAUCAUUUUUCCAAAUGAAACCAUCAGGCUGCGCUAGAAAGAAGGGAUUUGCAUCUAUGUAAGAAGGACGAAUACAGGACUAAAUCAAAGGAUCGUAUAUCUGGGUGACACAAGUUCAAGCUAUUCUGAACUUGGCAACAUUGUGUAAAUGUGCAGCUGGUGCCAGCUUUUGUUUUGACUUGUGACAGGAGCAAUCAAACACCAGACACACUCUUUGACUGUUGAUGGUAAAAAUUUCCCCUGUAUGUGCUGUGGAUGAGUUUAAUUAACCAAUACAAGUUCCUGCAGAAGUACAGGUGGUUUUGCGUGUGUUUUCACCUCAUUUGUACAUGUAGAAGUGUUGCAAUCAAGAUGUGCAAUGAUAUUGGUCUUUUCUGGGGAAAACGCUCAUCUUUUUCAUCUGGUUGGAAAUAUACAGUUCAGCUCUGUUUUAUUUUGUUUCAUUUGGUGCUGUGUAUCACUGACAUAUUAAGAAUCAGACUGAAAUUACAAUCAAUUUUGACCAAAACUGCACUUUUUGGCUAGAAUUCGGUAUAUAUCUGAUUGUUUAAUUUCGUAUCUUAUCUUCUCUCCCUUUGUUGUUCGUUCCAAAUAACUUGCUUCUCCAGUUUGCCAAUCUAAAUUUUGAAUCGGCAUCCCGCUUCCAAUUUGCAGGCAACAUAAUCAAGUAAAGAAUCAGCUCUCAAAACCCACCGAAAGUAGGCAUAGCAAAGGCACAUUUUCCUGUAUGGACUGACAUUUUUUGCUAGUCCUUUAUGUUCCGUUAAAUCUUAGAAGUCAUAAUUCUUAACAAGGGCCUUACUACUUGUUCAUAAUCGCGCUCUCUGGCUGUUCAGGUGUACAUCUUGAGAUAGGGCUGGAUUAUUUGUGAUUGAGUAUUUUUACAAUGCAGUGUUCUAGCACUGUCCUUCCGCUGAAAGUAAAAGUGUUCUUUAAGAGAAAAUUACAGUUUUGGUCUCAAAUAUUAUGAGUCAUGGAGUUUUUAAAGUUUGGACGAAAGUAAAUAUAAUCUCAAACGUUUCAAUUUCUAAUCAUAUUUAGUCUCACUGACUAAUUUUUAUCAAUUACCACCAAAUCAGGUCACGCGCUAUCACGUGUCGACAACCAAUUGUUUAAAACAUUAAAAAAAUGAAAAAUAUUGUUAGCCAUAAUUUAUAGUAAGAAGGGUUUAAUUACUCACAUGUUGAUUACAGUACGUAAUUACUCUUUACUGUAGAAUACAAAAAUUUUGCUGACAAAAAAAUGGUUGAAGACUAAUUACUCACAUGAUAUAUAAAAAAAAUACUCACGUGAUCGAAAUAUGAGUAAUUAGUCAUCUUUUAUUGCAAAAUUAUAGCUAGCAAUACUUCAUCAAUUUUUUUUUUUUUUUUUUCAAAAAAUUGGUUUCUGACGUGUGACUUGAUUUCGGUAGUAAUUGGAAAAAAUCGAUCAUUAGAACUAGAGAUGCGUAGAAAUUGAAACAUUUAGGACUACAUUUGCUUUCAUUAACCCCGAAUCAACAGCGUUCCAGGUUGACUAUUGACCUAGCCAACUAAUAGAGUCUAUCUUGGAAAACUUUGAUAGUAGAAUAAAUUUCAGCCAUUACUUAGAAAGCAAGAAAAAUGAAGUCAAAGUCAAAGUCAAAAGCUGGUUGGAAUGCAUUUUUAGAAAUACUAGAGGAUAUUUAAGGCCUACCGUGCAAUUUUAAACUUAGUUUAGUCAGCUGUACUGGUCUGAAUCCGGCGAUCACUGGUUGACUUUCCGACUCUUGAACGUUUCUAUAUCGUAUUUUCUUAUGGGCGUAUUCGUAUCACUUCUAGAAGCUCGACUACCUCAAAACUCCAAGAUCGACAAUAACCAACCGGGCUUUCGUCCUUCUUUGCCACCUGAAACUUCAAGGAUGGUUGAACAAAAAUGCCGCAAAACGUUGAAUGAAUUAUUGCAGUUACUACUUUCUCAAUGCCCUCGGAGGAACCUAGUAACUCUUUUGUUCUGCAAAAUGUUGGAGAUUUUCAAUAUGAAAACAUGAGCGCUAUAUCCUCAUGGAAAUCCAAGAAAAUGACAACAUCCCAGUUUAGGCGGGCUGUGAAUUAACUAUUUCAGGUAACAAAACAAGGUUCAGGGAGCAGGCGGGCAUUUUCUCCAGUUGUUGUUCCCUAGAAUCUUUGCCAAACACAGAUUCUCAACAUAUCCAAGAAAUUAAUUACUGGUAUCAUGCUUACAAAAUUGAUGAUCUUAAUCCAUAUUCUCUACACGCUACUGUAUAGACACAGUAAUAUGAUCUAGUUGCUCCAAUCUUGAAUCGGUAUAUUCGAGCCAAAAAAUUACUGGUGGUAGUAUAGCAAGCAAGAUAAGAGGUAUGAUCAAGAGUUCAUUACAUCAUAGUAAUUCUUCAUCAUCCUCCUCAGCCAAAGAUGCUCUUUCCUUCUCCUUGAUGUAGCCAUAUUUUCUGAGAAUCCACAAAUUCAUCCGGGCUACAUUCCCAAGAAAAACAACACCCAUGAGUGACAACCAUGUCAAAACAGAUAUCUCAGUAACUUCUUUCAACAUUCUCUGAACACGCGUAGAUUUAGGUGACAUAUUCCGCAGAGUGAUAAAAUAAGUCCCAACUUGAGCUGUGAUCGCAAUCCACACGGUGAUCAUCUGAAACCACAUAUAUCGCCUUCUUCUGAGAGGUAAACCGCUAACAAGAAGGAGGAUUAUACUCAGAGAUGAAAGGAAAGCAACCGUGUUGAAGAUCAUAAAUAUGCCAUAAUCUUUGGCUGCCUUAUAAGCCAUCACCGAUGUCCCGGCAAUGUGAGAUUCCAGAACAGGAUUGCCCUUGUCAUCGGAUAUAUAAUCAUCCUGCCAAACUCCGCCUGGUGGCGUUAGGCAUGCUUGAAACGCUGUGGUUGCAAGCAAAGAUGCCACCACCAUCAAUGCACUUCUCUUACGACCGAGCCAAUCCGUGUGUUUGUGUUUUGGAGAUGGUUUCUGUGCACUACUGCUUGGCUUGGAGGACAAUUUUUUUGCAAUCUGAGGAAGCGUAUCUUGAAGCCCAUCAUCUGUGAUCAAAAGCAAAUCCUUUGCACCUAAUGCUCCAGCUUUUCUCAGUGAAUUUUCAAUAUCCAUAUCUCUCAAGUCUCUUGGGCUUUGAUUUAGAACAUCCAAAGCUGUGAUACCAUAUUUAUUUAAUGCAUUUACUUCAGCAGGAUACAUAGUGAGCAAAAGAUUUACAAUCUGCAAAAUUAAUUGGAAAAAAUGCUUGCAGUUAACAACUAGAAACCAGACACCCCACACUCUAAUUACUCAUAUUUGCUAGUUUCACAAAAUAAAAAGGCAGAAAGCAGGAACCUAGGAUCAUACAUAUCAGUGACAUCAUAACUAUCAUCAUUCGCAACUAAAAAUGAAUUUCAACUUCCAAAGAAAAAGUUCUCUCUUUUUCCGAGCCAAAGUCCAACAUUUUGUGAAUUGACAAAUGAAAGAGGCCUUUCCUCAGGAUUAAAUAUACAGAACGAAAAACUGCUAGAUCAAUCUUGUAGAGAAAUACUAAGGUUGUGUUUGGAUUGCAUUUUCCGUCAUUUUUCAUGGAAAAAUUACUGUAGCGAUUUGAUAUAUGUGAGGGAAAAAGGUGAUAGGGAAAUGUGAUCACGGAAAACGAUAAUAUUUUCCGACGAAAACCUUCAAUCCAAGCAAGGCCUAAUACUACAUCCAGCAAGUAAAGUUCAGCAAUUUAAAGGAGAGAGGGAAAAAGUACCACAGUUUAAAAGUUUACCUCAAAUUGCUUUUUGGUGACAGCAGUAUGCAAGAUGGUGUUCCCAUCAGAAUCCCUCCAAUUAACCAAUUCGCUAUCUUUCUUAACAGACUCAGUAGCCAGCAACUUCAACACCUCCAACCUAAAGUACUUGACACAAAGGUGCAAUACCGUCUCCCCGCGGUCAGUCAACACUCGGUCAACUCGGGCUUAACUCGGACCAACUCAGCCACUACCGUAACUCUCCCUUUAGCCACAGCAACAUGCAGAGCAGUCCUCCCCUCCAAAUUCCUCACCGAACCCACCUGGGAAUCUGCUUUGAGGAGCUCCUUGACGACCUCAACAUGCCCUUUUGCUGCUGCCAAGUGCAGGGGAGAGCAGCAGGAGGAAUCCAACUCGGAUGCUAACUCGGGCUUCGAGCUCAGCAGUUGUUUGACAAAAUUGACGUGGCCUAAGAUUGAUGCGGUGUGCAAGGGAGUCUCUGAUACGCAGGAAACAAUAGUCUUGUCUAGAAUUAGCGGAUCUUCCCGGAGAAGUUGAAGCAAGGAUUCCACAUUUCCCUCUGCUGCUGCUUCUGAUAGCCUUUUUUCCAUACUUCUUCAGUUUGCGACUUCUGUACAUACUGCGUGAUACUCCCUAUCAUUUAUCAUAUAACAAUCUCCCUGUUUAAAGAUAUAUGCCAUCUUUUUCUGUGGACAUUUUUUUUCCUUUAUUUUGGGGAUAAAUUUGUGUCGACGGAGUCAAGAUUGGAUACUAAAAAAUGGGUUUUGAAUUCUCACAAAUUCUAAUUAACGUUACAUUUACGGAAAUUGGGAAGGUACCUAGUUUGACUGGCUAAGUUUUUAAGGCAGGUGGGGCAGCAGCUGAUCGACUGAAGGCGGAGAAUUAUGCAAAUGAGAAAACUAGCUGUUGCCAAACUGAAGCUUCCGUGCCUGUUUGACUUCAGGUGUAGGGAACUAACGGUUAAAAAAGAAAAAAAAAAAAACUGACGUUUUGUUGCUUUCAUAUUCUCCAUCAGGGUGAUUUAUCCAAAAAAAAUAAAAAUAAAAAUUCAUAAGUAGCUAAAAGAAUCUCAUCGGUUUUUCUAUUUUUUCAUUAUUAUGGAGGUAAAAGCAUUAUAUUGUUUAUUUUCUUCGACGAGUAAUCGCAAAUUUAACCUAUAUUUUGACUGUUUGUUUCCUUGUUGGUGGUCAAUCAUCGAUGGAGUUAUAGUUGCAAGUAAAGCUGUUAAUCGAGCCGAGUAUUUGGCUGUCGAGCUCGACUCGAGUUGAAUUCGAGCCGAGCUCGACUCGAGCUCGUUAGGAAAACGAGUUUUAAAAUGUGUUUGAACUCAGCUCAUUAAAUGUACAUGUGGCUCGAGCUCGACUGUUUAUCACAAACGAGUCGAGUUUCACGAGCUCGAACUCGAGCUCGUGCAAAUUAAAUCUAAAAUUUUUAAUUUUUAUAAUUUUGAUUUCUAAAAUGAUAAAUAUGCCCUUCAUUAACGAGUUCUAACGAGCUACUCGAGUAUCAAACGAGCCGAGUAAGCUCGGCUCGUUAACUAAACGAGCAUGUUUCAAGCUCGAGCUCGACUGUUAACCAAAAUUAACGAGCCGAGCUUGAGCCUAACGAGUCGAGCUCUAACGAGCUUUCGUGCUACUCGAUUGACUUAACAGCUCUAGUUGUAAGGGGAGCCUUGUUUAAUUCUUCUUAUGAAUGCAUCAAAGGAUGGAUGGAUACCAUGGAGAAGGAGAAAAUGAUAAUGGUGGGGUAAAUUUGAUUAAAGGUCUAUCAAACUAUCCACCCUUUCAAGUGUUAUAUUUUGAGAAAUAUAAAAUUAAUUUAAAAAAAUAUAUAUAUAUAUAUAUAUAAAUGUAAAUAAAUACAAUAAUUGUUAAUGUGUAUAUACAUGAUAAAUUGAUUGAAAUUUAUGUCCAUUAACGAGUGCUUAUUGAUCAUCCGUUCAAAAGAUUCAUUGAUUAACCUUAAUCACUAGAUUACAAGUUUAAUGAUGCAUGUUAUUCGUUGUUUGGCACUUUGGUCCGUACUUUGUUUCAAAUAAUUUGCAAUAGCCUUUUUUUUUAAUAAAUUUUACAUGACUAUUAACAAGAGAAUUAGUUUCUGGCUUCUCUUCUGUAUUAUUUUUUCCCUUGUUUAUCUAGUUUGCUUUGGGGAAGUUGAAUUAAAUAUCUGAGACAAAUAACCUUUGAGAGUUUUCACAAGAGGCAGGCCAAGGAAUUUUUUGGUCGAAUCCAAUUAAAUAUUUGAUUUCCAAGACAGAGAAUGAUUAGUGGAUUUUACUGAUUUGGAAUCUCAAAUUACCACCGGAGAAUUAUAGCAGAGUUUUCACAAGGGCAUUGUACUCUGAUCUGUUUUUUUAAGUUGUCGAUCGCAUAUGAAACAAAUUAAUGUUGUGGAAUCAUAAGCAUAAGCACAAUUGAAGAGAUUAUACUACUUUCGACUAGGCAUCAAGAUUCAAAACUGAUUUCGAAUUCAUAUCAGGAUUAAAAUGUGAAGGAAUUAAGGAGUUCGAAAACAAGAGAGAAAGUGUGAGUCUCUAUUAUAAAACUUGCAGAAUCACAACCUGCAAAAUUUCAUAGCAUCACCAUUAAUCAAGGAAGCUUCCCCUAGUUCCCUAAAAUGAUAAAAUCUCUACAUAAUUAAAUCAGGGUCACAUCAAAGGUGUCCAAGAGUUUAAGCUAGAAAAUAUUACCCAGAAACAAGUUUAAACAAGAUUAUGACACUAACACAGAGACAUUUCCGUCACGCUUAGGUAAUGACCAGCCAGCUAGAUGGUUAGCUACAAUCUAAAAUUGGGGCAAUUACAGAACCUGAGACCCAACACCACACCUUCACAUAAAAUAUAUCAAGGACGCGAUCUUUGUUGCUGCAAGAUGGGCAUUUAUACUGCUUGAUAUGCUCAGCCCGCGCAGGAGUGAUCUUGACACACUUGCCAUGGAACCACCUUUCACACACAUCACAACAGAUCCAAAAUUGAUCUGAGGUAUAGUGCUCCCCACAUGCUCCACACAAUGUCUCCCCAUGAUCCUCAUCUUCUUCUUCAUCUACUAAGCCUUCAUCCUCGUCCUUUUCUUGGACCUCUGAGUACUUGCUCUGUGAUUGAAACCAAAUAAUUAACUCGUAUUGGCAAAAACUGCUAUAACAGACAGUAAGACAAAAUCUAUUCGAGAAAAGCUGCUGUCAAAAUCUUACAAUUACUGGGAAAAUGCUUAAUAGAGAAUCCAACCAAUUUUACUAGAAAGAAAGUACAGACCCCGACUCCAACACCCUAUGCCGUAACAAUUGACAGAAUACACCAAAUAAUGAAUAAAACUUGAAAGAUCAUGCUCAAGAGAAAGCUCAAAGCAACUUGCAAGUAAAACACAUUUGAAGCAAAUAAGAGCUGCCUAAAAAUUUCCUCAACCUAGAUAUCAGAGCAAUAGAACCUUUAAGGCAUCAUCUAUGACAUAUGGCAGACUCAGCAUAAUUAAUCCUCCAAGGCUCAUUCUCUCUAAAACUCCUCUAGCCAUUUUGACAUGAUCAGACCACGGAACAUCACAUAAUGAAUAAUCUUCUGAUAGAACCAAAUUAGAUGCUUGUACCGGUUUUGAGUUUGACUUGGAUUUGCUGCUGCUAUGAUUUGAGGCAGAUGAUUUCUCUUGAAGUUCCUUCUUGGCAGCUCCAGUUACAACUUCAAAAAUUGUUGGGAGAUCAUUUAUCAUACCAAAGAGCCGUUUCCUGAAUCACAAAGCCGAAGAAGUUAAUGAAACCGCAUCCAACCAAUACAAAACAUAAACUAAUCAACUUGGUUUCAAUUUGAUGCAUCCACAGAAAUCAACAACAAUUGCUGGAAGUAAACUAGCAAGUCUGGUAUUUAUUUACCAUCGUCUUAACUGCCUACUUCCAGACCACUUUAAACUCUGUUAGAAUGAGCAUAUUUUCACACCAUGUGCGACCUAAAAUACACUAUUGAAAGAAGUAUCACAAUUAUGUUACACAAUGAUGGUCAGGACUAAUAUGUGGCCAAGGUCCAAGAUGUAACCCACUGGUGUAUGAAUGCCUUGCUGAAGACAACGGAGAGGACCAUUCAUCUGUUAAUCUCAGCAUCAAGGAGUUAAAUGUUACAGUUACCCCGCCUUAAGAAUACCCCACUGAAGUGCUAAACAUUAGUUAAAAGUAAUAUUUUUGUCAGUCCUGUUCAAGGGAGUCUUUACUAGGCAUGAGGCUGCCCUUUUUACAUGCUGGCCAGCAGAAAAAAAAAAAAAACCAUAACCUCAGGUUCCACACUAUUUCACAACUGCCUCCAGAUGUAAACGUAGCUCCAAAAAGGUAAAAAACUAAAUAAAUAGUUUGUCAAAUACCAACAACCACCAAAUAACAAAGGCUGAGUUCUGAAUUUAUAGAAAGAAACUUAAAAUUCAGUCUAAUUUCCCAUGCAACAUUAGCACUUCAAGUUUGAUACAAAAUUUAUUGUUUUAGUCACAUUUUAUUUCAAACGAAACUGACUGAGAGCAAAAAAGAAACAAGGAUGCUGAACAGGCAAAAGCGGAAAAGUAUCAUCACUUAGCUUCACAUGUUACCUGUCAGCUUUAUCAAAACCAAAUCUGGCCCCAAAAUAGAAGGCAACAGCAAAUAGCCACGCAUCACUGUGCACAGCAACAAGGGCCAACCAGUCCUUUUCUUGCAUUCCAUCCCUGGCAAAAUUUAUCCCUAAUGCAGGCUCAGGAAGCUCUGGAGGCACCUCUUCAGCAGGCAAAUUAACUUCCCACUGCUCAUUAGGAAAACCAUAAAGGCAAAGAUUUUCCUUCUCUGUAAGGUUUAAGAACUCUCAAAUUAUGCAGCAAUCAAGAGAUAUACUAGCAUCUUCAGUCUUCUUUAUUACUAUAAUGUACAAGGAACUCAUAUUAUAUGACCAAGCAGCUGACAAGUACACUUACACUUAGAGAGAGAGAGAGAGAAGACAAAUACAAAAAAUGUAGGAUAGCACAUCUCUGCUUCCAAGGACAUGAUGAGAAAGAUUACAUGUCAUUAGCUUGUGAAAAUCGUCAAGAUGUCCUCAAGACCAAGCUCAGCUGGUAGGAAAAUUAAAUGGCAACCUUCAACUCUAAAGCCUUUCCCUUUCCCCUUCCCCCUAGUAAGGCUUUUUAUUCUCCCUAAAUUGAUUGAAAAAAAAUAAAAUAAAAUCAACAAGACAACCUUCACUAACUUUUGGCAUACACCACAGCAAGAAAACCAUUUUAUUAGUUAUUCCUUACAGGACAUUAGUCCUCUAAGCAAGAAAAACUAUUAUGAAAAAGUCAAACCAGAAUUAUAUGUCAGAUAAUAGAAACUUGGCAUUACUGUCCAUCAAAAAUUCAAAAGUCAUCCAAUCCAAUUACUCCAAUGGUAUGAAUAGAAUCAAGCAUUCAGAAAAGCCAGGGCACACUUACAAGUGUUCCACUGUUCCUUAAAUUGGAUUUAAGUGUGUCUAGAAUUUCAUAUUAGAUGAAUUAACACUCCAUAUACAUAGAAACGAAAAAUACACCUACAGUAAUCUAACUAGUAUUGCAAUAUGACAUGUUGAAGUAUGAAAGGGGAGGACUUUUCUGAGAACUAAGGCGUUCAAUUAGAAGGCAAAGAAAUGGAAAGAUGAACAUCACAGUAAUCAACUUUCAUCCUCAAAAAAUAAUAAGAUGAGAAGAGCAGUAAACUUCUUUUGCACUCUUUUAGUUCAGUACGAGGAUAAGAUCAAGAAAUAUCAAUAGAGGGCCAAAGUGAACAGUACACACAAGACUAACUUUCUAAUCCUAAGGUAUGACUGGCACCAGUCUAUGACAACCAAACUAAAUAUACGUGUAAGAUGAUAUGACGUACUUAAUCAGUCAUCACCAUCAUCUAUUUCAGUCCUCCGCAAAUAACAAAGCUAUCUUGCUUUCCAGCGCCUUUUCAUAUUCUCUAAAAAGCCAUACCACUACAAGAUAGCUGUAUUUGAAAGGGAACUGAAACCUUUUAGAGUUUCUAAAGCACUUUGUAUGUAACACUAGGUUAAGUGUAAACUAUAAUAUGUCUGGCUAUAGAACUUUAAUUUAAUAAAGAUGAAUUAACAGGUUUUAAAAGACAACAAAUUGGAGAGUCAGAAAGAAAAGUACAAAAUUAUGGUGAGAGCUCUUAUUGGAGCAUAAGUGUCAAACAUUUGAUACAAAUAAAGCGAAAUUACUCAUUAGGCAUCCGAAUGGUAUGCUAAUGACAAUGCAACAGCCAUUUGUUAACGUCCAUUGGACCAAGCAAGAAUUCUAUUAGGCCACAAGACCCUCCUCCUUCCAGAAACAGCCAAUACACAAUCGCUUUGCUCAAUAAACUAUCAAACUUGGAAAAAAGAAGACUUAGAAAAGCAAACUAAUGCUGCUAAUCACGAUGAAAGAAUGCCGGAAAAGAUAACGCAAAUCGUAUCAAAAUUGAAUUCCACAUGGGCCAGAGUUUCACAAUAAAACCAUAGAAUCCAUCAAGCUAUUUAAAAAAAAAAAAAGGCUUUACGCAACAGCGAGGUUCACAAGAGAGAAAGUGCAAUCUGACAAGUAAGAUGAUGAGUAGAAAAAAAAAGUAAUUACUCAGUAGCAUUAAAACACAGAACUCCAACCACAAAGUCAUAGAAGAGCAGAAAUACAAAGAAAUGGAAAAGAAACAAGCAAACAAAAAAUUAAUGGGUAAAAUGGAGAAACAGAAGACUGUAAUUUUCUGAUCAAAAUGAAGGCAGAAAUAAAGAGAAUGCAACUGCAGAGCGAGUAAUGUCAACAACCAGGACAAAAUUACUACUGUAUGCAAGCCCGUGUACCAGGAAAAACGAAAUGAAAGGGAGCAUUAAUUAGUACUACAAGACACGUAGGAAUAAUAAACGUUGCAAGAUAAGAAAAGAAGAGAAAAGCAAAACUAACCAGGAUCGCAAAGCUGGUAAAAAACUUCAACCUCUGCCAAAAAUGCCAACAAAACCACGUUAUGAUGCGAAAAUCCAAAACCCUAGUGCUUCAAAAUGCAAUUGGAAACGAAGCAACGAAAACUUCGAACCACAGAAGAAAGAAACAAAAAAAAAAAAAAAAGGCUCGCAAGUCGCAAGGACAUAAACAGGGGAAGAAGUGAAUGGGAAAUUGCAGAAGAAGUACCUUUAGUGAGAGCUUUGAUCAUGCCAGCACGACGCCCUUUGAAAUCUCUGAAAACUUCUUCCACUGUUCGAGGAUUAUAGCCUCCUCCUCCUCCGUCCAUUAGAGCUGGCUUUUAGUUUUUUACACGCAGUCAGUCCCACACACACUCACAGAGAAUGUAUGAAGCCCAAGAGUACUACUUGUUUUUUUCCUUUUUUUUUUUUUUUUUUUGGCUGCUUCUAUCUGACUCUUGCAGUAAACAACACGGAAAAGAAUAAAUAAAUAAUUACCAAAGGGAUAUAUUUAUUUAUGGAGUUGAUGAGUCUGAAAAAGGAGGAGUCUAAUCUGGAGUGGCCCAAAUAGGGGCCAGCGGGAGGGUUAUGUUUGGAAUUUUAAAUUAUUUCUUAGCGGCCCUGUGUCGCUUUCUCGUUCCCGGGAGCAGUUUUCAUCAUGGACCAUGGUCCCUCUCGCUCGCUCACUUGGAUUUCAUUUCACUCUUUAUUUUCUUACUACCAGUAAGUAAAAGAAUUGCGAAGGAGUUGGCUUUUUUAACUUUUUCCCUUUUUUUUUUUUUUGGUUGGGGAGGAGAGGUUCUGUGACCGUGGGAAGUCCUUUUGGGUACUUUUUUUGGGUGCUGACGGGGCAACCCGCCAAAUCCUCCGAGUUGUGAUCUGAGUUGGUGUUUGUGAGUUGUGAUUUUGGGAGUAUUUGAGGUCCGCGAUCGAUGGCAGCAUAUCACAGGUGCAAGUGAAGUGCCACGGAGAGAGAGAGAGAGGGGUCGGGGACUCGGGUGAUACUACUCAUAGCUUGCAGCUGCAGGGAUGGGAAUUGGUGGGAGAAAUGCUAUCCUGCAACCCGACUGCAUCAGGGUACUGAUGCUGAUGAUGGUGGACGGAUGGGCAUCCAACGGCGGGGGACUUGAUAGGGAGUAGGGGUUGCAGUUGUUUGUUGGGCACAGGACCACAGGGGAGUUGGGGGUACACGUGGCGGGAAUAGGUUUGGGUGGUGAAUUGGCAUCAUGGAUCAGGGGCUCUGCACAAAUGGAAGCUAAUGUAGAAGCCGUACAAGUAGUGGAAGGAGGGGUAGCAGAGCACAGCAGAGAGAGAGUACAAGUUGCUGGGAAGGGAAAAAUAUAUAUAUAUAUAUAUAUGGGGGACCUGUGUUGCUGUAUUGAAUGUUGAGUGGUGGGAAGGGAUUGGCCCGUCUCAAGAAGGGGAGAUGAGACGUUGUAGAGGUGUUGGGUUGGCAACUGCCUGGUCCGGAACCGGAACCAACAACUUCUUGGUCUCUGGGUGUCAAUGGAGCGGAGGAGGACAAAAUCAAGGAAGGACCGACUUGAGGGCGAGCAGGCAGAGCAGGAUCAUCAACAGAGCAGGUACACACACACCCACCCCACAAAAAUCCAUCCACCCAUCCACAUUUUGCACUGAUUAAGUUGAUGUUUUGCGCAAGCAGCUGCAGCCACGGACUCGAAUCACAAUAGUGCUCUGGAAAGAGAUAGACUAAUAAACUUAGCAGGAACGAAAAGUUUCAAGUCUACAAAUUUGCUCCACGUCAUUUAUUUUUCGAGGCCUUCUGCCCAAUUUAUUUAUUUAUUUAUUUUUGGGUACUCCCAACUCUUCUAAAUCAACUGUUGGCCGUCGGGCACGCUCGAAGCCAUGACCAUCAUUUUUUAUAUUUUUUAUUGGGUCUGGUUAUUGUAGACUGCGCUUUGACUUAGGAAGGUCGAAGCCCAUAAUUCCCCCAGACACAGCAUUCCGCGAGGGCCCGCGUUAUUCAUCGCACAGGAGAUGCACAUUCAACUUCCCGCCAACACGCGCUUAAUCAUCUUCUCAUAUAUAUUCCUUUAGCUAACGAGUUCCCCAGAUCCAUCUCCACCAUAACCCAAUACUAUUAGACAGCCAAAGAAGAAGACAUAGGAAAAGGGGGAAGGAGCAAAUUCGGCCAUUUCUAUUACAACUAAAUCUGAUAAUAUGUAUCAGCUGACUACUCUUAUGGCGGCAUCUAAGGUAAACUACUAGCUGAGGGCUGAGGCGUGAGACCUGACCUCCUACACAAGAAAAAAGAAUGAAUCUGACCUAUUGCCUCCGGCCAUUUCUAAUCACAAUUAAAUCUCUUAUGAAUGGCCAAAAAUACUGAUGAUAAAGCAAAAUCACCUUAUAGCACACACAGACGCCCCCAAACCUAUAUUAUGCAGUAUGUAAGGCUGCAUUCAGUAUCUUGGCGUGGAAUCCACGAGAUGGAUAAACGAAUCAUAUCCUCUAGAAGCCCCAUCAUCCGAAUAAACACAUAUUAACAGCAACUAUAAUCAGGGCAAGCAAGCCUAAUAUAACAGUGGAACUUGAGACCUCGGAUUCAUUGGUAACUAACAGUAUGGACUACUCGUGCCAUGGUUCACAAUAAGAGUUGUGAUACAAGCAAUUUUACUGAUAAACUCCAAGUGUAAUUCUGAGAUUCUUCUAGAUUCUUAUUCACACAAGGACAAUCAGUCAGACUUUUCUUGCAAGAGCAAUUUGUCAGUGUCAAUAUGUAUAUCUACCAAGGCCGUCCACAGUUUCGCAUAAUUUGUAAUUGGUGUGCCCAAAAUUGUGUCCACAAGACAAAAAACUUGGGGGACACAUCAACACUGGUCUUGCAAUCACAAUGAGCUAGCGGUCACUGCAAUACCAAAGAAAGGUACAGAACUUGAAUGUCACAGCAGCCUGAACUCGUGGACUACGCCUCAAAUAACUGCACCCCAGCAGGUCACCUUGGAUCAAAACCUAAGGUGCAUAGCAGGGGGGGGGAAAAUGAAUAGUUACUAUCUGAAAAGUGCUUGGCACAUCAUUGUUUGGAAUUUGCUUUGCAUAAUGAAGCACAAAGUCAUCACACGGUCCUCCCGAAACUUGGGAGAAUUUAGUCUUGAAAUAAUGGAACUUAGAGAACAUGAAAUGUAACUCACCUGUGCGAAGAUUCACCAAACCUCUUCUCUGGGACAGUCUGUUCCAAAAAAUCCUCAAUGGUUUUCCAAUAUCGAUCACCCCCUGCCAACCAUGUAUCCAUAUGCAUGCCAGUUGGAAAUUCCACAAAUAAGCAUCGAUUGUUGCGUGCAGCUGCUUUAGCAUACAGCAACUGCAUGUGUGAUGGAGGAACCAUUUCAUCUUGCAAUCCUGAGAUAAAGAGAAUGGGCUGUUUGACCUGCAGCAAAGAGUUCAAACACAAGAGGUGCAAAUAAAUUGUCAUUAGACGACGACAAAAUCACAGCAUCGAAUAAACACAAAACAUGUCACUGCCUCACUUCCAUUUUAUUAGGCUAGACUUAAUUAGGAUGUUCAAUAUCAAAUAACCAAGUCUUGCCCUAAAAUAACACAAGACCUUUCAUAUUGUUGAUUCAACAAAUACACUAUAAAGAUCCCUGUUACAACUUUUCAGAAACAUGAAAUGGAAACCCAAAAUCACUCUGAGUGCAGAGUAAAAGCUACAAUACAUUGUUUUUGCUUUUGGGUGGGGGGGGGGCGGUGGGGGUGGGAAGGGUUGGAGCUACAAUACCCUGAAAUCUCACCUCACCAACCACAUCAAUAGUCCUCCAUGGAGAGCGGACAAGAAAAUUGAGAGGUCUGGGGUGCUUUGAAUCACUCCCUCCAAUAAACCAUUUUAGGACGGGUAGAAGAACUCCCGCCAUAUCAAGGAUAGAUGUGAAAGUAUUUUCCAGAAUUAGCCCAGCCACCUGAGCACAAUCACAUUAAGAAAAAUGUGUCUCAACCAUAAAUGAGUAUACUUUCAACAACAUAACUAACUAAAAAGCCGAUUAAAAUGACAAGAAGGCAGCCAAACUCAGACAAAUCUGUACUUUAUGCAUAACUGAAGCAAGAAAUUUAUGGUCCAACAUGGUCAAAAGAAAAUGUGACAAGCAUAGAAUAGAAAUGCUUACUAAUAGCAAUUUCAAAUGCACAGAUUUCCUGGGAUACAGAUUAUGAUUGACAGGACUGUUAACUAGCAAGGAAGGGAAAACUAUAUAUUACCAAGAAAUAGAUUAAUCAAGUCACGACAGAGAAAUAGUUACUUCAUUGGAUAAUAUAUUUGUAACAGGAAGAAGCCUUCAAAAAAAUACAUUCAAGUUUUAGAGAGAGGAAGAUAGUGUAUUUCGUAAAUUUGCCUCAGAGCAACUGAUUGAUCUUCUCGCACAGUAAUAUGCAAAAUAACUGCAAGGUCCUAAACAGCCCUUGCCCCAUAAGGAAACGAGAGUCUACAAUAAAAUUUCUACAAGUCAGCUUCUCACAGAAGCUGUAGCACAUACAUUACUUUCUCCAAACAACUUGAACAGAUUCUCUUGUUCAAUUAUAGAUAAAGAAAGCUUCUAAAAACUUCAGCAGACUUUUCAGGAGGAGGACUCAAAAAACUCCUAUUAAUGUUUCUAUGUGGUGACUCAAAGAAAAUUAGGCUUGUCGGAUGUCUCUAUAACCCCAUAGGUGGUAAUUCAAGACAAUCAAGAACAUGAUACCGGAAUUUCGUCCUGCAAGGACAGGACCUUCCAUAAGGAACUAGUGUCCUAAGCUACUGAUCAAGUAAACAAAAGCUCACCCAUUAGAAGGCUUCCAGUUAGAUUUCACAAAUUUCUUAAAGAAAAUUUCCAUGAGAGCAGAUAUUCUACAACUGCAUAAACAGAUGAGCUGAAAAUAUUUGAUGACACAAGUUAAAAGGCAUUUAAAAUAAGAAAGCUAUCACAAAAAAGACAUACCAGGAUCUGUUGCAAUACACAACUGGGAAAACAAAAUUUUUGUUUAAUAUGUACCUUGUCAGGAUUGUUCUUGGCAAGUACUGCUCCAACAGCGCCACCAAGUGACCUUCCAAAGACAACAAUCCUAGAUGUGUCAAUAUCUGUCCUUUCAACCAGAUGAUCCAAAGCAGCCUACAAAGAAGCAGAAGCCACAAGAAAAGAUCUCAUAUCAUCUAUGGGGUGCAUCAAAGAAACAUAUAGACAGAAAAACAAACCUGAGCAUCCAUUGUAAUUCCAUGCUGGGAAGGAUAUCCAUCACUGGCUCCAUAACUACAAUCCAUAUAGAACAGUUUACAUCAAUUUACAAGACAUAAUUAUGUCCCCAUGAACACUGCCAGAUGGUACACACAAAAAAAAUGUAGAUACCCUCGGUAAGACAGCAUGAAAACGUUGCAUUGCAGACGUUGUAGCAUAAUGCGAACCAUCUCAAGACGGUGGGCAAUAUCUAUAACUAGUAAAGUCCUCCAAAAGAUUGAUCAUGAAAUCACUUUUUGAGAUAAACAAAAAGCGGUAAGAAAUCAAAGACAUCAUAAUUAAGCAACAGAACACAAAAGGAUACUUCCUGCAUUUUCUUGGAAGAAGAGGAUAGUUGGACCUGCAAUUGACACAAAUACUUCAUCAGCUUGAAAGCUAAUUUGAACCUUCAAAAGAACACAAGUUUACCACUUAUGAAGCAUAAAAAGUAAAUAAAACUGAAUCAUGGAAGACUACAAGGCAAGUGAAAACUUAAAAAUCAUCUUGCAGCAGUCAUCAGUUAGUUUUUGCAACAGCUACAUGAGAAAACAGAAGUAUCACCAAAACUAAGCCGAAAUAAAGUCUACAUAAUUUCCCUCCUGCAUUUCUUCUACGUCUUAAAAUAACCUAUGAAGCUCAUAAUCUAAAGCAUACAAAAGGUUCCAUGGUCAAAAGAUGAGAAAGUUUCAUUUACAAUCCAACAAACUUUAAAGUAAAGCCGUCCAGUUUAUAAGAUGCACAAAUAUCCGAAUAAAUGAAAUUUAAUGCCACACAACCAAUUGAGAAACCAACUCUUAAACAGUGCAAUACCUAACUUAACUACUCUGUGAAUGCAUGUAACCGUAUAAUGAAAUCAGAAACCAACUCUUUCAUUUCAGAAGACCUUACUUAACUACAUCGCUCAAGCUCAAAAAUAGUUCCUAUUCACAGCAAUAUUACACGCCAAUCACUUUCUUACACAAAAUUAACAAGUGAGAACAAAUUAACAGCUACGAAUAUCUGUAUACAAUUAGCCCUAAGUUCUCUGACUCCGGCAAUCGCCAAUCCUAAACAAGCACCCAGCCCUAAUUCCCAAAGCAAUUAAGCAACAAUAUUAAGAAUUACAACAAGCAUAAGACGUAAAGAGGAGCACCUCGGGAUUCGGGAGGAGCUUGAUGAACCAAGCGUGGAGGCGAACGCCGUCAGAAGAUCUAAGCCAAACGUCGUCGUAGAGGAGGCGGAGGCGGGCGGGGUGAUGGGGUAGGAUUUGGUAAGGCCAGGGAGGACGGGGACGUAGACAAGCUUCUCCUGGAAAGCCACCAGUAACGCCAUCCCGGCGACCACUAUUCCACCCACUCCGUACAGCAGUACGCUCAUGUACGACACCAUCUUCUUCUCUCUCUCUAUCUCCCCGUUUUCUCUCUCUCUCUCUCUCUAUAUAUAUACACGUAUACUUAAAUGGAGAGUCUGACUGUGUUUGUAUCUAAAUCUUUGUACGUAUGUACCGUAUAUGAGAUGAUGAAGUGAGGAACACUCUCUUUUUCACAGUUUUUCUUGUCUACUGACUACUGAGUGAUGCUGCUUGGGCGUGUGCUGCUGAGGGGACGAAACCGAAGAGACCGGCGUUGCGGUUGUGGUGGAGCUAAACGACAGCGUUUUUUGUUUCUUGUUACUAGCCUUUCUAUUUCUUUCCUAUACUAUGUUGAUUUUUUUUUUAUUUUGCGUCUCUUCUCUUUUUUAUUUGACAUUAGUUUUCUUUUUUUCAAAUCUUUAUUUAUAAGCAAAUAAAAAAUUUCUCCAAUAAAAAUUUUAGGAUGACUGUUGUCUAAUUUACAAAAUUAAAGAAGCUAUGUACAUUUUUUUUAUAAAUCAAUUUCAUCUAUUUUCCAAAUUAAGAUAUGUUUUAUUCUCUUUCCUUAUAAUUAGACAAUUCAAAGUCAAUUACCCAUUUUUAUAGUCACACACUAGGGGAAAAAGCCCGCACAACGCGCGGAGUUUAGUGCUUAUAAUUAGAGAUGGUUAAUAAUUAUUAUUUGGUAUUUUGUAGUAUAAGAAUUGAAGUAUGAUAAUUUUAUUAUGUAAUAUUAAACAGAAAAAUCAUUAGUCAAAAUAUAUAAUAUGCAAUGAAACAUAAUUAUAAGAUACGAUCAACACUUUGCAUCUAACCUAAUAGAAUAAAAAACCUACUUAUAUCCGCUCAUGCACUUUAGGAAUAUUAAAAUCUGUUGUUUAGCUUGAAUUUAAUCUUGAUAUGAGGGCAAUCUACCACAUUAUCUUGUCAUACAAGUGAGAUUUGGACAAUUACAUACUUAAAAAAUCAUUGCUGGUGGAAUUUCGGUUCUUGCAAGCCAAAUUCUUGAUUUUAUAUUGAUUUCAAGGAUAUAUCAUCACGAAACCUCCACAUUGACCAAUCAAUCAAUUAUGAUUUAUUGUAUGAUUUAGAGCAUAUAGAAAGAAUCUCCUUCUCAAUAAGGGUUACAAUCACGAAACAUCAGUUUUUGAGCUAAUUGCAAAGAUAUGCAACACCUAACACGCUAAUUUAGAGAAAUAAUAACCUCAAAAAGUUACUAAAGCAUCUUAAUCCACUCAAUUCAAGAAAACAAUUAAAAGUAAUGAAAUACAUACUUUAGAUUUGCAGCCAAAUAGUUUUAAGUAGAUAGUUAAACAUAUUGGCAAAUCAAAUGAAGUGAAAAUUUGCCUAGAUGGAAUCAUCAAUAAAAUAGUAAACGAUUUGAAAAUUACCAUAACUAAUAGUUAAAACAACAAAAGAAGUAGCUACAAUCUAUAAAUGGAAAAUUUUAUGAUGAUAAACUUAUUUUAAAUCACAAAUAACAAUUAACAAAUGUGAUCUCCUCCCUAUUAAGCUUGUCUAACAUGGAUAAUUGAAUUAAAAUACUAAAAACUUAUUGCAGAUACAACUUGCAAGAUUACAGAUUUCUUCAACCAAAAAGUAGAUUGGCUAAAGAAAACACACCUAUUGAGAAACAAAUAGGUUGCAUGAUUGUGAUGGAACAAAACUAUAAGUAAAUGAAAUGAAUUUGAAUAGAUGGGGGUUGCCAUGGUAAUCGUCAAGAAACCAAACUUCUCUACUAAUUGACAUUAAUUAUGUAAUCGUCAAGAAACUAUUUGUGUUUGGAUUGCAUUUUCCGUGAUUUUUCAUGAAAAAAUUACUGUAGCGAUUUGAUGUAUGUGAGGGAAAAAGGUAAUAGGGGAAUGUAAUCACGAAAAACGACGUAAUUUUUCGACGGAAACCAGCAAUCCAAACAAGGCCGUUUGCAAAUAACCAUUAUUCAGAUAACUAGAAUUCCAAUAAGUAUUUUUUAGUUCACUCCGAAACAAAUGAUUGUUGUCAAUCUCAAAAAUUUGAUUUUCAAUAUCAAAAUAUAUGGAAAAAUUGUCUCCAUUACUAUUCUUAACUAAAAAAGUGUCAUCGGAGAUGAAAUUCCGAAUGUCUUUAACGACGAAUAAAUGAUCAACCUUAUUGUUACUAGAAUCGUCACGACCCCCCCAACUCUGAAUGUUUUUAGUCCUAUCUUUUAUAUCGGGCUCAUCACCUUCACUGGCAUUUUCAACAGAACCAAGACUUUCCGUUGAUUUAUUUAGCUCACACCGGCAUUCAAACUCCUUCGAAAGGCUUUAGAAAAUUAAAAGACUUGAAUAUUAAUACAAUUAAAUGAUUAGAAGGGCUUUUAUGUAAUUUCACUAAAACACAAGUUAAAUUUAAUUGUACCCAAUGUUGGAUCGGGUAUCGAACACUGUCACAUGUCAAACUUACCCCUAACUUUGAAUGUCUGAAAGGAUAUCUAAAUAAUUAUAACAAAACCAAAUUAACUACAAUGACUCAUAUUCAAUGCUUUAAUUGCACUUCAAACACUCUCGCAUUCCCAAAACAGCCCCACCCUUGCAGUUGAAAUCCAAAGAUCAUCUUUACCCUAAACUCAUUCUUAUAUAAUAUAAGGAUAAAGAUUCACAUACCAAUUAUUGGAAUUUUUUUUUUGGUUGUUUUACUCUAAUGAAUUUUUUUUUUAGGAUCUUUUCUUUGGCUUUUUUAAAAAAAUAUUCAAUUGUAAGUGUCUUCCCUAAUACACACACACAAAUUUCAUGCGAAACUUUACCACUAUCAAUUAAAGUGGUCAAAAUCAAAUCACAAGUCUAAAUUCAAUGUUUAAAAGGAGUAGAAAGUUUGAAAAUAAAAACUUUACAUAAUACUAGAAGGAUAUUUUUAUCUUUUAAGGCGUUAAGUAACAAAAUAUAAAGAAUAGAGGUUGAAGUGAAAAUCAAGAUAUACUUUAGGGUGAUAACUUGUGAUUUACCCUUUAAAUAACUACACAGCACUUCCCGAUAUGGAACCAGCCAACCCAUAAAGUUUACCCCAUAAAAUAAUCCAAGAAUAUUAGCACAAAAUUCAAUUUUCAAUACCUAAAGAACCAAACGGCAGGCAUUUCCACUGCAUCAUCUCACUUUAAUCUAGGGGUACAGAUUCUUGAUAGAAUGCUUGACAUUCUUACGAAAGCGACAUGAAAAAAGAAGAAGAAGAAGAAGCAGAAGAAGAUUAGAUCCAGAGUUAAGCAUUUAACAAACUGAACCAUGGUUAAAUAAAUGACAAAGGAAUCUCCUUAUCAUGAGCCAUGACAUAGGGUUUCGACUGGCAGGUGCAUGGUAUGUGUCAAACGGACUCAAACUGGUGAAGUAUUCUUAGUAUACUCUACACGGUACUCUUAUGUCCAUCAUGUAAAAUAAGCUAAAACUUGAAUGUAACAAAGCCAAGGAUGAAUUGCCAAGUCCGGUGCUUUUUGCUGCGCUUUUCACCGGGUAGUCGGAACAUGGAGCGGAGUUCCAUUCUGCAUGAAGCCUCCCGACGACAUCGAACCAGCGAUUUGACCAGAAAGGCUGAUGUAGCUGUCGGCAUGCUGCUGGAAAAUGAUAUCAUCAGGAGUGUAUCCAUGGCAGAAGAGCUGGUACUAGUUGAAGCAUAAUGCCUGCUGUCGUUGGACCUUUCAGCUUCCAUCUCCAGCGCAUCGGUCUCUUGACAAGAAUGGAUGGAUGCGGAAAAGGAGCCAGUGGAGAGAGUUGACUCGGAUUGCUGCUGCUGUUUCUUUGUGCUGAGGAACCUUCCACCAGAACCUCUAACCCUAUUCAUUGCAUGCUGAUGACGGGACUCGUGAAGAUAUGGCUGUAUUUAAUUGAUUUAGAAAGCAUUACCUCACGUGCACAAUGAUGUUUACAUACGAAGUUAAACUAUUAAACUUUAGUAGUGAGUUUAUUGACAAAAGCGAGACCCAAAGAACAAGGACAAGUUCUCAUCGUUCUUUGUAGAAUAAAAAGUCCUUCAAAUCAUCCGAUAAAUUAAAUAGGGCAAGCUAUGAAACAACGUUCCAAGUGGGCAGCUCAAAAACCUCCCACAAAAGUCACAAACUAGGGGGAGGGGGAGGAUUCUAUCAUUUUCAUCAGUUUCUUCUCUAAUCUUUAUGCUAACACAGCGCGUAUCUUUGAUGAAGACGCAAAUCGUUUUACAUAUUUUCUUCCGUCACCAUGCUUAAUAUGCUUAGUACAGUUUAUUGAAUCACAGAAUAAGCAAAUAACUAAAGAAACAUACUAAUACUGACUAGGAUGGAAGAAAAGCAGACAUUGCACUCACUUUUCUACCUUUCACCAUCUUGUUUUGAGCCUCAAGCUUGGCACGCACCUGUCUCCGUCUGAGUAUACCAUGAUACUGUUUUGCAUUCACAUAUAUUGGACCAUCUUGGGCAAGAUCAGGAGGCAGUGGGACGCGAGCAGGUGCUAUCCCCAUCAUUUGCGGCUGAAUCUAAUGAAAUUCCACAAGCAAUGGCAUUAUAAAGAUCAUGAAGGUCAUAUACUAAAAUGAAGGACUUGCCUCUUCACUUAAUACUUUAAAAAUUCAGAUACAUGAAGCCUAAAGUUCCAUUUUGGAAAGUCAAAAAUUAAGAAAUAGACUCCUAUUUUAUAGAUUCUCUGAACUGUAGUUCAUGCUCAGAAAUACACGAAGAAAAGCACACUGCAUUCAUCCUUAUCUGUGUAGUUUUAACAUUAAAUCAUCGAAUUGCAGGUUAUAUUUGAUUCUGCAAAUCUAUGAAAACAUUGAAUGGUGUACUUACCAUGGCUUGAGGCCCAUAAGCCGAAUAUAAGCUGCUGAAGUAGGAAUCCGAGUAAAUACAUGGAAUUUUGUGCCUAAAAUAAGAGACGAAUUCAUCAGGUGAAAAGUAAAAGUUGUUAAUUGUUGGCCACUAAGAUGACUCUGAAGUGACUGCAGCAACUUACAGCUGAUUGGGGGAAUUCAAUUUGCGAAGGAUUGGCUGAAGAUUCCAAAUUACUCGGAAAGAAAGCAGGUUUUGGUUGUUCUUCUACAUGCUUCCCAAAGCUUUCAUUUUGCGCUGGAUCAAUUUGAAUAGCUUUAAUUAGCCAAGGAGGACCUUCUAGAACAAAUUAGGACAAGAUAUCAUCCACUAUGAUGUUUGCUUUUCUAGUAUGACCAUACAUGAUAACAGUUCACCCAAAAUAACAGCAAUUGCAUGUUAUAACCAAAUAGAAAAACAGAAAAUGUAGAAGAUGUAGAUGAAAUUUAAUGUCCUGGGUCAGUUAAAUCAUAAAGUUAGCGUUCUGUGUUGCAGGGACAGUUCCACCUCAUACUGAGCUUGACAUCUAUACAGAUCUAUCAGAGUAGAUGUGGCUCAUCCGAAGUUAUUAACAAUUGCAGCAUAAUCAAUCGAGGAGUAUUAUAUAUCAUCAAAGGUCUAAGAUUUAUAUUACUUCCAAAAUUUCACAAAAGUUGUAGCACCAGUAGUAGAUAUAGCAGCAGAAUUUAUACUUGGUAACAAAUAAGUAAUUUUCUGUUUUCCAUUUCCCUAGAGGAUAAGUAGCAAACAGCAGAAGUUUCAAAUGUAAAAAGGCAACUAUUCAAGAGAAUCAGGACGCUAAUGCACCAUUACCAGAUUCUGAUGAAAUACAUUGAUCUUGAGAAUUUGACUUUCCCAUAGUAGUCGCUCCACGUUGAGACUGGCUGCUUGACUCCAUUGAGUGAGAGCUUUGGUCUUCUUCUAUCUGUUGGCCUAGAUGCUUUGCCUCCUCAAAGCAUAGAGAUGGAGUUUCUACUCUCAAACUGAGAUUUUUAGAUGAUGUCUGAGACAACUGUUGUUCCUGUAAAUUCCACCAUGGUGAACUGACAAAAUGGAGCAUUGAACAAGUAGAAUCUUGUCCUAAAACUUUACUGUGAAUGUUCUCAACUCGUAUAGCCAUUUACUCAUUGAAGCAUUCUAAACUCUGCAGAACCCAAAAUGCCCAAAAUCAAUUGAGACUGAGAGUUUCUACUUGACUUCAUCUGCCCAAGGAAAACACGAGAGAUGAUGAAAAAGUUGUUCCAAACAUCUCCAAUUAAUAUGAAAUGAGUAUGAUCAAUGUGCCCAGUAUGUCCAAUAAACAACUAACAGAUUAUUAAAUCAAUCAUCAGCAGCUUGGGUAUGUUUGGAAGGUUAAAGAAGAAAUAAACCAGGAAACGAAAUAAAAAUGUAACAGAUUACACAGAUGCAACACUUUCAGGGGGUUGGUGAGCUUUCUGGAUACAAAGUUAGUAUCCAACUAUCCGAAACACGGAUCUAACUAAUCACCUCCUCCUCGUAUGCUGAACUUUACAUGGUAUAAUAAAUGAGGACAUUCCAGGACCAUCAUCAGUCAAAAAUACGAUGACAUUUUACAACAUUUAUUUGCUUCUGAUCCUGGAGCCCAUGUCAAGACCAACACUCGUAACCGGGCAAAAUCAACUUUCUUACAUGCAAAUCCUCUAUCCCCUAAACUUAUGUCAAACAGAGAAGUUUGGCUUCAUUCUUUGGAACAAAAAAUUAUUGAAAUGUAUUGUCUACUGAAACGUAAAUGAAUAUAGAAGUCAAUAAAAGAAAAAUUGUCCCCAAGAAUGCUUAAACGCAUCAACUCAGCAAAAAAAAAAUUUUUUAUGAGAAUAAACGGAAGAAACACUUUGGCAUGCCUCAAAGAAAAACAAAGCAAAAAAGAAAGGGGGAAAUGGAAGAGCCAUAUCCCAGAAAAAGGAAGGCGAUAUUCUCUUCUUAGCCAUAUCUGCCUCUCAAUCACCACCAGUACCAGAGACCACCAUUCUGUUAACAGACUAUGCAGUAGAGAAUUAUUGGUCAAGAUUAGAUCAACAACCAAAUAGUUGUAUGAUGAAAAGUUAAUAAGAAAUUACCCUUUGCUGAAUCCACAGUUUUUAAAAGACUGAUCCGGCAAAACCCAGAAAAUAUAAAAGAAAAAGUACACAAACUCCAGUGAAACAAAUAAUUCUAUCCAGUAACAGAACCACAAGCAAUGCCCUCCCGUUCCCUCAAACUACAUGCAUCCCAAAAGCAUCUGUCAGUAAAGCCAUCUCCCUUCCCCGCCACCCCUUUCCAGCAACCCACCAAAAAAAAAAAUAUAAUAAUAAAAAUAAAUAAAAAGAGAAAGAGGGAGGCAUCCAAGACAUGCAAGCGAAAUAAACACAACAUAAUGACAAUACGUACAGCAAGCAAUUAAAUAAUUAAUAAUAAGAAAAUAUGAGGCAAUAAUAAAAGUUGCAGAACCCUAAUUAUGAUAAGAAAGUAAAGAAAAAUUUUCAGAUGUGUUUAUUAAAUGUAUAUAUACCCAUGCAUUAUGCAUAUAGAUGAGAGAAAAGGAAAGGAAGGAAAGACGGAUGGAUACCUUCGGGAUCUGCUAUAACUAGAAGAAGCAAGAAACACAGUUGCUGGGAUCAAAUUGGGUAUGUUCCCUUUCCUCACUUCAAAGUUCAAACUCUCUCUUCCUAUUUAUCUCUCUCGCGUCUUGAAGAAUCUUGUUGUAUAUUCUACCCCCCCCUGGGGCCAAGAAAUAAAAAUAUUUACAGUAAUUCUUACGCUAGAAAGCAAUGAAAAAAAAAAAGAAAAAAAAGAAGAAGAACCCAAAAAGCUACUAGUAUUAAUUUAACUAGCUAGUAGCACAAUACUCAUCUAAUUGAUUGGUAACGUUGAUGAGACGGAGGUAUCAUUGAAAUAUAGCUUUCUUCUUCUUCGUCGUGCAGCUAGCUUGCAAAUAUACAGCUGCGAACAUCUUAGGAUUCCCAAAUUAUGAUGCGAUUCUUAUAAUAUGUGGACAAAAAUGAUGCUUUGUGAUAUUUUUUGUGUUCCUGUGGUCUCAAAUCGUUGAUUCCGAAUCUUUUGUACUACAAGUAUAAUACCAGCUGCCAAAAAAGUAUUUGUUGCGAGAUUUUUG
rnacentral:lncRNA from 1 species